UCAGCUCUCGGUUACAAGAUCUGGAAAAUGGAUUUCAAGAUAACAUUUUUAAAUAACUACCUUGAAAAAAGCAUUUAUAUGAUUUAACCCACCGAAUAUAUAGCUAAAAGAAAUUAGCAUAAAGUUUACAAACUGCUUAUAAGCAAGCAUCCCGCUCAUGGAAUCAAAGAUAUCAUCAAGCGAUCAAGACUUUUGGAUUUGAGCAAAACAUUUAUGAACCUUAUGUUUAUAAAUUUAUAGGGGAUGGAAAGGUGGUUUUUCUCGUUCUAUAUGUCGAUGAUAUUCUACUAAUUGGUGAUAAAGUAGGGAUACUGUCAUGGGUUAAACUAUGCUUAACCAAACAGUUUAGCAUGGAGGACUUUGGAAAAGCUAAUUGUAGUCUAACAAAAGAAAAUUAUUUCUAGUUCUAUGUUGUGAUUCGAAUCAUUCGGGCCCACACUCAAAGUAGUUCGUGGUACAAGAAUAGCUCUUGAAAUGUUGAUUGAGGACUGCAUAUUUUAAUUGGUUAUGUAAGAUAGCUAUGUAUACAUUACAAAAAUUGCAAAAUUGAAAGUUGUUGUAUACGAAAAUUACAUAAACAAUAUGUGACGUCACGACGUUGUUUGAACGUCACCAUGACAAGCUCAGAAUGGCAUGGCACUGUGCAAUGUCAGACUUUGAUUGUUACGAUUAAGUUAGAUAGUAUGUUGUGUUGUAACGAGGAACCUGGCAAUGUCGCAACGUGAACUCAAUGUUUUGAAAUUGUUACAAAUUGGUCAUUUUCAGUCUUAAGUUAACUUUAGAGCUUUCAUAAGCUUGUAUAGGUCCUGAAAACUAUCUUAUUUUCUAUCAUACACAGGAUUGUGUUGAAAAUUGAUCAUUUAAUAGUCUGAAUUGACUGUGAUUAAUCAUAAUUGCUACAGAAAUGAAUGUGAAACAUUGUAACUAAGACUCGAUGAUCGAGUCAGGUAAUGGGAUAUUGCAUUUAGUGGUAUCAAAGCUAUAGGUUUAGCCGAUUCUUAGACUAAAUCAAGCUCAAAAUUUAGAUGUUGAUUAUAAAUUUAUCUAUUUUAUAACUAAAUGUGUGUGUAGAAUAAAGAAAUUAUGCUGGUGAUGAUUUAUAUAGAAACGAUUAUUCCACUAAGAGUGAAAAUAGAAUUAGGAUUAAGGCGCCACCUAGCAUUGGUUCAGUUGGUGCUCAUCAAUUUAGGUUCGGUAAACCUCAAUCGUAAGGUUUGAGAGAUGACAAUAUGCUCCGCACUAUAGCAGAUGCCCUUCGACGAGUGGCGAGAGCAACUCCAGAGGUUGCACCAGUGCCCGCAAUUUGACGAGCUUCAGUAAAAGAAUUGCGGAAGCGGUGCCAUUGAGUUUAAGGUAUUGAAAGGGGUUGAUCCCUCAACAGCUGAGGCUUGGUUGGAAUCCACAAAUAGGGUACUACAACAACUCAAAUGUUCUCUACACAAGUGUGUUGCGUGUAUAGUCUCCUUCUGAAAGAAGAGGUGUAUUAGUGGUGGCUGACAGUUACCCGUCAAAUAUCAGCAAGUCAAGUUAAUUGGGAUUCCUUUUAGUCCAAAUUUCAAAAAAAGUAUGUCGGUGAUUUAUAUUUGGAUGAUCAAAAGUAGGAAAUUAUGGUGUUUAAACAGAUUGAAUUAUCAUGGUUGAUUACGAAUGAGAAUUCUUACAACUCACGAAAUGCGCCUUAGAACUUGUACCGAGAAAAGAGGAGAGUGAUAAAGGUUUCUUUCGUGAAUUUCAUAAUGAGCUCAAGGAUACGGGAGUUCUAGUUCACAUCAAUUGUCUAUGCAAUGGAAGAAGUCUCGAUAGCCUUAGAGGUCGACCUUAAGGUUUAUUAGAUCCAAGAGAGCUCGGGAUAGAUAGCCAUAUGUAUCUUCGGGCAUUGUUAGAGGCCCUGCUAAAGAUUUUGAUAUUCCAAACUAUGAGCAUUGUGGGAAAAAGCACUGAAGCGAACGUUGGAAGUUGGCAAGAGCUUGUCUCUGUUGUGGGUCUCAAGAAAAUUUUGCCUGAGAUUGUUUGAAGAAUGGUAAUGAUUCACCGAAUAAAACUCAGAGGUUUGCUCUUGUUGCUUGAGGAUAAGGAAAUCCUCGUGGUGGUUCUAUAGCGAAAUGUGGUUUGAGAAGAGGGACUGAAUCAUCUGUUCAACAAUCUAAGGCUAAAUCCCUAGCUAAGACUUAUGUUGUCUAGACCCAAGAAAAAGGUGAUGCUACUGAUGUCAUAAUCAGUAUAUUUAUUUUACAUUCAGCACCCAUAUAUGCUUUGAUUGACCUUGGUUCUUCUUACUCUUAUAUAAAUUUUUGCUUUGUAAAAUUGGGGUAGUCAAAAUUUAAAAUGUUGUAAGUAGCAAUGGUUGUAUCGAGUUCUUUGGAACAAACCGUUCUAGUUGACCAAGUGUAUAGGCAUUGUCCAUUAAAUAUCCAAAAUAAAUUAUUUCCUACUGAUUUGCUAAUAAUGCCAUCUGGAGCUUUCGAUGUGAUUCUGGGGAUGGACUGGUUAACUGAGCAUGGUGUGAUUGUGGACUGUCGUAGAAAGGAGUUUUUUGUCCAAGGCUCAGAUUGAGGGGUUGUGAAUGCAAAAGACAUCAGAUAGAGUGGUUCAACUCGUAACAUUUCUUCAAUACAAGAUAAUAAACUCCUGAAUCAAGGUUGUGAAGCUUUUCUAGCUUAUGUUAUUAACUCAAACUCAGAUGAAAAUCGGUUAAGUAAGAUUCGAACAGUAUGCGACCUCCCAGAUGUGUUUCUUAAUGAAUUGCCAAAAUUUCCUCCUAAUCGUGAGGUUGAAUUUGUAAUUGAAGUUUACCUGGGUACAACUCCUAUGUCAAUUUCUUCAUAGCAAAUGGCGCUGAUGGAGCUAAAAGAGUUGAAAAUUCAGUUGCAAGACUUCCUAGACUACAGCUUUGUACAUCCCAGUAUAUUGCCGUAUGGAGCUCCAAUGUUGUUUGUCAAAAAGAAUGAUGGGUCAAUGCGGUUAUGCAUUGUUUAUCGACAGCUGAAUAAGUUAAAAAUCAAAAACCAAUAUCCUUUACUGGGUAUCGAUGAUUUGUUUGACUAAUUGAAAUGCGCUUUAGUCUUUUCCAAGAUUGAUUUAAGGGUAGGAUAUUAUCAAUUAAAGGUGAAGGAUAGGGAUGUACUAAAAAUAGCGUUUCGUAAGCAGUAUGAUCACUACUAAUUUUUCGUGAUGCCAUUCAAACUAACAAAUGCCCCUACAGCAUUCAUAGAUCUCAUGAAUUGCAUAUUCUAACCCUUUUUUGAUUAGUUUGUGGUGAUAUUCAUUGAUGAUAUCUUAAUCUAUUCAAAGUCAGAAGCUGAGCAUGAUAUCCAUCUCAGAAUUGUAUUACAAGUGUUGCGAGAGAAGCAACUAUUUGGGAAGCUCAGUAAGUGCUAGUUUUGGUUAUCUGAAGCAUUAUUUAUGGGGAAUGUUAUUUGAACUGAGAAAAUUUGGGUCGAUACUAAAAAGAUUGAAGCUAUCCUUUAGUGGAAAGCACCAAAAAAUAUGUUAGAGAUUCGAAGUUUCGUUGGUUUGGCUAGUUAUUAAAGGAGAUUCGCAAAUGAGUUUUCCAAAAUAGAGUUGCAUAUGACGAAGCUCCUAGAUAAGAACAUGCCAUUUGAUUGGGAUAACCAGAACAAGGAAAGUUUACAGAAGCACUGAUCCUAACCUUGCCUAAGUCAGGAAAGGGUUUGUUCUAUUCAGUGAUGCCUUGUUGAAUGGAUUGGGUUGUACGUUGAUGCAAGAUGAUUGCAUAUAUGUAAAAGCCCAUUUUCAGUGGUGUCGGAAAUAGUGGUUUUGAGACCACAAAUCUAACAAGUAAGUCCAUGAUAAUUAGUAUUUAAAUUAUACGAGUGAAUUAUAGUUUUAAAUUAAAAUCUUAUUUGAUGAAUUUUAAUUAAAUGAAUUAAUGGUUAAGUAUAAAUGAUUGUUCCAAAAGUCAAGUGGUUUCAAAAAUAAGGUAUUAGGACCUCGUUUCUGUAAAUCAAGGUCGUAGAUAUCUUUAUUAAAUAUUUACGAAAUUAUUAUUUAGAUAUGUGAAGGUUAAGUUCAGAAAUUUCAAUGUUCGGAUAGUUAAUUAAUUAAAAGGACUAAAUCGUAAAAGAUAAACUUCAUCACUAUUGGAUUUGAAUGAUUAAAUAGCUUAAUUAAUAUAAGUGGAAUGAUUAAUAUGGCAAAAAUACCAUUUUUAUAUAGUGGAACGGCAAUAGAGCUUUUAAAUUUUGUUUUAUUCAUGUCUUAAAGGUUAAAAUAAUGAAAAAAAUAAGUAAUAAAACAAAAGUAAAAUAAAAGUAAAUCAUUAUCAUUUUUCUUAGCAAUGGUUCUCCACCAAAUGUAGAAAGAAAUACUCCUUGGAAAUACUUCCAAGGUUUGGCCAUUGUUAGGUUCUUGCAUGUAAGGUUUUUUUGAACUCGUUUCUUAUAAUUUUUAUGUUUUUUAGAUUAUUACAACUAGGUUCAUCUAACCCGUAUCUCCAUUUUUGAAACUAUUAAGGAUUUUGGAUUUUUCCAUUGAUGAAUAUUGGUUAUUUUGAUGUUAAAUGUUGGAUUUCAAGUAAUGAUUGUUGAUUAGGACUAGUUUAUAAAGUGAUUUUUUGUUACUUUUUAGUUAAAGACUAAUUUGAUAAAAUGUUAAAAUUAAUAUGGAAUUUUUUUGAAUUGUAAAUAAAUAUGGAUUUUCCUAAUAUGGAAAUAAAUUUGACUAGUUUAGGAAUUGGAGAAAUUUUUUUAAAUUUAGAGUUUCGGAUUUACGGACUAAAUUGUGAGAAAUGAAAUAGUUUAGGGAAAAUGUGUAAAUAAUGAAAAAUGAAGAGCCAUAUGCAUAAAAUUUAGUUGGGAUGUGUAUUUGAAUUUGAUAAUAUUUAAUUUAAUUAUUAUAGAUCAAGAUUUGAUUCGUACGGAGGAUAAUCGAGAAAAAAUAAAAUUACGGAAUAGUCCCUACGAUUGAACCGUUGAUAUAUAUUAGGUAAGUUCAUCGUGUAAGUAUGUGAAUAUGAAUAUUUCUUUAUAUUUGUAUUAAUGUUUGCUGGAUAAUUGUAUGUAAUGUGAAAGUUCAUUAUUUACUUACAAAUUAUUAAAAGUUGCAGUUGACUACAAAUGGUAAAUGAAUAUUUGAAAGUGAUGAAUUUUGUGGUUUUACAAAAUUGAAAUGAAUAUAAAAGACUUAUGGUAUCUGUAUGAAAAUAAGAAGUGCCUCCGAACAAUUGAUUUAUCAAUAUUGUGAAUUAAAUUAUAAUGCCCGGUAAAAUGUAGUAGACAGUUAGGAUACGAUUGGCAUGCCAAUAAGGUUAGUGCAUGCGCUUGUACGGGAUUGCACUUCAUUGCCUCUGUUUACACUUUGGUGCCUCUAUGUUUGCACCACAGUGCCUCUGUUAGCAUUCCAAUCCUAUCUAGUGUGUUUUGGAGGAAACCCAAGUAUCCGAGUCAAUUUGCUAAAGUUCAACGAGCCACGAAACAUUAUGAUUAAAUGUAAAAUCAUUCUACGAGUUGAAAUUAUGCAUAAUGAUUUGUAUGGAUAUAUAAGAAUACGUAUGGAUACAUGAAUUGUUCUGAUUUGAGCCAUUGUGGAUAUUGAAUUAUAUGCUUGAAUAUUAUGGUACUAAUGAGAUAUGGUUUUUGGAAAUGGUUGUCCGGAUUUUAAUGAUUUAAGUUAAUUAGUAAUGAGUUAUAAGUUAAGUUAAAUUAAAUUUUGACUAUGGACUUACUAAGCUUUAUAAGCUUACUUUUUUUGUUUUGUUUUCCAUAGUUAACAUUUUGGAAAUGGUUUGGAUGGAUCAGCUUCAACGCUCACACUAUCUAGACUCUCUCUUCAGAGUCUUUUGUCUCUGAGUCAUUUUGGUGGUGGCAUGUAUAUAGGGUUUUAUGUGGUUAAGGUUAAUAUGUAAGUUUAUUUGUAAUUAAGCUUAUAUGGUUUUGAAUUGGCAAAUUAUGUUUCUUGUUGAUACUAAUUGGGUAUGGUAAUAUUUGUGCUCUUGUUCAGGCAUUGGUCUCAUAUGAUAUAUCUAAUGAUGUUGAAAUAUGUUAUUGUCAAUUUAGUAGGUGAUACAGGGUAAUGGUCCUGAUAGGUUGUUGAUCGGUUAUUUAACGUCACAACAAUAAUGUGCAAGCGUACACUAUCGAUGCAAGUAUAGUAGAUAGAUGUGAGUCUGUCGGUUAUUGAUCCCACAAUAUCGAUGCAAGAAUUUGAUGUAAAUGAGAUAAAUUGUGAGGAUAGUUGUCGAUGCAAUAACUUGAAAACAAUACAAUAAAAUAUGAAAAUGAUAAACUAGGAUCCCCAACAUGAAUCUUCAGUAGUAUACUAAUUGCUCACAAGGUAUAAAAGGAUAGGUGAUUGUCAAGGUAAUAAAAUUCAAUGGAUAUCUUACCCAGCAUCACACCUCUAUUUAAUCUGAGACUUAAACAUGCACAUUAACCUCACCUUCCAAUGAUGGCAACAUGGCACUAUUAAAAACAACUGGACUAGAUUCCUCUAAUCCUCACUCAACUUCUGUUGUAAUGCUUGUUGGCUCGAACUGUCACUGCACUUUCCAUUGUUAGUGACUACAAUAACACUUCCAUGUUAAGAAACAUUCAAACCCCAAGAUUCAACAAUAAAAGUAAGAUUGAAUAAAAUAACAUUUAACGAAGAAUUCAUGUGUACUUCUAUACAAAUAGAAAAUAGAGAAUAAUCACCAGCAUUUAGAAAGAAACAAGAAAGAAUCGAGUGGAGAAUACUAUUCCUAGACAGCUUGAUUGAAUCACUCUAUUCCCUCUUGUCUCGCCCUUAGGUCUCCUCGUCAGAAGCUCGUCUGCAUCAAUUUUCAUGUUCACUCACUCGGGAGACGCUUAAGUUGCCAUAGCCGCAAGCUUCAAGGUAGGAUGAAGAAUAUGAUGAUGAAGAAAAAGAUCCCUCUUUUCUUCUCACAUCAACCUUCUAUGUCCUCCUCCAAAAGUACAUGUGUGCUUUCCUCAAAAUUAUUCUAUCCUUGUACGUACAGGUUGGUUAUACCAGACUGGAUACCUCACACAAUUUUAGUUCUUAUCCAGACAUCUGUUAGGUGCAGCGACAAUUCUGGACGCAAUCUGGAAUUAACGCAUGUAACGACAUUAAUGCAAAAACAUAGAAAAAUUAAGUAUAAAAUAGGCUAGGAUUCACUGAGUUAUAAAAUGCAAUUUACUAAACUAAAAAUGUUAAAAUAUAUGCCAAGGAUAACUAAAUGGGAACCAUUUAACCAAUAAGUAAGGGGGAACGUAACAACCCGAUUUUAGUGAAAUCAGAACAGUGGUUUUGGGACCAAAAAUCCAAAGUUAGAAAAUUUAUUUUAUUUAUUAUUUUAUGGUCUACAGAAUGGUAGAAAUACCAUUUUAAAAUUUCGUUAAGAAAUUUUACCAUUUACAUGCUUAAUUUCAUAAAAUCACGUAAAGUGCAAAAGUUGAGUUCUAAUAGCUAAAUGUAUUAAAUAGCUAUAGAAAUUUAAAGUGGAGGUCCUUAUAUGGUAAUUGUACCAUUCAUAUAUGUUAAUGGAUGAUAGUGGCUUGGUAUUUUUGUAAUUAUUAAAGUUUAUUAAGGUUAAUUUUGGAAAUUAGUAAUUAAGGUUAUAAUUAAUUAAAUAAAACAAACAUUUCACAUCCAUUAUCAUCAUCUUCAGCUGUUUAUGAAGUGAAAAACCUAGCCAUGGAAGCUUGAAGUUUUGACAAGUUGAUUUUAUCUCAAUUAGGUGUGAUUUUUGUCCUGUUUUUAGUGAUUUCUAUGUUUCCGAGAUCAUUGUAGCUUAAUCUAGCUAACCCGGAGACUAAUUUGUGAAACUGUUAAAGUAUUAGGGUUUCUCCAUUGAUGAAUAUGCUUGAUUUUUGAAGUUUUAUGGUGGAAAAUAAAUGGUUGUUGUUAGAUAAACAACUUUUGUAAAGGAAUUUUUGAUGCAAUUGUAAAAUAGGGACUAAAUUGAAGAAUAAAAAUUAUUAUGUGGUGAAAUUAUGAAUUUAUGAAUUAUAUGGGCUGCUAUUAGUAUGUUUAUAAUCCGGCUAGGGUUGGGUAGGGUUAAAAUUGAAUGAAUUUCAUUUUCCGAGCCUAGGGACUAAAUUGUAAAGAAUUAAAAGUAUAGGGGAAAAAUGGUAAUUUCACUAAAAUAGAGUAUUGGACUAAAUUGAAUAUGAUUUAUAUUGAAUUGAGUUAAAUUCAUUCGUAUAGAUCCUGUUAGACCUCGUACGGAGUUAGAUCGAGGCAAAGAGAAAAUCUUAGAUUAAUCGACUUCGUAUCUACGUAUACUCGUCGAGGUAAGUUCGUGUAAUUAAAUUGUGCAUUUAUAUAAUUUAAAUUGAAUUAUAUGUUUGUGAAUUGUGUAAUUGCCAUGUAUAAGUACUGAUAGCAUAUCCGACGACGUACAACGACUACACGAGCCUCGUUUGAAACUUAGGAAUUCGUAGGAUACAAAUGACAUGUCAUUAGGGUUACCGAUUUCAGCUCGUAUUAGCCUACUGAUACUCAGCUCGUAUGAGCUUACCAGUACUCAGCUCGCAUGAGCUUACUGUUAUUUAGCUCGGAGGAGCUUACUGUUUACAGCUCGUAAGAGCAUACCGAUUUAGAGCGCGUAUAAGCAUACAUAUACAUGAAUUGAUAGAUUACAGUUCAGUACACCUCGUGCAUACUACCCACGUAUCCAACGAUAUUCUAAAUAAUUCAACGGGCAAUGUUCUAUUACGAGAUUAUACGAGUUCAGUAUAAACUACUACAGGCACUUAAAUGAAGUACAUAGAAGUGAUGUUACAUGAUAUACUGAUAUAUGAAAUGAAUGAUACAUGUAUAUGAAAUGUAAAUAAUUAUUGAGCUCAUCCAUGAGUAUUGGAUAUUAUAUAUAUUUUACAUGGCUAACAUGUUGGCGAAAAUGUGUUUAGGGUUUUGGCCAUUUUGGCUGGGAUAUGCUAUGCCUGCUUACCUUAAUUGUGAUUUAAAAUGGUAAGUUAAAUUCUAUGUUAUACGAACUUACUAAGCUUAAAUGCUUACUCUAUGUUAUUUUCCAUGUUUUAUAGUGACUUAAAAGCUCAUUCAGGUUAGAAGCUUGUCGGAGCUAUAUCACACUAUUCGUCAGCCCCUUUUGGUACUUUUAGUUGUUUAAUUUUGAUUACAAUGGCAGGUAUAGGUUAUUUUGGCAAUUGUUGGCCUAUGUGUGAUGUUGUGGUUGUGGCCAUAUGCUUUGGCUUGUGUUUUGGUAUCUUUUGCUAUGUAUAUAUAAAUGGUCUUAUCAUGUUUGAUGUGUGGUUUGGUAUGAUUAAUAUGUGAAUUGAUUUAUGUUUGAUGGAUGAAAAUUAAAUGGUUUGUAUUAGUUUUUUUAGUGCACAAGUUACAAGUGACUUGUACGACCAUUUUAUGCUAGAUAUCAAGUACAUAAAUGGUACUACAUGGUAUGUUUUGAGUAAUGACUUAGAUGGUAAGUUUUGGUACAAAUAUGCAUAUAAGUUAGUUAAACAAUUGGAUAUAUUGAAUGUUUAGAUAUACAUGUUAUAAGUUGUCAUUUGAUGUGCCUAACGGCAUAUUGGUUGUAUGUGAAGAAAUUACAUGUUUAAGGCUUGAUUUUGGCUUAUGUUGGAUGCCUAUUUAUGACUUGUGUAUAUGCAAAGUGUUGAGUUUAGGUUGGUGCCAAAUUGGGUGUGAAAUGUGGCUUAUAAAAUUGCCUAUUUUCGUCCACACGGGGACAGACACGGGCAUGUGUCUCAACCUUGUAUGACACACAGCCAUGUGUCCCCUGUAGGUUUAUAACGUUUGCAAAUCAAGCUGUUACAUGACCUAGCACACGGCCUAGCACACAGCCGUGUGAGAUUACUUCGAAAAGGUACACGGUCUGGCACACGGGCAUGUGGCUUAGCCGUAUGACCCAACUCACUGAGUUACACGGGCAUAGACACGGGUGUGUCCCUAUUACGAAUGCGCAAAUGGCCUAAGACACGAGCGUGUCUCUUGGUCGUGUGAAUCACACGGCCAGGCCAUACAGCCGUGUGACCCCUGCAGGUUUGAAAUUUUUCCAUGUUUUUCAAAAAAUUCCUUGAGUUUUCAAUUUAGUCCCGACUUGUUUUUAACACUUAUUUAGGGCCUCGAGGGCUCUUAUAAAGGACAAUAUGUAUGUUUUGAAUUGGUUUUCAUAUUAAUAUUGUUAUGAGAUUAAAUUUAUGUCUGUUUGAUUUGUAAUCUUCGGUAGAGUUCCGUAACCAUGUUCCGAGGACGGAUUCCGGUUAGGGGUGUUACAGGGAAAACAUAUGUUCUUUCUAGUGCUAUCACACCCAAACUUGAGUUUUUACUUGUCCUCAAGUAAAACAGAAACUAGAAAAUGUACAAAAAUUUUACUAAAGAAAAUGAUCAUUCUAGCAACUUGAAUCCUUUAAAUUUCAAUUGAAUGGAUCACAUUCAGAUGAAAGAAUAUUGCAUUGACAAUACAUAAGCAUGAAUGAAUAACGUUGCAACUUCAUCAAUGAUAGCAUCAUGCUUCAAACCCUAACUUCUAUCUACCAAUACAUCAUUUAUUGUACAAUACUAAGUAUUUAUAUAUAUUAUAUACACAUUUUUUUUUCAGAAUAAGGGAUAUCGUUGUAUUACUAUACCUUUGUUCCUGAGAAGUAACGAUGGGGUGCAACAAACCCCCACGGAGUACGUAAUUGUACUAACACACACUCAUGCAAUGACAGCCUUUGGCCAGAUUAAUUUUUCUAACGCUUGUAUUGGAGUGUUCUCUCGUUAACAAUCCAUACUACACCCACUUUGGAGUGUCUCUAAUUUAUAACUCUCUCUAUAUAUAAGCAGAUGUAAAAAGUAAAUUCCUUCAAGAUUUAAGAAAUGAUAGCAGUGAUCCAUUACUAAUGCAACCUAAUCCAUUCAUCAAAGAAUUGAAGCUACAACCUUUUGUCAAAUUUAUCCAACUCAUUCAUUGAUAACUCACAUGAUUCAAGAAUUAAGCAUCGAAUGUAACAAAAAAUUUCUAACAAUUUUCAUUAACUAUAAUUAAACCUUGCAUGCUUCAUUACCGACAAAAAAUUUUGAAAUAUGGGUGCAUUUCCAAGCCCCAUGUGCAUUCUGCAAAACUUAAAGUUUACAUUUUCACCAAUGCACUAACAUGAAAAUAUAAUGACAAUAAAAAAUACAAUGACAAUGUAUACUUACCAAAAUAAAACUUGCAAUUACAUGCAAUGUAUAAAUACUACAACUAAAGCUUAAAAUAAACUAACUCGGUUAUCCUCAGCCAUCAUUGUGGCUGCACGAUUUUUCUUUCUCCUCCUUUUCUACUCCUUCUUCUUUCUUUUUUUAUCCUUGGAGGGCUUCCUCUUCUUUUUUUUGGGCUUCGUAUGGUUCUCAAACUGCUCCUCAGUUUUCGGUUCUACCCUGGAAUCAUCAAUUAUUUCCUGUGUAGAAGAGGCCACCUGCAGUGGUCCAAUAUAGACCACUAUUGCCUAUGAAUUGCAUUGCUCCUCACUAGUUACUUUAGCAACUUCGGCCAGUCUCGCUCCAUCUGGCUCCAAAGUAUCAAUAGUUACACGCACAAACUCGGGUAUGGUGACAAUGUGCACAACAGAAUCUUCAUCUUCUUUUUCUUUCUUAUUUUUAGCAACUUUUUUCUUUUUCAGCAACAACUUCCUCUUUUGCAACAGCAACUUCCUUCUCAACAAUAGUGACUUUCUUAUCAACAAAAAUACCAUCCUCGAUUAAGCUAUCAAUCUUUCAUAGGCAUUCUUCAAUGUCCCUGGAUUCCUCUUCUUUCUCAUUAUCAGAGACCUACACAAUGGAUGUGGAUGCCACUGAUCUGUCUCGGUUUUCAAAGUUGUCAUCCGCAAAAGAGAGGUCAUAAUUCUGAAUGGUUGGUGGAAACACUCAAAAUUCUGGUCGUGGGGAUUGGCUCAGUCGGCCUAAUGUGGCUAUAAUAGAACUGUUUCAGGCUUUGGUAUAAGCAUAAAACAAAUUCUAGGAUUUCUCCGUAUCCUCUACUAUAACGACAAGCCUGAUCUACCUAUUGUUGAUGGAAUUGACCAUUUUUUCGACAUCUGUCAAUUUGUGCCAUCAUGAUGUUUCUGUAUUUAGGUUUGUUCAUUUGUUGUCGGCUUUGGUUUUUCCUUUCUUUGUCUUGUUGGUUUUUGCCUCCUUCAGUAUCGGCGUGUCCUUGCCACGAGUCAUUUUUUCUACAGAGGCUUCAUUGAUCGGGCCCUUAUUUUCCAGGAAUUUCUCACCAGCACGUGGUACAAUUCCUUUUUGUUGGAACAAUAACAUCGCCAAUGAUGGGAAAACAAAGAUUUCAGUUUGCCUUGCGGCGUAAUCAAAAAUUUCCUGGUGAAGUAUUAUGCCUACAUAAAUCUUUUUGCCAUUGAUGAUGGAAUGUAUAAGACACAUUCUAUUGAGGGUGACUGUGGUGCUUUGAGUAGAGGGCUUUAGCCUGUAGUUGACAAAAUGAAACCAAUUUUUUCCUUGCAGGAUCAGGAAGUGACAGUGCAUCGUAUAAUUCUUUUGAUGGGAACCCGUCCACAAUGCUCCCUUGACAUACUAGUCUUUCACCAACAGGUCUCAUUUUUCAUCUGUGAUGUCUUUCAUGAACUCAGUGUGUUCGUCUACAUCCACCUUAAUGUUGUACAACUCGUUGAUUUUCUUAGCGUCCCAUGGUAUUAAGUCUUCUCGAACAAAAAUGAACUCUAACUCAUGAUCGUAAAGGUUAGCAUAAAACUUGCAUACUAGUAAAGGAGAAUAACUUCCAAGAUGGGUGCAAAAAGUUUCCCACAUCAACUUCGAGAUGGUUUUUUAGACUUACUUACCCAAGUCUUGUUGUGGCGAAAGGGAAAUUACAUGUUCGGGAUGGAAAUUUUGCUUCAACAUGUUGUCUUGAAAUCAUUCCUUUACUGCUUUAUUCAAAAAGAUUACUGGCUUCUUUGUCUGCACUGGCCUGGGGGAUUCUGAUUCACGAACUGCGGUAGCAGAGGACGCAUGUUCUCUAGUAGAUUUGGUGGCUUUCUUAACCGAGCCUCUUGUUUUUGCCAUCUUUUGUUGAGGGAAAACAGUUUAAAGUUAAAAAGAUAUGAUGUUGAGUAGAGAAAAGAAAUAAAAAUGGUUGCUUGAAUGCAUUACAGUCGGUACAGUGGGGGUGAAUUUAUAGUGAGUGAAAGAGGAAGAUGGAGAGGUGUGUUGUUUUGUGGAGAGAUAUAUAAGACUGGCGGGAAUAGUUGUGUCCAAUAAAAAUUUUGCCCGCUCAAAAAGAUCAAAUGCUUAGGUGAUCUUUGAUCCAAUGGUGUAAUUUGAAUUUUUCUAAAUUCUGAUGAGUUAUAAAUUGUAGUACAGAAUUUUGGAAUGCGUUGAUAGUAAGACUUCAAUGGAUCGACAAUGGUACCUAAUUAUUCUGCAAAAAGGAAGGAAAAAAAACUUUAACAAAACAUAAAUAAAAUAAACUAAAAUUAUGGAGUAGUAAUUAAAAAUUAAAAACUUUUGACCAAUUUAAUGGUCUCUACCUACUUUUGAUCACUAUUGCUAAAAUAGGGUUUCAGACUUUGUCCAUUUACUUUGAACUGGUGUCCAUCACGUAAAUCUCAAAUUAUGACCGUACCAUGAGGAAAUACAGCUACAACUUCAAAAGGCCCAGACCAACGUGAAUGCAAUUUACCUGGGUGUAAUCUGAGUCGAGAAUUGAAUAAUAAAACCUAUUGACCCGUGAUAAAUUGUCACUGUAAAAUAAUCUUGUCAUGCCAUUCUUUGGUCUUUUCCUUAUAAAUUGCAGCAUUUUCUUAAACAUUUCUCUUAAUCUUCUCUAGUUCAGUGAUCCAACAGUCUUUUCUUUCUAGCCACUUCAUAGUCCAUGUUCACUUGCUUAAUUGCCCAUAUUGCUUUGUGUUCCAGUUCAACUGGAAAGUGACAUGCUUUCCCAAAAACCAAUUGAUACGGUGACAUCGCUAAUGGAGUUUUAUAUGUUGUCCGCAAUGCCUAUAAAGCAUCAUUGAAUUGGAAAGACCAAUCUUUACUCGAAGGGUUUACAACCUUCUCAAGAAUAUUCUUAAUUUGUUGAUUCGAUACUUCGUCUUGUACAAUGGUUUGUGGAUGAUAAGUAGGAGCCAAUCUAUGAUUAAAUCUAUAUCUCAUCUGUGCGGUUGCCACUUGGUUGCAAUGAAAGUGUGUACCCUGAUCACUAAUCAAUGCCUUUGGUGUGCCGAAGCGGGUGAGUAUAUGCUUGUGUAAAAAUUUUAGCACUGUCUUUACAUCAUCCUUUGGAACUACAAUAGCUUCAACCCACUUCGAGACGUAGUCAACAGCUACUAAUAUAUAAAGAUUUCCAAAUGAACUCGAAAAUGGUCCCAUAAAAUUCAUACCCCAAACAUCGAAUAAUUCAACAUCCAUAAUUGCCUACUGCAACAUUUCAUUGCGUCAGGAUAUUGAACCAAUGCGCUGACACCUAUCACAUUGAUUCAUAAACUUGUGGGCGUCUUUGAAUAAUGUUGGCCAGUAGAAUCCUAAUUGGAGAACUUUACCUGCAGUUCUCAUACCACCGAAAUGACCUCCAUAAAGAGCAUCAUGAUAAUGUUUCACAAUCGAAAGUGUCUCCUCUUCCGGAACACAAUGUCAAAUGAUGUUGUCAUUGUAUACCUUCAAUAAAUACGGCUCGUUCCAAUGAUACUUCACUACGUCACGUUGAAAUCUUUCUUUCUUAUGGCCUCUGACACCCAAUGGGAGUUUUCCACACACUAGAUAAUUAACAAAAUCUACAUACCAAGGAGUUACAUCAACAUCAAAUAACUUCUCAUCUGGGAAUGCUUCGACAAUUUGAAUUAUGUUUCCAUCUUUGCUACCAACUUCCAGUAGAGACAGAUGGUCUACAACUUGAAUCUCUAAACCCUUACGGUCUUUUAUCUCAAUGUAAAAUUCUUGCAACUGUAAUAUCUAGCGUAUUGGUCUUGGUUUGGUAUCUUUUUUCAUAAAGAAGUAUCACAACAGUAAGUGAUCAGUGAAUACGGUAACCUUUGCACCGACAAGAUAGGAACGAAACUUGUCGAAAAGAAAGACUACAGCUAGUAAUUCUUUCUCUAUGGAGGUAUAAUUGAAUUGAGCCUCUAUAAGAGUUUUGCGAGCAUAAUAGAUGGCGUGAAAUAUUUUUCCCUUUCGUUGUCCUAGAACCGCACCCAUAGCUAAGUUGCUUGCAUCACACAUAACUUUAAAAGGUAGAGACCAAUUUAGUAAAACAACAAUAGGUGCAUUCACUAGUUUCUUUUUUAACUGAAUAAAGGCUUUGGAAUUUUUGAAAAAUUUCUAAUAAACCUUCGAUAAAGCCCUGCAUGUCCAAGAAAACUGUGAUUAACUUUCACAUCUAUCGGUGGAGGUAAUUUCUCAAUGAUUUCUACCUUAGAUUUGCCUAGUUGAAUGCCUUGACUAGAGAUGUGAUAUCCUAACACAACGCCUUCAGUUGCCAUAAAAUGACAUUUUUCCCAAUUCAGUACAAGAUGUGUGUCCUUACAUCACUUCAGUACUUUAUCCAAAUUGUCAGUGCAAUGAUCAAAAUCAUUCCCAUAGACUGAGAAAUCAUCCAUAAAUCAUCCAAAGAGUCUUCAAUCAUAUCUGAGAAUAUUGCCAUUAUGCACAUUUGAAAUGUGACUGGUGCGUUGCAAAAACCAAAAGAAAAGGCGAAAAGUGUAAGUACCAAAAGAGUAGGUGAAGGUUGUUUUCUCCUGAUCCUCCGGUGCAAUAGCAAUUUGAUUGUAUCCAGAAUAGUCGUCUAAAAAGCAGUAAUAGGUCUUUCUAGCAAGCCAAUCCGACAUUUGGUCAAGGAAAAGAAGUGGGAAGUUAUCAUUCUUUGUGGUCGUAUUCAAUUUGCGAUAAUCCAUACAAACUCGCCAUCCCAUGGGAAUGUGUGUAAGAAUUAAUUUGUCCUUAUCAUUGCGAACCACAACGAUGCCACUCUUUUUAGUUACGCAUUGCACUGGACUUACCCAAUUGCUAUAAAAAUUUGGGUAAUUAAUUCCAGCAUCAAGCCAUUUUAUGAUUUCCAUCUUGACAACUUCCUUCGUCUUCUUGUUUAAUCUUCUUUGUUGUUCAAUCUAUUGCUUGCCUUCGUCUUUCAACUUAAUUUUGUGCAUGCAAAAAGAAGGACUGAAACCUUGAAUAUCGGCAAUACUCCAAGCGAUAGCUCAUUUACGUUGCUUGAGAAUAUGGACCAAUUUUUCUUCUCUAGUUACAUCCAGUAUUGUGGAGAAAAUAACUAGAAGUUAUUGUGAUCACCUAGAAAGACAUAUUUAAGAUGAUGAGUUAGUGGUUUCAAUUCUUGAGUAGGACCUUCUUCAAUAGAGGGUUUGAAAAUUAGGGUUGUUCUGUUGGCUACAUCUAAGGAUUCAAUCUUUCAUCCAUGCUUGAGUUCAAGAUUGUUAGCUUUAACCAUGCUAUCAAAAUUGUCUAUGGAUUCGACAUCAGAUGUCACUGCAAACUCUUCAGAAGUACUAUGCUUUGGUCAUUGAAUUCUUCCUCAAUUAGAUCAUCUAGCACAUCGAAAGUAUGUCAUUAUUUUUUGUCCUUGGAUUGAAUAGAUUCAAAAACACGGAAGGUAACUUGCUUAUUAUUAAGUUGCAUGGUUAGUUCACCUUUAUAAACAUCAAUAAGAGUUCGACCUGUGGCUAAAACUGGUUGUCCCAAUAUUAUGGAAACCUCUUUUUCUGCAUUGCACUCAAGUAUGAUAAAAUCAGCCGAAAAAUGAAUUUAUCCACACGAACUAAGACAUCUUUGAUUUUCCCUUCAGGUUGAGCUAAGGACCAUCGGCUAAUUAUAAUGUCACUGCAAUAGAUUUCAUGUGACUAAUUCCCAACUUUCUAAAAGUAGAUAGUGGCAUUAGGUUAAUGCUAACUCCCAAGUCGCAUAAAGUCUUGCCCAAAUAAUGAUUGCCAAUUGAACAUGGAUGGUAAAGCUCCCAUGAUCUUUUAAUUUAGAGGGCAACUUGUUUGUCAAAAUAGCAUUAUAGCCUUCUAUGAGUGCAAUAGUUUCAAUAUCAGUGAGCUUCUUCAAGAGGUCUUUCAUAAAUUUCCCAUAACUAAGAAUUUGUACCAGAGCGUCUACUAAAGGAAUGUUGAUCUGUAGUUGCUUCAGUGUGUCUAGGAACUGCUGAUACUACUUGUCAUGCUCAUUCUUCCUAAAUCUUUAAGGAAAAGGUAAAGGUAAGCUAUAUCUUCUUGUGUCAGCACCUUUGAUUACAUCGACAGUUUUGAAGGUCGGACAUUAGGCAUAUGAGUGACAAUUCGUGGACUUUUUUUGUCUGAUUUGUCAGUAAAUUCUUCAGAUUCAACCUUCUCAUCAGUGAUCACUCCAUCAGUAUAUUGAGGUGCUAUAGUAGAGUCUAUAAACGGUUUACCAGUUUGUUUACCACUCCUAAGAGAUAUAGCAUUGCAAUGUUCUUUCCCCCUUGGACUAGGAUUUUUCGUGUCACUAGGUAAUGAGCCUAGUGGUUGAGUAUUCAGAUUUGAAGUAAGUUGUCCUAAUUGUCCUUCCAGUACUGGAAUGGAAGAUGAAUUCCCUUGUACGAUAGCUUCCGUGCGAGUACUAUGCUCCUGCAUUAACGCCUCAAGAGUGGCUAAUUGGUCAAAAGUAGAAGCUUGAGUGUACGGUUGUUGUCGAUGUCCUUGAACAUGCUAAUUCAGUAUUGAAAAGUGUUGUGGUUGCAUCAAAUUUUGCUGUGGAUGUGUCUAGCCUUGUUGUGGAUGUAUCUAAGUGUGCUAAUUGUAGUUCUAUUACUAUUGAUUGUAAUUCCCUUUUCUGGGAUUAUAAUUUCCCUGAGUGAAUGUAUUCCCAUAUCAGAAUGUCACAGUAUUUUGUCCAGCAUUCUAAGUUCCCUAAAACGGUGGGUGCUUGCAGAGUUGUUGUAAGAGUUACCAUAAGAAUUGUUGUGGAUUUUACUAAUAUAGCAAGCAUUCUCUCCAUGUUGUGGACAAUCUUCAUAGCUAUGAUUCUCACUACAAAACUCAUAACAAAAAGUAGGAACAUCAACUUGCUGAGUGACUUGUAUAGGUGCAACGCUACUAGUCCCUUCAAUAUUUUUAAUCAUGUCUGUGAGAGAAGAAACUUGAGGACUUAGUGCGACUAUUACAUCCAAUUCAAUAACUCCUAGAGUAGAUUUUGCUUGUGCAACUCUAGAGAUAGAGUAUUGAUAAUCAUUCUAAGCAAUUCUCUUAAGAAUUCUCACAGCAUUAUUAUAAGUACAAUCCAGCAAAGGUUCAUUGGCUGAUGUGUCAACAAGAUCCUUAUAAAAAAUUAAUUUGUGUUUCUGGUUGAAUGUCGUGCAUGGGACAAUGUCGAAGUAAAUAUUUAUAACGUUCCCAUGUGGUGUGAAGAUUUUCAUCAUCUAGCUGAUGAUAAUCAAUAAUAUCAUUUUGAAAACGAGCAUUCAUUAUUGGCGGGUUAAAUUGCAAAACAAACCGUGUUGGUAGUGCAUCCCAGGAAGUAAUUUAUCCGGCAGGUAGCCCAAAAAACCAAGUACGGGCUCUUCCCUAUAAGGACUAAAGAAAAUAAUUGCAUCUUCAAGGCAUCAUCAGGAACGCCUUACUGACUAAAGGAAGCACAGAUCAACCAAAAGGAUUUAAGAUGUUAUUUCACUUCUUCAUGUGGCAAUCCAGCAUAUUGUCUAUUAGAAUUCAGCAUUUGAAACAUUACUGGCUCGAGUUUGAAAUUCCCAACUUGGAUUGCUAGCCUCACAACUCCUGGUUGUAAAUCAUCAAAGACAAGUACUCUAAAAUCUCGUAUAGUCCUAUUUUGUAUGUGAGCAUCUUGCAACAAACAAUAGGUUAUUAACAUUUUGUUGUUGCAUUGAGGGUAUGGCUGCAUUGUUUCCUGGUAGAGUCAUAUUUCUUUGUUCUUGAAGUCUACUCUGAACAGUCCUUUCAAUUUUUGGAUGAAAAUUGGCAAGAAAAUCUGACUUGUUUCGGGUCAUAAAACACCUAAAAUGAAGUUGAAGAAAUAGAAACAAAGAAAACCAGUCAGCAAAUACUAAAUAUUAUAAAAGGAAAAUAAAGUGCAAAAACACACAAAAACAAAAAUAAACAUCAAACAAACGUCAUCCCUGACAACGGUGCCAAAAACUUGAUAAGUUGUUUAACAUCACAGUAAUAAUGUGCAAGCGUACACUGUCGAUACAACUAUAGUAGACAGAUGUGAGUCUGUUGGAUAUCGAUCCCACAGGGAUGGGUGUCUUUUGUCUAUUAAUGUCACUGAACAAUUUGAUAUAAGAGACACAAAUUGUGAGGAUAGUUGUUGAAGCAAUAACUUGAAAAGAAUAAAAUAUGAUAAUGAUAAACUAGGAUCCCCACCAUGAAUCUUCACCAGAAUACUGAGUGCUCACAAGGUAUAAAAGGAUAGGUGAUUGUCGAGGCAAUAAAAUUCAAUGUACAUCUUACCCAGCGUCAUCCUCUAUCUAAUCUGAGACUUAAACAUGCACAUUAACCCUACCUUCCGAUGAUGGCAACAUGGCACUAUUAAGAACAAGUGGACUAUAUUCCUCUAAUCCUCACUCAACUUCCAUUGUAAUGCUUGUUGGCUCAAACUGUCACUGCACUUUCCAAUGUUACUGACUACAAUAACACUUCUGUGUUAAGGAACAUUCAAACCCAAAGAUUCAACAAUAAAAGUAAGAUUGAAUAAAAUAAUAUUUAACCAAGAAUUCAUGUGUAUUUCCAUACAAAUAGAAAAUAGAGAAUAAUCACUAGCAUUUAGAAAGAAAUAAGAAAGAAUCGAAUGGAGAAUACUAUUCCUAGACAGCUUGAUUGAAUCACUCUAUUCCCUCUUGUCUCGCACUUAGGUCUUCUCGUCAAAAGCUCAUCUGCAUCAAUUUUCACGUUCACUCACUCGGGAGAGGCUUAAGCUGCCAUAGCUGCAAGUUUCAAGGUAGGAUGAAGAAUAUGAUGAUCAAGAAAGAGACCCCUCUUUUCUUCUCACGUAAACCUUUUAUGUCCUCCUCCAACAGUACAGGUGUCCUUUCCUUAGAAUUAUUUUGUCCUUGUACGUAUAGGUUGGUUAUACCAGGUUGGAUAGCUCACACAAUUUUAGUUCUUAUUCGGAAAGCUGUCAGGUGUGGCGACAAUUCUAGACGCAAUCUGGAAUUAACUCAUGCAACGAAAUUAAUGCAAAAGGAUAGCAAAAUUAAGGAUAAAAUAGGUUAGGAUUCACUGAGUUAUAAAAUGCAAUUUACUAAACUGAAAAUGCUAAAAUCUAUGCUAAGGAUAACUAAAUAGGAACAAUUUAACCAAUAAGUAAGGGGAAAACCUAUGUUCUUUCUAGUGCUAUCAUUUGUUGAUGGUAUUUGUUUGAUAUUAGGAAAUGGUAGCAUGAUUGUUAAUUGAAUAGCACUUUAGCUGUAUGAAAGUAGAAUGUUUUUAUGUGUUAAAAGUGAUUUUAAAUAGGUCAUUUUAGUUAGAAAUGGGAUGGCUCAGUGUCCAAGUUAGAAUGGUUGUUUUGGCUUGACAAUGAAGAAAUUUAGCAGCACACAGCCUAGAAUAAGGGUUGUCACACGGUCGUGUGUCAAUUUUAUUUUAGGUGCAAGUUUCACAUGACCUGGCACAUAGCCUGCGACACUACCGUGCGACCUAAGUUAGUGAGUUACAUGAACGGGUACAUGAGCUAAGACAUGGCCAUGUCCUUGCACCACAUUGCUUGGCCAUGUGGACGUGUGACCCCGUUUCCAAAAUUUUCAAGUUUUUCCAUAUUUUUCUAUUUUGAUUCAAAUUAUUCCCUGAUUGUUUCUAAACUAUUUUUAUGGUCCAUAAGCUUAUUUUAAGGGGUAAGCAUAAUUCCUCCUAAACAAUAAAAUAUGUUAACAUGAGGAGGAAAAUGUUUACUAGUUAUAUCAUCUGCAAUCACCUGAAUUUCAAGGCGUUCUUUGACCAAUCAUAGACUUGAUUAAGAUAGGUAAACCAAGAGGACCCCCUCCGAGAACUAUAUAUGAGAAUUUCAUCUCGUACAGCUAAAACGAAAACACUCAAGUAAUAGCUGAAAUAGAUAUGAAAUAGAAAGUUUGACACUUCUUAUUCUUUUCAUUCAAUUUUAUCUAAAGACACAAAAGAGUGAAAAUCUGAAAGCUCUUUUUGCAUAAAUGAAAUUUUGCUAUAAAUGACUUGUAAAUUAAAAUGUUGUUAGUUAGUUCAAUAAAUGAUUGGAUAAAUGUUAUAAUUGUUUCAAUUUGUAUUGUAAUACUCUGUCACUUUAAUCUAGUCACUUAAACAAGAGAAAAUGUGUUACAUUUAGUGGUAUCAAAUCCAGAUUUUGUCAAUUCUAGGCCUAAGUAUAACCUCUCAAACCCGGUGUAGACGUUAUAGUCGAAUCGUGGAAGUCACAUUGGACACCUCAGCGUCGAUCCUACCUUAUCGAUAGUUGAAACUCCAAAACACCCUCUUUUAAUAAAACAGUGAUUACCUUUGUUAAUUCUGGGAAAACAUUCAUUUAAUUAAAUCAACCUUUAUUAAGUUAGAUUAGCAAAACUAGUGUGAUUUUUGAAAAAGUUAAUUCUAGGAAAACAUUCAUUUAAUUAAAUCAACCUUUAUUAAGUCAGAUUAGCAAAACUAGUGUGGUUUUUAGAAAACAUUGCACGACAUUGCCCUAGAAGGAAAAAAAUUUAAUUUAUCUUAUUUGCAGUGGUAAAACGAGCGAAAUUCCCAAUUAUUAAUUUAUUUGAGUGACAUGCUCAAUCCAAUUUCAACUUAUAACCAAUAUUCAAUCCCAAUUGUGAAAACCAUGCAUGCAUGAAAACUUCAAAACGGAAAUAGUCUCAAACCAUAGUUCAAUUAAUUUUACAGUCCAAAACUGAAAUAAUACUAGGAAAUUUUAAAUAUAAAUGAAAUAUAAAUAAUAGUGUGGAAAUAAGUCCAAAGUCCGUCAUACAUCCACAUACCCAAUCCGAUCCUAAUUUCGUUCUUUACCUAAGAGGUUGAAGUAGUGGGGUGAGCCUAACAAGCUCAUUGUGAGUCUAAACAAUCAAGCAUAUUACAUACAUUCAAGCAUUUUCUCAUAAAACUAAAUAACAUAAUCAAAAUCAAUAGUAAUAUUCUUAUGUAUCAUGAUCAAACAUAAUGCACAUGCGAGUUCCUACCCGAACCAUCUGCUACACACCACAUGUUCCCAAGAACCCGUUACCCGAACUCUAAAAUAGUAUGGGCUUAAGCCCAUUGUGGCUAAAACCACCAAUAGUAGUAUGCAAAAAAUUCUGCAAGUAAUAAUGCAGACAAGCUGUCACACCUCAAAAUAGGGCCUAGAAGUUAUGAGGAUAUUUUAAGGAUUUUAGCUUUCGUGAGCUCAAAAAUUCGUUAGCAUGUUAUUUAGAAAUGUUUUUGUCUAUGGAAUUUUGAAAAUUAAAUCAAUUUUUGAAAAAGAUACUAAAAAGGCUUUCAAUUUUGAAAUAAGGAUUGAUUUGUAAAAGCAUCAAAAUUAUGUGUGUUUAUGGAGCAGUUUUCCCAAAAUUUAAAAAUCAACCUAAUAACUCCCCACCUACAGCUUAUUUUCAAGAAAUUUUUUUCACUUCAUCCUAUUGUGUCAUCCAUUGCUCUCCCAAGCCACUUCUAAUUGAUUUUUUUCUUUCCAAACUAUCGAGAAAAUCACCAUAGAUUUCUCCUUUGUGAAGUUUGUGGGUUUUUUAGGUUUUCAACCAAGAGCUCAUUUUUCUUCCAUCGAAGGUAACUAUUCUUCUUUCUAUUAGUUUUUAAUGUUCUUUUGUCUUUAAAACAAAGUUUCUAUCCAUUGAAUUGCACGUUUUAACUAAAACCUAAAAAUUGGGUCGUUGAUGGUGGAUUUCAGGAUUUUGGGUAAAAAUGUGGUUUCAAAGUGUUUUUCAAUUAUUUUUGACAUGAUUAAAAGGUUUCUAAACUUACUUUGAAUUUUCAUUAAAGAUUUCUAAGGAUUUAUUGUAUUUUUUUUGUGAAAUUGCCAUAAACAUGUUAAAAUUUUUGAUACCAUGAAUUGAGUAGUUUUGCGUAGUUUAAAGAUUGAGAAUUAGUCGUAGGGGAAUAAAUAGAUGAAUGAAAUUAGUUUUAGGCAAAAUGAUUGAGUAUAGGCUGAGAUAUUUGAAUAUCAAGUUUGUUAUGUCGAAAGUUUUGAUUACGUGAGAAUUUAGCUUAGGCUUGUAUUUUUUAUUGUUUAAGGUGAAUCCUUAACUGAUUGUUGAUUGUGUUAUUGUGUGAAUUAUUGUGUUGAAGAUUCAAAUUCAUUAGGACCUUCUAUGAGCUAUGGAAAGGCUAGUUUGAGCUUUUGGCAUUUCAGCAAAAGUGUAUUGGUGAAUGUUUAGAAUAGUAACUUGUGGACACAAUUCAAUACGUUAAUUGGGAAUUUAGUAGUAGCCUAAACCACUACUCUAAAUUUUGAGUGUAAGCUUUCUCAUACUCUUUAUUUAAUAUGUGAAACGUGUUGUGAAAUUGUGGAUUAAAUUGUGAUAUUAUGACAUGUGAUAUAAGCUUCUGAUGGUUAUUGUGAAAAGUUUAUAGUGGGCAUGUUAUACGUGCCAUAUGACAGUGAUUAUGUCAUGAAUAUAUUGUGAUUGUGCAAUGAAAAACUGCAAAAACGUAAGUAAAAUAUGUGGUUAAUAACAGAUAUUUUGGAUUUUAAGUACACACCUAUAUGUGUGAUGGAAAGUGUUAGCUAUAUGCUUCACUUUUUGGGAUAUGUUCGACUCUAUGAGUCAUUUGAUGUGUUGGAGAUCCGUGUAUCCGAUGAGUGGUGAUAGAGCCCACUUUUAUGUUUCAUAGCUCAAGUGCCAAACUAUCUUUAAAUGUGAUUAUAUGAAAUGUGUUAUAUUUGAAAAGUGAAUAUGAUUACUAUGUAAAUGAAUUAAUGAAUAAUGCAUGAAUAACUAUAAUAUGAUAUUAAAGAUGAGACGUUGCAAUUGUGUUAAAUGGAUAUUUUAGAAAUGCAUGAUGAUUUGUUUGCAUGAUAUUUAUCCUGGGCAUUCACUAAGCUUGCAGAGCUCAUCCACUCCUUUUAAUCCAUUGUAGAUUAGUAGUGUUCUGGUUUGAACGGUGUGGUUCCGAGGGGUGAUCCAAGCAAGUCUUUUACGUUAAUUCGUAGGUGUUUAUCUAUUCGUUUAUGUUUUGGGAAAAUAAAGGCAAUGUGGUAGAACUAUUGCAUAAAUGUUGCCAUGAUAUUUUGGUUAUUAUCAUAGCUUAUCAAUUCUUAGAAUUUAUGGAUAUUGUUCUUGUUAUGUCACUUGGCUACUCGGACAUGUUUUCGAUGAUUGAACAGUUAUUGUGGUCAUUUUGAUGUUUAUUUGAUGAGGUAUUAGUUACAUGUUGAAUGGUUUAUGACUGGGAUGGUUUAUUUGCCUUAUUAUGUUGUAUUUUUUGUGUCUAGAGUGGAGGUAUUGAUAUUUGGGUUGUGUUGUAUAGGAAGUCAGUAUUAUAAUUUGGUAUCGAUACCUUAUCACGAGUAUCGAUACUCGGGGUAAAAUAAUCAAUACUUUAAUAAAUACAUCAGUAUUUUAUGGGAUUUGAUUUUUAGACGAGAAAUAGAAUGUUGUUUUGGUACCGAUUUUCCAAUCGGUAUCGAUACAAUUUAAAGAAAAUAUCGAUACCUACAUGAUUAUUUUGGGAAAUUUUUCCAUGUGGUCCCUAUGCAUGUCUAACUGUAACACCCCGAAUUUUGGGCCUAGAAGAAAUAGGUUUUGAACAAGGGAACAAUUAGGAGACUACACAUAAAUAUUUAGUUGUGCAAGGAAGUGACAUAAAUGAAUGUCUGCUUUAGUGGUUAAGUGAUUUGGGAGUGUUUGGAAGUGUCUAAGAAGUCAAGGGUUCAAUCCUUGGCUUAUGCAAAAUUUUUAUUUUUAGUGAAUAAAAUCCUUGGAUCUAGAUAGUAGGUUCUUAAAUUAUUGUGGUUAAAAUCUGAUACAAAGGAGUUGUUGGUCUAGUGGUAAGGGGAGUGUGGAAUGUACAUGGGGUCUAAGGUUCGAGUGAAAUACGGCGUUGAGACCACACGAGUGUGCGAUCGCUCGUGUGGAAAACCAAACUUGCGAAUCAUGGGUGAUAAACUGUACAGGCCUCCAUGAGCAUUUCCAUGGGUUAAGGCCGUAAUGGGCCACGUUGGACCAAAAUGGGUCAUGUGGGAUCAAUGGGCUUGUGGGCCCCUAUGCAUGAAAUCCACGAUUUGUGGAAUAUUCUGGACUGUGUUUUGUAGAUCUCAUAACUAUGGCGAAAUCUAAGUUGAACGGGCCGCACGAGCAUGUGGGCCCACUUAGGCCAAGUAAUGGGCCUUUGGCCCAUUUACACUGUUAUGACUAAAAUACCUCUAUAGGGUAAAAUGACCAAAAUACCCCCAUAGGGUAGAAUGACCGAAAUACUCCCAUAGGGUAGAAUGACCAAAAUACCCCCAUAGGAUAGAAUGACCGAAAUACCCCCAUAGGGUAGAAUGACCGAAAUACCCCCAUAGGGUAAAAUGACCGAAAUACCCUCAUAAGGUAAAAUGAACGAAAUACCCUUAUAGGGUAGAAUGACCAAAAUACUAUCAUAGGGUAAAAUGGUCGAAAUACCCCUAUAGGGUAAAAUGACCGAGAUACCCCCAUACGGUAAAAUAACUGUUAUACCCCUAGGAGAUGAAAUAACUGUAAUGGCUUUAUGUUAUGUAUGACUGAUUUGCUCUAUGAUAGUAUGAAUAUGAUUGAGCAUGACAUUUUGCAUACAGGUAUGAUAUUAUGCCACGAUAUAUUGUAUGGGGAUGGGUUGUUAUAUUUGGAGGAAGUGUACCGUACUGAUAAGGUUGCACGGGUUGCCCAAGACGACUGUGGACCUACUGAUGGCUAUAUGCCAUUUAUUUUACUGGCAGCUUUGCUACAAUACUGUUUAGUGUCGCAACCGGUGCUAAUGUUGGUGUGUCUGGCUGGGUGGGUCGAUUUUAUCCCCACAUGGUGUGUAGAGGCUGGAUUGGGUAGGAUUUCUAAUUGCAUAUUUGCACUGAUUAAUGAUUUUGUACUGUUCUGUAUCGUUUAAUGAUAUUACAUAUUGUUCACUGCAUGACUGAUCUCUGCUACUAUUAUUGGCCAAGGCCCACUGAUAAUAUUACUGAAAUUGGGCAAAGGCCCUACUAAUUACUGGCAUUGUGAUAGGCUCCAGCCCAAUCGUUUAUUGUUAUGCGAAAGGGUUUAGGCCCACACUGAACUGGACUAUUGCUGUAACGGGCUCAGGCCCAAACUGCAUUUAUCUAAUGUUUAAUUGACUAUUUGUUUAUUAGGGGAUUACACACUGAGUUUUCGUAAACUCACCCCUCUGUUUAACUGUAUAGGUAAUCCCCAAUUAUAGGCGGGUCGGUGCUGCAAGGGACUCGGAGGUGGCCACAUAACUGCAGUUGUUCUACACUUGUUUUUAUUUAAAAUUAAAGUUUGUGUUGGGUUUUGUUUAUGUAAUAAGGCCAUUUAUGCUUGUUUAAAUUUUUAAUUGGGCUUUUCUUACUUAUUUUAAACUGCUAGUUUAGCAGAAGAUGAAUUUUUAAAAUAAUUACUAUUUUCAAAGACACGAAAUUUAAACAUUAGAGUUUUCAAAAGCUUUCGCGAUUUUAGGUCAACCUUUUAAAACAAUAGCAGAUAACAAGGUAAACGUUUUUUACUAGAUGAUUUGUUAAAUAAUAAUAAAGAGGUUUUUAAACCUAGAAAAAAAAUUUUACCAACGAGUUCAAUUUUCGCUAAACACCUCAAUGUGACACUGCCAGAUUCAGCCAUAACUCCUAGGUCGGGUUUGGGGUGUUACACUAACUAUAUUUAUAUGAUAAAGUGUGCGUACUAAGUCUUAAUGAUAAUUAGGAGUAUAUUUGAUUUAAAACUCAUGUAAAUGCUAAAAUAAAAUAUGUUUCUUUAAGAAUGAGCUCAUUUGUAUUGUAUAUGAUGUGAGAUAAUUGUCUGGCAUCUUGAUAUUCGGGCUCAACGGUCGGCCCGGGUAUAGGGUGUUACACAAGCUACCGGUAAAAAUGUGAUAAAUUGUCAUUCCCUUUGGUACUCCAGGUGCAGUGCAUUAACUACGUAUAAAUGCGGACUUAAUACGCCGCCAGUACUCUAUGGAACUCCUCCAUCAACCACAAAAUAACUCGCCCCAAUACACAUAUAAAAUAAACUGACCAAAAAAUAACUCCACAAAACUCCUCCGUCAACCAUAAAGUAACCCAUCCCAAUGUUUGUUUUGCAACUUUUCUUUGUGUGCAUGCAUAGCAGUCUUUCGAACAUAUCAUAACAAAUCACUUGUAAGAAUAUAUCAUGUAUAAGCCUUAUUUCACUCAUAAUCAUGCUAUAGAUACAACCCAAACACAUAUCUAAUUAACCAACCAAUCAUGACAACAACAAUCAUUCAAACAUCCGGUCAAACUAGUGACAAUGCUGCCAUGCCAAAUAGUUAUGGCUUGAAACGUACUUGAUUCAACCACUUACAAAUUCAAUUAUUUAGCUAUUAAGCCAAGCCCAAUCAGAAAGCUAAAUCAUCAAUUUAAUCAUAAUAUUUAUUAUUAUCAAACAAGCUAUUGAGUUUAAAUCCCACACCUUAUUUACAGUCUUUUGCAGCACAUAAGCAAAUCUUACGAUUUCUUUAAUAAACUUUAAAAAGAACCUAAAUUAAAUUAAACUAAAUAAAUUCAGUAUAGAAAUUAAUUAAUACACCUCUUAAACAUCCUCUAAAUACCCACCUAUGGGUUCAAUCCAAUCGUCACCAUCAACUAUUUUUUGAAUCCAAACUAGUUAGAUUUCAUAGACUAUUUUGAUGCGAAUUCUACGCACGAACGUCUUUUGGCUUCACUGUUGAUUUAAAGCAUUCGGUUCUGUACGUAACACAUUUAAAUAAUGGAAAAUAAAGAGCUAAUAUUUCUUAAAAUCAUUCAUUUAAUUGAUUCAUAACAUUUUUCCCAAAAUAUAUGUCGAAACAACAAACUAGUUUACAAUUACCUACACUUACGCUUCCCGAAUUGUUAGACCCGACUUGUCGAUUGAUCAAGAACGAAUUUCCAUAUUUAUCAUGUGAUUAAAGGCUUAUUAGGAGUGUUGCAAAAACUAAAAAUCAUGCUGGAAAAAUAUGGGAAUGAAUUAAAUAAAAACAUCCCCCUUUCUUGCCCAUAGGCGUACGCACCACCACCUGUAGUGGCCAAUUUUGGGGCUAAUUUAAAACCACUUCUGGAAUUGAUUAAAAAGAUGGAAAAAUACCCAUUACAUAUUUUAAAAUCCCUCAAAUUCCAGAUCUAGAUAUUUAGUUUUUAAAUUUACAAGAUUUAACAAGGAAUCGAAAGAGAAAGAGAUAUUACACAAGCUAAACGCUAUAGGCGAUAAUGGCAUUUCUUGGCAAUGCUAGGAAUCGAUCUUAGAGGUUCAAGAUUUUAGAUUUAGGGCUGAUUAAUUUGAGGAAAUGGAAGAAAUAUGAUGGAGGAGAUGAUGCAAAAUCUUGUGACAAAAAGAAAAGAAAAAGAUGACAAAACUAGGUGUUAUGGGCGACGCAAACAAUGGAAGAAGAAAGAAAAAUUGAAAAUCAAAGAAGAGAGGAGAGGAGAUGGAUGGCUAGGGUGAGAGAAAAUAGAAUAAUAGCUGAUCAAUCUGUGUAAAAAUAAUAUUUAUACCUAGGUUAAUAAGGCAUAGAUGGCACACUCUAAAAAAACAAUGGAUUUUUUAAAAAUUUUAAUAAUUUUGCAAGGAAAGGGAUUUGAACUUAGGACCUCAUUUAAUUCCAUGCUUUCACAUUUAAAAAACAUAGCUAACUUCUUAUUUUUUAUAUAAUUAUAAAUUCUUAUUAAGCUAAAUUUUGGGAUGUUACACUAACGUAGCGCCUAUUGAGUCUAGUAUAUGCAAGCCACAUAUACAUGUGAUACUGUGAUGCUUUUGAUCCAAUCUAACCUUGUUUAUUUUUAUUAUUAUUUAAAAUAUGUUGGUCGAAUCUAAUUAUGCGGUUAUUGAUGAAAUCAAAAGUAAUGUCUCGGCUCCCGAACAAUGAACGAGUGUAUAACAUGUCAGUUCUACAAAUGUUUGAAAAUAAGGUAAAGAAUUUCUUUUUCAGCUUAAUAGUUCAUUGUGCUAAUGAAAUUUUUAUGAAUCAAUCUAGUGGCUCCACAACCUCCAUCCCCUUAUUGUGCCUACCCUAACACCCCAUGGUCCUCAAUGUUCCUCUAUUGUAAGUGAAUCUAGAUUUCCCAUAGAUAAGAUUCAUAAAUGUGGAGUCGAUGACUUUAGAGGCAGGAUAGAUGACAGUCCAACUAGAGUUGAAUUCUGGUUAGAAAAUGUUUAGAGAAUAUUUGAUGAAUUGGCAUGUCCACUUGAUGAUUAUUUAAUAUGUGCAGUAUUAUUAUUGAAAGACGAAGUGUAUCAGAUGUAGUACGCUAUUAGCCAUUGUAUCAAAGGAAAAAGUUACUUUGCAAAUUUUUCAAACUGAAUUUAGAAAGAAAUAUGUAAGUAAAUGAUAUUUGGAAUAGAAAAGGAGUUUCUUGAGCUAAAACAGGAAAACAAGUCUAUAUUAGAAUAUGAACAAGAGUUUGUACAGUUUGGUUAGUAUACUCACAAGAUUGAACCAACUGAAAAAUGAUAUGUGUACUUGUUGUAAAGAUGGAUUGAUGGAUAAAAAUUAAAAUGUUGGCUGAAGCAAUGAAAAUUUACGAAUACGUGGUUUUUGUCUAAUAGAGUGCUAUAAAUGGAAGAGAUCUGUAUCAAUAACAAAAAGAUUGAAAUGAAAUUGUGUAACUCUAGUAAAAGAAAUAUAUAUAAAUUGUCUUCAGUUCCACUCUCAAAUAAACGGAUGUACUUUUAGCUGCAAUGCCAUAUCAUCUGGUUUCACAGGAAGAAAAAAGUUGAAAUAGAAUGAUUCAAGACUCCAGUAGACACCAGUAAUCAAUUUUGGCAGUGUUUGUAAUGAUGGUAAAUGUGUUUGUGAUCAUUGUGGAAAGUUUUAAAGGGAUGUGCAUCGAGUUAUGACUGAAACCUGUUUUUGAUGUUGAUCUACUGAACAUUUUAUGAAGAGUUCAUCAAAAAAGUCAGACAUUUUUUUUGAAAGUCAAGUUAUUUAAUAGAUAUCCAUCUCUCAAGGAGGCGGACAACUAGGGCAGAGCAAUAAUACUAGAACCUACACCAUUCGAGCCAAAGAAGAGACUUAUGACCCAGAUACAUUAACUCGUAUUUUUCUCUCUCUUUGAUGUUCAUGUAUAUGCAUUGACAGACUUUGGGCCGAUUCAUUUUUACUUUUGAACUACUUUAGUAUUUGAAAAGAGCAUUCCAAUAAUACAGACUAAAUUUGAUGAUAAAGUAAUUUAAUCGUCGGAUCAAAAUGUCAUAGUUAAAUUGAUUUGUACAAAAUGUCCACUAGGAAGCCAGAGUUGUGAUUUUUUUCUACUGGACUAAUGUUAUUAUUGUAUUACAAGUUUUAGAUAAUACUGAGUAUAGGCUGGUUGACUCUGCAUGAUGAUGAAGUAAAUCGAAGUCAGAAAUGAAUUGAUUUGAGAUAUCAGAUUUAAUGAGUUAAUUACUAUUGAGUCAGAUAGAUUUGAUUGUGCUAUAAAUGUUAUAUCUAUGAUUUUUACUCAGAGAAUGGUUUGUAAAGGAUGUUAAGCAUUAUUAGUUUACAUUCUACAUUCAUCAGCAUCAGAGUCGAAGAUUGAUUAGUUAUCGAUAGAUAGGGAAUUUACUGAUAUGUUUCCUGAUGAAUUACUUGGAUUAUCUACAAAAUAAGAAGUUGUAUUUACUAUUAGGGUAAUGCUCGAAACUACUCCAAUAACUAUUGCUCCGUGUAAAAUGGUUUCUAUCAAAUUGAAAAAAAAGUAAAGACACAAUUAUAAGAGUUGGUUAAUAGAGGUUUCAUAUGACCAAAUGUGUAAUUUGGAAAAUGAUACUAUGAUUAUGAGAACUAUAUAAUGAUUUCAGAUAGUAGAUUAGAGACUACAUGAUGAACCAGUGGUUGUUAUUUUUUUUAGAGAUGAAUUAAUUAUUUAGAAAAAGUGGACUAUUGUAUCUUUAGGUAUUGAUUUUUGACUAGAUGGUUAUCAGUUUAGAGUUAUAAGACAAAUGUGUCAAAUAUUACUCUUCAGACGUAAUAUAAACAAUGUGAGCUUUCAGUAACACCGCCUAGAUUAUAGAUCACUCAGUUGCUCUGUAGAUCUAAUAGACAAAAUUUUCUAGCUAUUUUUGAACAAAAUUGUUAUUGUGUUAUUGAAGAUAUUAAAUCUAUGCAAGGAAUGAAAUUGAACAUGAUCAACAUUAGGAAUCAGUGUUAUAGAUUUUAUGAGAGAAACAAGGUUUGGGAAGAUCAGUAAUUAUGAAAUCUGAUUUCGAAAAGUAAGUUUUCUGAGAUCUUUUGAUAACCUCUAAAAAUGUCUGAGUUAUUUCUAAUCAACUCAUGAUAAUUGUAAACUAAGGAAUCACCAAGAAUUAUUACAGAAGUAAGUAGUUCUCUAGGAUUCACUCUAUAUUACAAAUGAUUCAUUGAGACGUUUUGAUGAUAACUCUAUCAUUGAUGAAAUUCUUCCGAACAUAUAUUUUGUUUGAUUGAAUAAAUAUCAAUAAAGUUUCAAACAGACAAAAGUUAUAUUAGCAGAAGUUUCAGAAUUGAAUCUAUGAUAGUACAGAUAUCUAGAGUUAUUGAAAAUUGUUUUCUGAUCACCAAUUAUCAAUCAAGGAAUUCAAGUAUUACGGAAAUAUAAUCUGAAAUGGUUAACUAAACAAAAACUUGUUGAACAUGAUCAAAUUUUAGUGUUCAGUUAGGAUAACUACAGGAACCUGUGUUUUUGAAACUGUUGAUAUGACAUGUGAAAUAACUGAGAUUAUAUCCAAAUGUUUGAUAUGUCAAUAGGUGAAAGCCAAACAUCAGUUCUGUUAGGUUUGUUCCAACCUGUGAUGAUUCCAUAGUGGAAGUGGGAGCCUGUCACUAUGGAUUUUGUUCCAAGGUUAUCGUUGACUCUGAAAAGAAAAGACUUCAUAUAGAUUAACAAAGUCAGAUCAUUUUAUACUUGUUCAAACUGAUAAUGCACUAUAAAAAUUAGUUGAAUUUGCAUAUAAUAAUAGCAAUAAGUUGAGAAUAAAAAUGGCUCCAUACAAAGCUUUAUAGGGGAAUAAAUGUAUAAGCUCAUUAUUAUGGUCUAAACUAAAUAAAAAAAGUUAUUUGGGGUUGAUUUAGUUCAAAAAACCGAAUAAAAAGUCUGAAUUAUCCAAGAUAAUUUGAAAGUUGCAUCCAAUUAUCAGAAAUCAUAUACUUAUUUAAAAUGUAAAGAUAUAAAGUUUUCUGUUGGUGAGAAAGUGUUCUUCAAGGUCUCACCCUGGAGGAAAGUGUUGUGUUUCGACAGAAAAGGUAAGCUCAAUCCAAGAUUUAUCGGACUGUAUGAAAUUCUAGAAAGAAUUGAACUUGUAGCAUAUCAUUUGGCAUUACCCCCAGAACUUGAUAGAAUCCAUAAUGUUUUUCAUGUUUCGAUGCUCUGACACUAUCAUUCUAGUCCCUCACAUGUGUUAUCUACAAAUGAGAGUGAGUUAUAGCCUAAUUUGACUUAUAACAAAUAACCGAUAAGAAUUUUAGCUUGGGAAAUCAAAGAAUUGUGAAAUAAACAUAUUUCAUGGGUGUAAGUGUUAUGGAAUCAACACGGAGUUGAGGAAGCUAUAUAGGAAACAGAAGAAUCAAUGAAUCACAGGAACUUAUCUUUCAGGUAAGAAAUUUCGCGGAUGAAACUUUCUAAGGGGGAAAUUUGUAACAGCCCAUUUUCAGUGGUUUUUGGACCAUAAAUCUGACGAGUAAGUCUGUGAUAAUUAGUAAUUAAAUUAUACAGGUGAAUUAUAGUUUUAAAUUGAAUUCUUAUUUGAUGAAUUUUAAUUAAAUGAAUUAAUUGUUAAGUAUAAGUGAUUAUUCUAAAAAUCAAGUGGUUUCAGAAAAUGAGGUAUCAGGACCUCAUUUCUGUAAACCGAGCUUAUCGAUAUUUUUAUUAAAUAUUUAUGGAGUUAUUAUUGAGAUAUGUGAAGGUUCAGUUCAUAAAUUUAAAUGUUUCAACAGUUAAUUAAUUAAAAGGACUAAAUCGUAAAAGACGUAAAAUUUAAUCACUAUUGAAUUUGAAUGACUAAAUGGCUUAAUUAAUAUAAGUGGAAUGAUUAAUAUUGAAAAUAUUCCAUUUUUAUAAAGUGGGAUGGCAAGAGAAGUUUUAAAUUUUGUAAAUAAUUAAAAAAUAAGUAAUAAAACAAAAGUAAAAUAAAAGUAAAUCAUUAUCAUCUUUCAUAACAAUGGUUUUCCACUGAAUGUACAAUGAAAAACUCCAUGGAAAUACUUUAAAGGUUUGGCCAUUAAAAGGUUCUUGCAUGUAAGUCUUCUUUAAACCCGUUUCUCGUAAUGUUUUUGUUUUUGAUAUCGUUACAACUAGGUCUAGCUAACUCGUAUCUCCAUUUUUGAAACUGUUAAGGAUUUUGGAUUUUUUUUCAUUGAUUAAUAUUUGUUAUUUUGAUGUUAAAUGUUGGAUUUCAAGUAAUGGUUGUUGAUUAGGACUAGUUUAUAAAGUGAUUUUUGUUAAUUUUUAGUUAAAGGACUAAUUUCAUAAAAUGUUAAAAUUGACAUGGAAUUUUUGUGAAUUGUAAAUAAAUAUGGACUGGCCUAAUAUGGGAAUAAAUUUGGCUAGUUUAGGAACUUGAGAAAUUUUGUUAAAUUUAGAGUUUCGGGAUUCAAUUGUGAGAAAUGUAAUAGUUUAGGGAAAAUGUGUAAAUAAUUAAAACUUAAGGUUCAUAUGCAUAAAAUUUAGUUGGGAUAUCUAUUUGAAUUUAAUAAGAUUGAAUUUAAUUAUUAGAGAUCAAGAUUUUUUUUGUAUGGAGGAUAACCAAGAAAAAGGAAAAAUUACAGAAUUGUCCUUACAAGUCAACUGUUGAUAUAUAUUAGGUAAGUUCAUAGUGUAAGUAUGCGUAUAUGAAUAUUUAUUUAUAUUUGUAUUAAUGUUUCCUGGAUAAUUGUAUUUAAUGUGAAAUUUCAUUAUUUACUUACAAAUUAUUAGAAGUUGUGGUCGAGUACAAAUGGUAAAUGAAUAUUUGAAAGUGAUAAAUUUUGUGGUUUUACAAAAUUGAAAUGAAUAUAAAUGACUUAUGGUAUUUGUAUGAAAAUAAGAAGUGCCUCUGAACAUUGAUUUAUCAAUAUUUUGAAUUUAAAUUAUAAUGCCCGAUUGAACGUAGUAGACGGUUAGGAUACGAUUGGCAUGCCAAUAGGGUUAGUACGUGUGCACUUUUACAGUAUUGCACUUCGGUGCCUCUAUAUUUGCACUACGGUACCUUUGUUAGCAUUUCGAUCCUCUCUAGUGUGUUUUGGAGGAAACCCGAGUAUUCGAGUUAAUUUGCUAUAGUUCAACGAGUUAUGAAACAUUAUGAUUAAAUGUAAAAUCAUUCUAUGAGUUGAAAUUAUGCAUAAUGAUUUGUUUGGAUAUAUAAGAAUAUGUAUGGAUACAUGAAUUGUUUUGAUUUGAGUCAUUAUAGAUAUUGAAUUAUAUGUUUGAAUAUUAUGGUACUAAUGAGAUAUGGUUUUUGGAAAUGGUUGUCAGGAUUUUAAUGAUUUAAGUUAAUUAAUGAUGAGUUAUAAGUUAAGGUAAGCUAAAUUAAAUUUUGACUAUGGACUUACUAAGCUUCAUAAUCUUACAUGUUUUUUUUUUUUUUGUUUUGUUUUCUGUAGUUAACAUGUUGCAGAACAGUUCGGACAGAUCAGCUUCAAAACUCAGUUUAUCCAGACUCUCUCUUCGGAGUCUAUUGUCUCUAAGUCAUUUUGGUGGUGGCAUGUAUAUAAGGUUUGAUGUGGUUAAGGUUAAUAUGUUAGUUAGAUUGUAAUUAAGCUUGUAUGGUUUUGAAUUGGCAAAUUAUGUUUCUUGUUGAUACCAAUUGGGUAUGGUAAUGUUUGUGCUCUUGUUUAGGCAUUGGUUUGAUAUGAUAUCUCUAAUCAUGUUGAAAUAUGUUAUGGUCAAUUUAGUAGAUGAUAUAAGGUAGUGGUCAUGUUAGGUUGUUUAUGGUAUGUGUUUAAUAUUAGGAAAUGGUAGCAUGAUUGUUAAUUGAAUAGCAUAGGCAUGAUGGUAAUCCUUUAGGGGUUAGAGUUAUUGCAUUUUUGUAAUGACUGUGGUGUCAAUGAGGGCACAUUGGUUUGAUACUUUAGUUGUAUGAAAUUAGAAUGUUUUUGAUGUGUUCAAUGUGAUUUUAAAUAGGUCAUUUUAGUUGAAAAUGGGAUGGCUUGGUGUCCAAGUUAGGAUGGUUGUUUUGGCUUGACAAUGAAGAAAUUUAGUUGCAGACGGCCUGGGACACGGGGUGUCACAUGGCCAUGUGCCACACACGAUUACAUCACACGAUCGUAUGUCAAUUUGAAUUUAGAAACCUGAAUCAUACGACCUAGCACACAGCCUACGACAAGACCGUGUGACCAUAUUUUGAAAAUACACACAGCCUGUGGCACGAUCUUGUGACCUAAGUCAGUGAGUUACACGGGCGGGCACACGGGGUGAGACACAGCCAUGUCCCUAAGCCACAUUGUAACAGCCUAAUUUUCACUAGUGUCAGAAAUAGUGGUUUGAGACCACUACAUUUGACAGGUGAGCUCAUAAAUUUUAUUCUAUAAUGUUUAUGAGUCGAUUGUGAAUUCAGGAAGGCUUAUGAAUUAGUGAAUUAUGCUUUAGAAAUAUUUGUUAGAUUAAUUGGCUUUGAAAACGAGGUAUCGAGACUUGACUUUAUAAACUGGGCUAAAAAAUUUUUUAUAAAUAUUUAUAGAGUGUCAUUAAGGUAGUAUUAAAGUUUCGUUAGAAAAAUUUUAACGUUUCGAUAGUUAAUUAACAAAAAACGACUAAAUUAAAAAUGGUGCAAAACUUGCUAAUUAAAGAAAUAGUGACUAAAUGGUUUAAUUAAAGAACAAAGGAGGACUUAAGGAGAAAUUAUGCCUAAAAUAAAGCCAUGAGGUGGCAAAAAGGGCAAAAUAAAGCCAUGAGGUGGCAAAAGCCUAAAAUAAAUCAUUUGAUUAAAGGGCAAAAUUGUAAAUUUUGUGAAAUUAACUUAAAUCAUUUGAAUUCUAAACUUUUCUAGGCUAUUCUUCUUCUAAUUUCAAGUCCAAAAAGGCCAUUGAAGGUCUUCUAAGCUGGUUUUUCAUAUUUUUGCAUCAUAUCAAGAGUUCGUAGAUCAACGAGAAAAAGGGAAAAUAGUCGAGUAGUCUCUAAACUACUACCAAUUUUACAAUCCAACCCAGGUAAUUUCAUAUGGUUAAACUUUCAUGAUUAUUUUUUAAUUUAGGAAUGGUGUAAUAUAUUUAUUCAUAUUUUUUAUUGAAAUUAAGAUUAUUGUAAAAGUAUGAAAAUCUAAUUAAAUGUUUAAAACGAGUAGAACGUAGGAUUGAGUAUGAUCGUUCCAUGGCAAAGAAUGAAUUGACAGAUAAGACCAUGGUUGGACCAUGCAAUGUCUAAAUGUAAGACUAUAUUUAGGCUAUGGAAUUUUGAUGAAAAGACCAUAACUGGGUUAUGGCACCUUGAACGUAAGACCAUGGUUGGACAUUGGCAGUAUAGAUACAUGUGUAAGACCAUAGCUGGGCUAUGGCAUUCUGAUGAUAAAACCAUAACUAGGUUAUGGCACUACAAAUGUAAGACCAUGGAAGGGCCAUGGCAAUGCAUGUGUAAGACCAUAGUUGGACUAUGGCAAAAAAAAACGAUGUACUCAUAUCUGUAAGUUGUUCUUUGAUUCAGUAAGAAAUGGUAAGAGACUUAUGUGAUUGAAUUGAAAUAUUUAUAGAUUAUUAGUGAUAUUGAUCUAAAGGAAGUGUGUUUAUUGCUUAUAUUAUAUUUGACAGGGAAAAAUGUAUGAUUUGUUUACAAUUUAAUUUAUUAUAUUAUAUUAAGUUUGGUAAGAUCAAUGUUUAACCUAUUGAACUUACUAAGCUUCAUUAAGCUUACUUGUGUUGUUUAAUAUUCUUGUAGAUUAACGUGUAGUUGGAAGAUAGGAUCAACACAUAAAGCUACACUAUCCAGUUUAUUUCGGUAGCCUUUACAAUGUAAAUUUUGGUUUAUAUGGCAUUUAUAGGGUUGGUUUGGCAAUGAAAUAGUUUGAAUUGUGGUUGUGAAUCUUAAAUAUUUGUAUGUAUGUAAUUAGUUGUAGAAUUUGAUAAAUCAAUGAAAUGAGUUAAAUACGUAAGUAUAAGUAAAUGAAAUAUUUGUGCUGUUAUGUCAUGUUGAGAACAUGUUUUAGCUUGUAUUGAUUGCUUGGUUGGGAUAUAUUGGUGCAUGUGAAUGUUGAGUGCAGGUUAAUGACAAAAUGGGUGAGAAAAGUGGGCUUAAAUUGCCUAUUUUUGUCCACAUAGGCAGAGACACGGGCGUGUGUAUCAGUCAUGUGUGACACACGACCUGGCACAUGGGCGUGUAGUCUGGCCGUGUGUCCCCUACACCUUGAAUUUCAAAAUAGAAUACCCAGGUUUUUACACAUGAUCUAGCACACGGGAAUGAUGAAAUCAGAAUGAUGAUUGGAGGCAUAGAAAUAUGAGAAUUUUUCAUUUUGCCAGAUCGUGCUCAGAAAUUGGAAUAGGUAUAUAACAGAAAAAUGCAGAGAGACAGAAGGAAUAAAGAAUCUUACAAGAGAAGUUCCUCCAAGUCAUUUCCAACAAUUCCGUCUAAAAAGUUUAGAGAUGAUUUUAGUCGAGCCACUCUAAUGCCGAAACAAUCAAAUAAGAAUAAGGCAAAUCAACAAGAUUACAGGAUGACUAUUAGACUUACGGCUAAUGUGGGUAGUGUACAAAAUGUUCCUAAGCCCAAAUGUAAAUAUUGUGGGAAAAAUCACUUCGAUGAAUGUAAAGGUAAGGUAGGAGCUUGUUAUAAAUGUGGGGCCACUAAUCAUUUUAUUCAAGAUUGCCUUCAGUUGCAAAAAAGUAAACGUUCAAGCCAAAACAGUGUCGCUGGGACUACUCAUUCGGGUAUGAGAGAUUCUGUUGCCCAGUCAGAGGCUAGGGCACCUGUACGUACUUAUGCUAUCGAGUGAGGGAGGAAGCUACGGCUCCAGACGUAAUUGGUGGUACAUUCUAUCUUUUUUAUGCUAUUGUGUAUGCAUUGAUUGACCUUGGAUCCACGCAUUCUUGUAUUUGCACUGCAUUAGUAACAGAAAAGACAAUGCCUAUCGAGUUUACUAAUUAUGAUAUUCAAGUCACUAAUCCAUUAGGCCAAAGUGUGAUAGUUAAUUUAGUGUGUCGAAAUUGUCCACUAAAAGUAAAAGGCUGUGAAUUCCCUAUUGAUUUGCUGUUGCUACCCUUUCGGGAAUUUGAUGCUAUUUUGGGAAUGGAUUGGUUGACAAAGUAUGAUGUUUAGUAAAUUAUAAAGAAAAAUGGAUUGAUCUAAAAUGUCAAACAGGUGAAAUGAUUACUGUUGAGUCUGAGAAUCCGAAGGAAAUUGUUAGAAUUAGUUCAGCUUUUUUAGCUCAGAAACUAAUGCGAAAAGGUAAUGAGGCAUUUUUAGCCUACAUUCUUAAUACCCGAGAUUCUGAAUCAAAGCUAGAAUAGUUACCAAUUGUUAAUGAGUUUGCUGAUGUAUUUCCUGAGGAGUUGCCGAGUUUACCACCUGAUCGUGAAAUUGAAUUUGUAAUUGAUGUAAUUCCAAGAACAACUCCGAUAUUGAUAAAUCCAUACCGUAUGGCACCAACUGAGUUAAAGGAGUUAAAGACAUAGUUGCAAGACUUAUUGGACAAAGGGUUCAUCAGACCGAGUAUGUCUCCUUAGGGUACACUUGUCUUAUUUGUGAAAAAGAAAUAUGGUUCUUUGAGAGUAUUUAUAGACUAUAGAAAGUUGAACAAGGUCACAAUUAAAAAUAAAUAUCAUUUGCCUUGUAUUGACGAUUUGUUUCACCAACUAAAAGGUGCUGCAGUAUUUUCAAAGAUAGAUCUCAGAUCCGGGUAUUAUUAGUUGAAGGUUAAAGAGUGUGAUGUGCCGAAAACUACUUUCAGAACUCGAUAUGGUCACUAUAAGUUUCUGGUAAUGCCAUUUGGUUUGACCAAAGCUCCUGUUGUUUUUAUGGAUCUAAUGAAUCAGAUUUUUCAACCUUAUUUAGAUAGAUUUGUGGUUGUGUUUAUUUAUGAUAUACUGAUAUAUUCCAAGACAGAAUCUGAGCAUGUACAACACUUGAGAACUGUGUUACAGAUUUUGAGAGAAAAACAAUUGAAUGCAAAUUUUAAUAAAUGUGAAUUCUAGCUUCAUGAGGUCCAAUUUCUGGGUCAUAUUGUAUCAGCCAGAGGGAUUCGAGUGGACCCGAGUAAAGUAUCUACAGUGGUGAGUUGGAAAACUUCAAAGAAUAUAACAGAAUUGCAAAGUUUUCUGGGUUUAGCAGGAUAUCACCGUCGAUUUCUCAAGAACUUUUCGAUGAUUACUUCAUCGAUGACUCAAUUACUACAGAAAAAUGUAGAAUUUGUUUGGUCUGAUGAGUGUCAACAGAGUUUUGAUCAGUUGAAGAAAAUGCUAGCAGAAGCUUCGGUCUUGACUCAGCCAAAACUGAGUGUACUGUAUGUUGUUUAUAGUGAUGCGUCUUUAAAUGGAUUGGGUUGUGUAUUGAUGAAGUCGGGAAAAGUAGUCGUCUAUGCUUCUCGGUAGUUAAAACCGCAUGAGAAGAAUUAUCCUACUCAUGAUCUUGAGUUAGUUGUAAUUGUGUUUGCUUUAAAAAUCUGGAAACACUAUUUAUACGGCGAGAAAUGCUGUGUUUACGGAUCACAAAAGUUUGAAAUAUUUGAUGACUCAGAAGAGCUGAAUUUGAGACAGAGACGGUGGUUAGAGAUACUAAAACAUUAUGACCUGGUUAUUAACUACCACCCGGUGAAGGCCAAUGUGGUUGCAGAUGCACUUAGUCGAAAGUAGUCAUUUUUUGCACUUCGAGCUAUGAACGCUCAUUUGUCUCUCAAUGAAGAUGAUUCUGUAUUAGCAGAAUUGAGAACGAAACCUAUGUUCCUUCAACGAACUCAGGAGUUGCAAGAUAAUGAUCCGAAAUUGGUGUUGAAAUGACAAAUGGUUCAGCACAAGUUGAGUUCAAAGUAUACCAUUGAUGAUAAUGGAAUGUUGCAUUAUCACAAUAGAAUUUGUGUUUCGAAUAAUUCCGAUUUGAAAAUGACUUUCUUUCUGAAGCUCACAGUAGCAUGUAUUUCAUUCAUCCGGGUAGUAUGAAAAUGUAUUGUGAUUUGAAAAGAAUGUACUGGUGGCCGGGUAUGAAACAAGAGAUUUGUGAGUUUGUGGCAAAGUGUCUGAUUUGUCAACAAGUCAAAGACGAACAUCAGGUGCCAAUGGGUUUGUUACAACUUGUCAUGAUUCCUAGUGGAAAUGGGAGAAUGUCAUGAUAGAUUUUGUAUCUAGAUUACUUGUACUCCGAGAAAGAAAGAUUCAAUCUGGGUGAUUGUUGAUAGAUUGACUAAAUCGGCACAUUUUAUCCCAGUCAGAACAGAGUUUUCACUUGAGAAGUUAAGGAAUUGUAUAUAUCAGAGAUUGUGAAGUUACAUGAGGUUCCCACAUCCAUUAUUUCAGAUAAAGAUCCGAGGUAUACAUCGAGAUUUUGGAGUAAACUACAAGAAGCUCUAGGUACAAAACUAACUUUCAGCAUAGCAUUUCAUCCUCAGACUGACGGGUAGAUAGAUCAAGUAAUUCAAAUUUUGGAAGAUAUGUUAAGAUGUUGUAUACUCGAGUUUGGUGAUAGCUGGGAAAAGUACUUACCGUUGGCCAAUUUUGGAUAUAACAACAGUUAUCAAUCCAGUCUCAAAAUGGCACCGUUUGAAGCUCUUUAUUGGAGGAAAUAUAAGACACCAUUGUAUUGGUCAGAAUUGAGUGAAUCCAAGUUAGUGGGAGUCGACUUAAUCCGAGAAAUUGAAGAUCAAGUUUGAAUCAUCCGAGACAGUUUGAAGGAUGCUUCUGACCGUCAAAAAUCAUAUGUAGGCUUGAAAAGAAGAGAUAUAGAAUCUGCGAUUGGUGAUCAAGUGUUUUUAAAAGUAUCUCCUUGGAAGAAAGUACUACGAUUCGGUAGGAAAGGGAAACUGAGUCCAAGAUUUAUUAGACCAUAUGAAGUUAUCGUAAGAAUUAGCCCUGUAGCUUAUAGAUUAGCUUUGCCUCCAGAACUUGAGAAAAUUCAUAACGUGUUUCACAUAUCGAUGUUGAGAUGGUACAGAUUAGAUCCUUCACAUGUGAUUCCUCAUAGUGAAAUUGAGCUACAAUUGGAUAUGACGUACUCGGAAGAACCGAUAAGAAUUUUUGCUCGAGAGGUUAAAGAACUACGAAAUAAAUGAGUACCAUUAGUUAAAGUAUUAUGGCACCAUCAUGGUUCGGAGGAGGCUACUUAGGAAACAAAAAAAUUGAUGAAAUCACAGUAUCUGAACUUAUUCUCAAGUAACAACUUUCGACGACGAAAUUUUCUAAAAGUAGGAGAGUUGUAACAGCCAAAUUUUUAGUGGUGUCAGAAACAGUAGUUCGAGACCACUAAAUCUAACAAUCGAGGUAGUAAAUAUUAUUAUAUAGUAUUUAUGAGUCGACUGUGAAUUUAGGAAGGCUUAUGAAUUAGUGAAUUAUGCUUUAGAAAUAUUUGUUAGAUUAAUUGGUUUUGAAAACAAGGUAUCGAGACCUCGAUUUUAUAAAUAGAGCUAUAAAUAUUUUUAUCAAUAUUUACGAAGUGUCAUUAAGAUAGUAGUAAACUUUCGUUAGAAAAAAUUUUUAGUGGUGUCAGAAACAGUAGUUCGAGACCACUAAAUCUAACAAUCGAGGUAGUAAAUAUUAUUAUAUAGUAUUUAUGAGUCGACUGUGAAUUUAGGAAGGCUUAUGAAUUAGUGAAUUAUGCUUUAGAAAUAUUUGUUAGAUUAAUUGGUUUUGAAAACAAGGUAUCGAGACCUCGAUUUUAUAAAUAGAGCUAUAAAUAUUUUUAUCAAUAUUUACGAAGUGUCAUUAAGAUAGUAGUAAACUUUCGUUAGAAAAUUUUAACGUUUCAAUAGUUAAUUAACUAAAAAAGACUAAAUUAAAAAAGGUGCAAAACUUGCUAAUUAAAGAAAUAGUGAUUAAAUGGCUUAAUUAAUGAACAAAGGAGGACUUAGGGAGCAAUUAUGCCUAAAAUAAAGGCAUGAGGCGGCAUAAGCAGAAAAGAAAACAAAAAUCAUCUGAUUAAAGGGUAAAAUUGUAAAUUUUAUGAAAUUAACUUAAAUAAAUUGAAUUCUAAAAUUUUCGAGGCUAUUCUUCUUUUAAUUUUCAGUCCAAAAAUGUUAUUGAAGGUCCUCUAAGCUCGUUUUCAUAUUUUGCAUCAUAUCAAGAGCUAGUAGAUCAACGAGAAAAAGCUAAAUUAGCCGAGUAGUCUCUAAACUACUACCAAUUUUAUAAUCCAACCCAGGUAAGUUCAUAUGGUUAAACUUUCAUGAUUAUUUGUUAAUUUAGGAAUGGUAUAAUAUAUUUAUUCAUUUUUUUGUUGAAAUUAAGAUUAUUGUGAAAGUAUGAAAAUUGAAUUAAAUGUUUAAAACGAGUAGAACGCAGGAUUGAGUACGAUCGUUACGUGGUAAAGAAUGAAUUGACGGAUAAGACCAUGGUUGGACCAUGGCAAUGUUUAAAUGUAAGACCAUAGCUGGGCCAUGGCAUUUUAAUGAAAAGACUAUAACUGGGUUAUGGCACCUUGAACGUAAGACCAUGGUUGGACCAAGGCAGUAUAGAUACAUGUGUAAGACCAUAGCUGGGCUAUGGCAUUCUGAUGAUAAAACCUUAACUAGGUUAUGGCACUACAAAUGUAAGACCAUGGAAGGACCAUGGCAAUGCAUGUGUAAGACCAUAGUUGGACUAUGGCACAAAAAGAACGACCUACUCAUAUCCAUAAGUUGUUCUUUGAUUCAGUAAGAAAUGGUAAGAGACUUAUGUAAUUGAAUUGAAAGAUUUAUAGAUUAUUAUUGAUAUUGAUCUAAAGGAAGUGUGUUUAUUGCUUAUAUUGUAUUUGACCCGGAAAAAUGUAUGAUUUAUUUACAAUUUAAUUUAUUAUAUAAUAUUAAGUUCGGUAAGAUCAAUGUUUAACCUAUUGAACUUUUCAAGCUUCAUUAAGCUUACUCAUGUUGUUUAAUGUUCUUGUAGAUUAACGUGUAGUUGGAAGAUAGGAUCAACACAUCAAGGUACACUAUCUAGUUUAUUUCGGUAGUUUUUGCAAUGUAAAUUUUGGUUUAUAUGCCAUGUAUAGGGUUGGUUUGGCAAUUAAAUAGUUUGAAUUGUGGUUGUGAAUCUUAAAUGUUUCUAUGCAUGUAAUUAGUAGCAGAAUUUGAUAAAUCAAUGAAAUGAGUUAAAUAGGUAAGUAUAAGUAAAUGAAAUAUUUGUGAUGUUAUCCCAUGUUGAGAACAUGUUUUAGGUUGUACUGAUUGCUUGGUUGGGAUAUAUUGGUGCAUGUGAAUGUUGAGUGCAAAUUAAUGUCAAAAUGGGUGAGAAAAGUGAGCUUAAAAUGACCUAUUUUCGUCCACACAAGCACAGACAUGGGCAUGUGUCUCAGUCGUGUGUGACACACGGCCUGGCACAUGGGCCUGUAGUCUGGUCGUGUGUCCCUUGCACCUUGAAUUUCAAAACAAAAUACCCAGGUUUUUACACACGGCCUAGCACACGGGUGUGUGGUUGGCCGUGUGACCCAAGUGAGAGAGUUACACGGGUAAGGACACGGGCUGAGACACGACCGUGUGUCUCAUAUCAAAUGCCUACACGGCCUAAGACACAGGCAUGUCUCCUGGCUGUGUUGCUCACACCGCCGGCCACACGAGCAUGUGUCCCCUAGUUCUAUGAAAAUUUUUGAGAUUUUGUGAAAAUUCCCUGAGUACUCGGUUUAGUCCGGAUUCACUUCUAAGGUGAAUAUUGGGCCUCGAUGGUCCAUCUGAGGGACAAUAUGAGUGUUAUAUAAUUAAUUCUUAAUAUGUGUAACAAAGUUUGGGAAAUGUCUGUAUUGAAUUCGUAAAGUUUGGUAAUACUCUGUAACCCUGUUCUGGUGACGGAUAAGGGAUACAAGUGUUACACACAUGGCCAUGUGACCCAUGUUUCCAAAAAUUUCAAGUUUUUCCAUAUUUUUCUGUUUGAGUUUAAAUUAGUCCCUGAUUGUUUCUAAACUACCUGUAAGCUUGUUUAAAGGCCCAUAAAUGAAAUUUUGCUAUGAAUGACUUGUAAAUUCGAAUGUUGUUAGUUAGUUGAAUAAAUGAUUGCAUAAAUGCUAGAAAUUGUUUAGAUUUGUAUCAUAAUACUCUGUAGCCCUCAUCCGCUAACGGAGACGGGGAAAAGAUUGUUACAAUAUACAUCUCGACAAUUAUAACCACAUGAACGCAAUGAUUCGGUGCACGAUUUAGAGCUUGAUGUUGUGGUGUUUGCUCUAAAAAUUUGGAAACACAACUUAUAUGGUGAAAGGUGUCAUAUUUUUAUAUAUCACAAAAGUCUCACAUAUCUCCUAUCUCAAAAAGUGUUGAAAUUGAGAUAGCGUCGCUGGGUUGAAUGGUUAAAAGAAUAUGAUUGCGUAAUUGACUACCAUCCAAGGAAAGCGAAUGUUGUUAUCAAUGCUUUGCGUUAGAAAUUAGACAUUGAAUUGAGAGCAAUGUUUUUCCAAGUAAGUAUUUGCAAUGACAAUAGCCUAUUGGAUAAGUUGGAGGUUAAGCCGAUAUAGCUCGAUCAGAUCAGGGAAGAACAACCUGUUGAUGUUAAGUUCACAAAGAAAUUUAAGCUUGCCCGGAAAAGUGAUAGUGAGAAUUUCAGCAUUGAUGCGAAUGAUUGCCUAUGGGUCCGAAAUCGACUCUGUAUUCUUGAUAAUGCUAUUUUGAAAGGAAUAGUUUUGCGUGAAGCUCAUGAUAGUCCUUUUGUUAUGCACCCCAGUAAUGCAAAAAUAUAUCGUGACUUGCGAGAAUCAUAGGCUAGAAUGAAAAGAAAAAUUGUGGAGUAUGUCACUAAGUGCCUAACAUGUGAGCGGGUAAAAAUAGAGGCUCAAGUUUCCAUUGGAUUACUUCAGCCCAUCUCAAUUCCAGAAUGGAAAUGGGAAUGAAUUCUUGUAGAUUUUUUAGUCAGUAUAUCGUUAUCUCUAAGCAAAAGAAAUGCGACUUAAGCGAUGGUAGAUCAACUGAUAAAGUCAGUUAAUUUCUUAAACGUGACAAUAGAUUUGUCACUCCCAAAGUUGGCUGAAGUUUAUAUUUGUGAGAUAGUUAGAUUGCACGAUGUGUCUGUGUCUAUUAUCUCUAACCAAGAUCCCCGUUUUGCCUCGAGAUUCUAUAAGCAACUGGAUGAAUCAUUGGGCACGAGGUUGAAUUUUAGCACAACUUUCCAUCCUUAGUCUACUAGUUAGUCAGAGCGAGUCAUUCAAAUGUUGGAAGAUAUGUUAUAAGUCUUUUCUAUUGAUCUUAAGUCUAGGAACAUUAUUGAUUUGUCGUAAUUUGGUGUAGCAAAUUAAACUAGUUUUCACACUUAAAGAGCCUGCAUACAAGCAUUUUCAUUACAUUUUAAUUAAGUUCUUUAGUUUUACUUGCAUUCAAUAAAAUGUCCAAAUUGAGUCUUUCAUUGACCUUAAGGGUUGUGGCAUCCCAAACCCGGUCGGGACGAUCCGACCAGAAUUUUGAAUGUCACAUUAGCCACCGAAGUGACUCUUCGUUUAAACCAUUACAGAACACACAAACCGACCAAUCACACCACACAAUUAAUCAUGAAAUAUUUAAUAAAAACCUAAUAUCAUGCUUUCGUUUCGUUACUCUGAUCGACAAUCAACAACAAGACUAAUUCACAAUUAAUAUUUAACAGGAAAGUACCUCGAAAACUUUAGUUAAACAUACAUGCAUGCAGUAGGGUAUUUUUCAAAGGCUAUAUUUGUAGAUACUUGGAAAAUCGUUUAGUUUAAAAAUGUAUAAUUAGAUUUGAAACGUAAUAUAUAGUAAUAUAUAGGAUUGUAGGAUUAAAUGUAUAAGUCUUAUUUUAGAAAAUUUAUUAAAGCAUCUCACACAAGCUCAUAACAUUAUUAAUUAAUUAGUUAGCAAACAUGUAACAGUUUACAUGACUUGACCAAAUUUUGUGUUACAUCUCAUGCAUACCAAGCUCAUGCUUGUAUCCAAAUCACACAUAAAACAUCUAAGGCUUACAUCGAUGACCAGCAACUCUUCAACCUGCACUUACAAGUUAGUCGAACAGUUAUUCAAACCAAUUGUCAUACAACCAUGAUCCAUCAUUCAAUCAUCUAUCUAAUGAAAUGAUAAAAGUUUUAAAUCAAACAAAUAAACAGUCCAUACUGUCCAAUUACAACCCGAAAAUUAUAUGUCUAAUACUAAAUCCCAUAACUUGGUUCCAUGGAAACAGAAAAAUAUAUAGAUUUCUUCAACACUUUUUGAGCUCUAAUUCAUGCAAUUUCAUAGUAAAUUUUGUUAAAAUUCACACAUUAAUUAUAAAAUAAUUAAUUUACACUUAAAUUAUUAACAUAUUUAAUUUUAAUUAUUUUUAUAAUAAUUUUCACAAAUUUGGUUUAUUUUCGACACUUUUGCACAAAAGGUGAAAAUUGGCUCAGCACACACCUUGAAAAGCUUGAACCAUUGGAGAAUUUUUGCAUCAAGUGAACCAAGGGCAAGAUUAAAUAUUUUUCCAUCCAAGGUUGGUCCAAAUGAUGAUCAUUUUACAUACUUUAUAUCUAAUUUUUAUCCAAGUUAAAUUGGGUUAAAAAUUAAUAUAAAGCCUGAAGGAGAAAGUAACCUAGUGUGUUCAGCACUGAAGACUGAUCCAAUAAAAAAAUUUGCAGCCCAAAAAUGACCCAAUAAGCUAACCCAAUCAGCUGAUUAAAUUAAUUUCAAAACAGCCAUCAAGUUUCCAUAAAAUCCUAUUCAAACCCCUUCACUUUUUGUGCCUUUGAAUAUUUGCCCCAAGCUAAAUUUAGCAAUGUUUGAAACGUUCAAACUUUGCUCCAUGUGUGGCCAGCCAAGGGAAUUUUGUGGCUGUUAAUUAUUUGCUAUUUUUAAAAAUCACUCCCACCUAUAAAUACCCCCUUUCACCUAUUAACUCAGCACACCUUCAUCCCCACACAUAUCUCUCUCUCUUUCACUCACUUUCUCUCUUUUGUUUUUCCCUUUUACUUGUCCAUUUCCCUUGUCGAUUUCCCUCUUGAAAAAAAGUCAUCUUCCACCUUGGAAUAGCAUCAUUAAAUCAUUUGUGGAGACCUUAGUUCAAUAGAAUGAGCAGAGAAGAAGAGGAGCGCACUAGUCUAGCUUCAGAGAAAUACUGGAUUUGCUUCCUAGUUCCCUUCCCUUUAAAUUUCUUGUUUAUGUUGUGAUCAUGAAUAUGAAAAAUUGUUUUUUUGGUGUUCUUAGUCUAAUUAAAAUGGCUUAAAUUAAUUUUUUUUAGAUUGAUUGCAUUCUGUCCACUUGAAUAUUUAAAAUCAUGUUUGUGUUGUUAUAGGCAUUGGUAAGUUGUUCAAUUCAAUAAAACCAUGCUGAUGCUAUACUUGCAUUAUAAAAAGUAAGGUAACAAAUGAAUUAAUUAUUAAACGUGUUGAAAUUAUAAUUAAUUGACACAGUAUUUAAUUGGUGCAUGUUUAAUCUUCUAAGCUAACUAAAGGUUAAAUUAGCGACAGUAUUAAACGGUACAUUAGCCUUGCAUAACUUGCAAGAUUAUUGUGAUUGAACUAUUUCAAUAUAUAAAUAUAUUGUUACCUCACUUAAUCUUAUAUGUGCUUAUGAAGAUUGAUUAAUUUUUUGAAUUGACAUUGAAAAAAUGUUCAAGAGAUUGGUUAAUUUAGUAAGUAUUUUCAGUAGUUAACAAAUUACCAAGUUGCUGUGAAAAUAUUCGUAACAACAUGAACAUGGGUUUAGUAAUUCUAAGUUAAGGAAUGUAAUUGAUCUAGCACAAUUAUGCCAUAUUAAUUAAAACUCAUCUUUUUGAAACCUUACAUUGGAAUUUUUACUUUUUAUUUUCAUUACUUAGUUAAUUUUUAGUUUUUACAUCACUUCUUCAAAACAAAAUAUUUUUUCCAUCACCAAAGUGUUUGAUUUACAAUUUAUAAAUAUUUUUCUUUCACAGUUCCUGUGGGUACAAUAACUCGACAUUUACUUAUCACUUUAUUACAUGUUCUGAUUGUAUACACUUUGCACAUUGCUAUUGCAACAAGUAAUAAAGUGACAAGUAAAUGUCGAGUUAUCGUACCCACAGGGACUACGAAAAGAAUUAUUUAUGAAUGCAAUUAAAAACACUUUAGUAAAGAAAAUUAUUUUGAUUUUGAGGAAGUGAUUAAAAACUAAAAUUUAACUAAGUAAAAUAAAAUAAAAAUAAAAUUUCCAAUGCACGUGUAACACCCCGAACCCGAGUCCGACACCGGAGUCGAACACGAGGUGUUAACAAACUUUGAAAAAUUUCCAGACACUGCCCAAUCUGUGUACUAGUCGCUUUAAAAAUCAGAUCUUGAGUUUCACAACUCAAAAAUCAGUUUCGUGAUUUUUCCCUGAAACUAGACUCAUAUGCCCAUUUACUUAUUUUUUUCUAGAAUUUUUGGUCGGGCCAAUUAGUACAGUUUAUUAGUCAAAGUCUCCCAUGUUACAGGGAUCGACUACCCUGACCUUUGCGCAUUACGACUUGGAUAUCUCUCUGCACAGAGCUUCAAUACUGAUGCCGUUUGUUUCUAUGGAAACUAGACUCAGAGAGGAAUCCAUACAUAUAUGUUAUGACUCCUAAUUAUCUCUGGUCAAUUUAUAGUGAAUUUUCAAAGUCGGAAUAGGAAAUCCAGAAAUUGUUCUGGCCCUGUCCCACAAGAACCUGAAUAUCUCUUACUGUACUGUUCAUAUGAUUGUUUCGUUACUUUCAUAUGAAAGUAGAUUCAUCAAGGUUCGAUUACAUAAUUUAUUCACUAUUUAAUUCCACUCCUACGAAUUCUUGUGAUUUUUCCAAUCCACACCACUGCUGCUGUCAGCCUCUGUUUUCAGAGUAAACCUUACCUAUUUUCGGGGUUUCAUGGACCAACUAGGGCCUUGUCACAUAUAUGCCCACAUAUGAUCAUACUUAGCCAUUCCAAUGGCUGAUCAUUUGCUCAACACUUCCAUUCCAACUAUAGUUACAUCAUGAAACCAUCUAUACAUUCAUAAACACGAAUGGUCUAAUGCCAUACUCCACUUCUACAAGCCAUUUUCGCAUGGCUAUACACUUAUACAUUUCAUAAAGUACUCGAAAAACAACAACGGGUAGUCCUAUACAUGCCAUAUCAAAAUCCAACCAAAAUAGUACCCAAAAGAGCCUUUGAUAGUGUGGGCGACUUCGACUUCAAGAUCCCGAGUCCGAUAGCUGGAGAACCAAAAAUCUAUAAAACAGAGGAGCAAUGUAACGAGUAAGCAAUUUAUGCUUAGUAAGUUUUGAGCAAGGAAUUCCAGCAUAAACAAAGAAUAACACACGUUUAGCUAAACGGAAUAUUUCAUAAUACGCAAUUUACCGAUAUCAAACUUGCUUCACAACAUAAACAACCAUUAUGUACAUACACAAUAGACUAACUUAGCCGAAGGCCGGUAGCUCGUUUAUCAACUGAGCGAACAUUUAUUUGUACGGGCUCGACUAAAUUCAACACAUACGUAACAUAUCCCCAUAUUGGGAUGUUUUUCGUGUGUUCGCUGGAAUUUUACAGCAAGCUCAUUCAUUACCAAAUCACAUACCUUCGGGAUUUAACCGGAUAUAGCUCCUCGUUCAAAUGCCUUCGGGACAUAGCCCGGUUUUAGUAACUCACACAAUGCCUUCGGGACUUAACCCGGAUUUAAUGACUCGCACGAAUGCCUUUGGGACUUAACCCGGAUUUAGUAUCUCGCACAAAGGCCUUCGGGGCUUAACCCGGAACUUGUAUCUCGCACAAAUGCCUUCGGAUCUUAGUCCGGAUAUAUUCACUUAGCACAAAGCCUUCGGGACUUAGCCCGGACAGCAUUCAAUUAAUCAUGCACAUCAAACAAUAAUUCAUGGCACAUUCGUCUUUCUUUUUCAUUAGCAAAACUCAAACACAAGGCACAUACCAUCCUUGCACAUUCGGCUCAAUAGCCACACAUAGAGCAUGAUUUAAUCACAUCGUAAUUUAAGCUCUCUUACUCAAGAACUUACCUCGGGUGUUGUCGAACGAUUCCGCUAACUAUUCGACCACUUUUUCCUUCCCUUUAUCGGAUCUAUUUCCCCUUUGCUCUUGAGCUUAAUUAAACAAAUAAAUUGAUUUCAUCAUUUAGGCAUCAAAAAGAUGAACACAAGGCACUUAGCCCAUAUUUAUACAUUAGACAUUAAAGUCUCGUACAUGCAAAAAUCAUGCAUCAACACAACAUAUUAGCUAAUUUCUUUCCCCUUGGCCGAAUAUGCAUAUCUAUUUUUGGGGUCGAUUUCAACACCUAAUACACACAUAUACACACUAGUAAGGCAUCCUCCCCCUUUUCAUCAAUUUAACACAUGCAUUGCUCAUUAACAUGCAAAGUUACAUUCGGCCUUAGCACACAUCUUGCUAGCCGAUUCUUCUCCAUUUAGCAAUCAAUGCACAUAUGUGCUCACACAAAAAUGCUAAAAAGGAGGUUCAAAAAUCAUCAAGCCAUCAUCACAUGCAUCAUUAACAAACUUCAUAUUUUGCAUGCAAUGGCAUUAACACGACCUCCACCUAGGCCGAAUCUUAACUCAUCCUCAUGCCUCAUCACUACAACAUCAAACACCAACCAAGAAUGAUGCAUCCAUGGUCAAGUGCCAUUUCCAUCACAUAGCAAGAUUUAGACCAUGGGCUAGGUAGAAAUCAAGCUAACAACUAAAACAUGCAUGCAUCUCAUGAAACAUCAUCAAACAUACCUUAGCCUAGCUACAUGCAUGGCCGAAUCUCUUCACCUUUCUUCUUCUUUCCUCCUUAAAAUUUUUGGCCAAGGAUGAACCAAAGGAUGAGAAAAGGAUGAACAAAAAUUCUCUCCUUCCUUUUCUUUAGCUCACGGCAAUGGGGGGGAAAAGAAUCAACUACACACUUUUUUUUUGUGUAUUCAUCAUGCUCCUUUUCAUUAUUUAAUUCCCAUGCCUAUUAUUUUAUUUUUUUCCACCCAUGAUGCACCAACAAAACAUGUCUAUGACAUGUCUUGGCCAUCAAACUUGGUCUACCAUGCUUGUCAUGGCCGGCCACUACUAGUAGGGGGGGAAAUUUGACAUGCAAGUCCCCCCUUUGUCCACAUGCACUAAUAGGUCCUCACACAUUGACCUAUCACAUUUUAGAAUUUUUUUCACAUAAGUCCUAUUGACUAAAUUCUCAUGAAAUCAACCAAAUUGAAGCUUGAAAUUUUCACACCUUCAUAAUUACAUAUUCUAGACAAUAAGUAUCACAUUCAAACAUUUCGGUGACUCGGUUUAGCGGUCCCGAAACCACUUCCCGACUAGGGUCAACUUUGGGCUGUCACAACUCUCCCCCACUUAAGAAAUUUUCGUCCCCGAAAAUCUUACCGGUAAAUAGGUUUGGGUAUCGUUCUUUCAUCGAGCUCUCGGUCUCCCAAGUAGCUUCCUCGAUCCCGUGUUUGAGCCAUAACACCCUUACUAGCGGAACUCUUUUGUUUCGCAACUCCUUCACUUCACGAGCUAGGAUACACAUCGGUUCUUCUUCAUAGCUCAUGUCGACUUGAAUUUCAACCUCUGAUGGGCUAAUUAUAUGCGAUGGAUCGGAUCGAUAGCGUCGAAGCAUCGAAACAUGAAAGACGUCAUGAAUCUUUUCAAGCUCCGGGGGCAAAAUCAAUCUAUACGCAACCGGACCAACUCGUUCGGAGAUUUCGUACGGCCCAACGAAUCUUGGGCUCAACUUGCCCUUACGGCCGAACCUGAGUAUCUUUUUCCAAGGUGAAACCUUAAGGAACACUUUGUCUCCCACCUGAUACUCGAUGUCUUUUCGUUUCAAAUCUGCGUACGACUUCUGACGAUCCGUGGCUACCUUCAGACUUUCACGGAUUACCUUUACUUUCUGUUCAGCAUCUUUAACCAAAUCAACUCCGAAAAUUUUACUUUCACCGAGCUCGGUCCAAAACAAUGGUGUACGGCAUUUACGACCGUACAAAGCCUCGUAAGGUGCCAUCUUAAUACUUGAUUGAAAACUAUUGUUGUAAGCGAAUUCAAUCAAAGGUAAAUACCGUUCCCAUGAACCACUGAACUCGAGGAUGCAACAUCUCAACAUAUCCUCGUAAGGCACUUGAUGUUCCGCUUUCACUUGUUGACAUAUUAAACAUCUCGAAACAAAGUCGGAGAUGUCCCGUUUCAUACCAUGCCACCAAAAUUGACGUUUCAAAUCGUUGUACAUUUUCGUACUCCCCGGGUGAAUUGACAUUCGGCUACAAUGGGCUUCGUUCAGAAUCAUCAAAAUGAGUUCCGAAUUUCUUGGAACACACAAACGAUUUCUGAACCUCAAACAAUCACCAUCAUCAAUUUGAAACUCUGAUUCCUCGCUCGGAACACACUUAGCCCGUUUUGCAACCAAUUCAUCAUCGACUUUCUGAGCUUCACGAAUUUGGUGAGUCAAUAAUGGUUUAGCUUUUAAUUCAGCUACUAACACAUUGUCUGGUAGAACAGACAAAUGCACGUUCAUCGCUCGUAAAGCAAACAAUGACUUCCGGCUUAAGGCGUCCGCAACCACGUUAGCCUUUCCCGGGUGGUAAUCAAUGACAAGCUCGUAAUCUUUCAACAACUCAAGCCAACGUCUUUGUCGCAGAUUCAAGUCUCGUCAAGUCAUCAAAUAUUUGAGACUUUUGUGAUCCGGAAAUACAUGGCACUUCUCACCAAACAGAUAAUGUCGCCAUAUUUUUAAAGCAAACACGAUGGCAGCUAGUUCGAGAUCAUGGGUCGGAUAAUUCCUCUCGUGUGGCUUCAAUUGUCUCGACGCAUAGGCCACGACUCGACCUUCUUGCAUCAAUACGCAACCCAACCCAAGUAGGGAUGCGUCACUAUAAAUGACAAACUCUUUACCCGAUUCGGGUUGCACCAAAAUUGGAGCUUCAGUCAAAUGAGUUUUCAGUUGGUCAAAACUUUUCUGACAUUUCUCUGUCCACUCGAACUUAACAUCCUUUUGAAGUAGCUUCGUCAUUGGUGUGGCUAUCAUCGAGAAACCUUUCACAAAUCGUCGGUAAUAACCGGCGAGCCCCAAAAAGCUCCGAAAUUCAGUAAUAUUUCUCGGAGGUUUCCAGUCAAGUAUGGCUGAAAUUUUGUUCGGGUCAACACGAAUACCUGACGCGGAUACCACAUGACCCAAGAAGCUAACCUCUCUUAACCAGAACUCACACUUACUGAACUUAGCAUAUAACUGCUUAUCCCGCAAAAUUUGCAGCACUAGCCUCAGAUGCUCAGCAUGUUCGGUCUCAUCUCUUGAAUAGACCAAAAUGUCAUCAAUGAACACAACUACGAACCGAUCCAAAUACGGUCUGAAGAUCCGAUUUAUCAAAUCCAUAAAUACCGCAGGGGCAUUAGUGAGCCCAAACGGCAUCACUAAGAAUUCGUAGUGACCAUAUCUCGUUCUGAAGGCAGUUUUGGGAAUAUCUGAAUCUCGAAUUCGCAACUGAUAAUAGCCCGAUCUCAAAUCUAUUUUUGAGAACACUGAGGCUCCCUUCAGUUGGUCGAACAAAUCAUCAAUGCGCGGCAACGGAUAUUUGUUCUUUAUCGUCACUUUAUUCAGCUGACGAUAGUCAAUGCACAACCUCAUGGUUCCGUCCUUCUUUUUCACGAACAAAACUGGUGCACCCCAAGGUGAAAAACUUGGUCGAGCGAAACCUCUAUCCGUCAGUUCUUGCGACUGAGCUUUCAACUCCUUUAACUCGGUUGGUGCCAUACGAUACGGAGCUAUCGAAAUCGGCGUAGUCCCAGGUACAAGCUCAAUACCAAACUCUACCUCCCGAACAGGUGGUAAACCCGGUAAUUCUUCCGGAAAAACAUCCGGGUAUUCACAAACCACCGGCACAGAUUCGGGUUUCUUUUCUAAUUCUUUGUCAUCAAGUACAUACGCAAGGUAUGCUUCGCACCCUUUUCUUACAUAUUUCUGUGCCAACAUUGCUGAUAUUACAGCUGGCAUCCCCUCCAAGUCCGCAGACUCAAUUCGGAUUACUUCGUUAUUUGCGCACCUCAAAUCAAUAGUCUUGCUCUUACAAUUCACAACCGCAUCAUGCGCGAUCAACCAAUCCAAACCAAGGAUAACAUCAAAUUCAUCAAACGGCAAAAGCAUCAAGUUCGCCGGAAAACAGGAACCUCGAAUUUCCAGGGGACAUUUCUUACACACUUUGUCGACAAGCACGUAACGACCCAAGGGAUUUGACACCCGAAUUACGAACUCAGUAGACUCAAUAGGUAAAGUCUUACUGGAUGCUAAGGUUUCACAUAUGUAAGAAUGAGUAGAACCGGGGUCAAUCAAAGCAAUCACAUUAGUAUCAAAGAGAGUGAAUGUACCGGUAAUAACAUCAGGCGAGGAAGCAUCCUCGCGGGCACGUAUAGCAUAAGCUCUAGCAGGCGCACGAGCUUCGGAUCUGGUUAUAUCAUCUCUAGAUCCUCUCUGACCACCACUAGCAUUGCCCGUAUUUCCAGAUGGUCUACCUCGAGCAGUGGUAGCACCCGGUUUCCCACUCUGAUUUUCAUUCUGUUCAAACAACCUCGGGCAAUCUUUAAUGAAGUGGUCCACUGAUCCGCACUUGUAACAGGAGCGGUCAGGGAAUCUACAACUCCCCGAAUGCCAUUUACCGCAAUAUCGACACUUCGUUCUAUCUCGACGUUCAUUCCCAACACUGGCGACCGAAGUGCCUCGUGUACCCACAGGGGGUCGAUCACGAUCUCGUCUAAAAAGGCCCGAAGUGCCUCUAAACUGGCCCGCAUCAUCUCGAAAUCUCUUCGAUGUCUGUUGAAGAGACCGUCUCGAGGAUCUUUUACGAAACUCUCCAGUUCCCUCAUCAACUCUUUGCUUUUCUUUUCUAAGCUCUUCGGCUUUACAAGCUCGUUCAACAAGUACCACGAACUCUCGUAUUUCAAGAACGCCAACGAACAUUUUUAUAUCUUCAUUCAGCCCAUCCUCGAAGCGUUUACACAUAAUAGCUUCGGACGAAACACAUUCCCGAGCGUAUUUGCUAAGUCUAACAAAUUUUCGCUCGUAAUCAGUAACCGACAUGGAGCCUUGCUUAAGCUCAAGAAAUUCCUUCCGUUUUUGAUCGACAAAUCUCUGACUGAUAUACUUUUUCCGAAACUCAGUUUGGAAAAACUCCCAAGUUACUUGCUCUCGGGGCACAACAGAAGUCAAAGUACUCCACCAAUAGUAGGCAGAAUCACGUAGCAAGGAGAUAGCACACUUUAGGCAUUCAUCGGGUGUACAAGAUAGCUCAUCGAGUACCCGGAUAGUGUUGUCCAACCAAAAUUCAGCUUGCUCGGCAUUGUCGCUAUCCGUAGCUUUAAAUUCAGUAGCCCCAUGUUUUCGGAUUCUAUCAACUGGGGGCUUAUUUGACCUUAUUUGGUCAGUUACCGGAGGUAUUGUAGGUGCGGGGGUAGUAUUUGUCGGGAAUGGAGGUUGUGGAACAGCCAUAUUAGUUCGAAUGUAUUGGUUGAACCAAUCAUUCAUCACGCUAUAGAAUGCUUGUCUAGCUCCAUCAUUCGGAUUACUAGCAUUAGGUUGAGAGUCCGCCGGCGCUGUCCCUUGUGCGGGAGCAGGCGCUACACUCUCAAGAUCAUCAGCUACCUCUCGGUUACGAUCGGGAUCCAUUACUAUAAAUACACAUUUACAAUUGUCAGAAAUCACCACACUAUCAAGUAAUCACAUAAAAUGGCAUGUAUAGCUAGACCCAACACAUUACGGUAGUCCUAGAAUCGACUAAACCGUAGCUCUGAUACCAAUAAAAUGUAACACCCCGAACCCGAGUCCGACACCGGAGUCGAACACGAGGUGUUAACAAACUUUGAAAAAUUUCCAGACACUGCCCAAUCUGUGUACUAGUCUCUUUAAAAAUCAUAUCUUGAGUUUCACAACUCGAAAAUCAGUUUCGUGAUUUUUCCCUGAAACUAGACUCAUAUGCCCAUUUACUUAUUUUUUUCUAGAAUUUUUGGUCGGGCCAAUUAGUACAGUUUAUUAGUCAAAGUCUCCCAUGUUACAGGGAUCGACUACCCUGACCUUUGCGCAUUACGACUUGGAUAUCUCUCUGAAAAGAGCUUCAAUACUGAUGCCAUUUGUUUCUUUGGAAACUAGACUCAGAGAGGAAUCCAUAAAUAUAUGGUAUGACUCCUAAUUAUCUCUGGUCAAUUUAUAGUGAAUUUCCAAAGUCGGAACAGGAAAUCCAGAAACUGUUCUGGCCCUGUCCCACAAGAACCUGAAUAUCUCUUACUGUACUGUUCAUAUGAUUUUUUCGUUACUUUCAUAUGAAAGUAGAUUCAUCAAGGUUCGAUUACAUAAUUUAUUCACUAUUUAAUUCCACUCCUACGAAUUCUUGUGAUUUUUCCAAUCCACACCACUGCUGCUGUCAGCCUCUGUUUUCAGAGUAAACCUUACCUAUUUUCGGGGUUUCAUGGACCAACUAGGGCCUUGUCACAUAUAUGCCCACAUAUGAUCAUACUUAGCCAUUCCAAUGGCUGAUCAUUUGCUCAACACUUCCAUUCCAACUAUAGUUACAUCAUGAAACCAUCUAUACAUUCAUAAACACGAAUGGUCUAAUGCCAUACUCCACUUCUACAAGCCAUUUUCGCAUGGCUAUACACUUAUACAUUUCAUAAAGUACUCGAAAAACAACAACGGGUAGUCCUAUACAUGCCAUAUCAAAAUCCAACCAAAAUAGUACCCAAAAGAGCCUUUGAUAGUGUGGGCGACUUCGACUUCAAGAUCCCGAGUCCGAUAGCUGGAGAACCAAAAAUCUAUAAAACAGAGGAGCAAUGUAACGAGUAAGCAAUUUAUGCUUAGUAAGUUUUGAGCAAGGAAUUCCAGCAUAAACAAAGAAUAACACACGUUUAGCUAAACGGAAUAUUUCAUAAUACGCAAUUUACCGAUAUCAAACUUGCUUCACAACAUAAACAACCAUUAUGUACAUACACAAUAGACUAACUUAGCCGAAGGCCGGUAGCUCGUUUAUCAACUGAGCGAACAUUUAUUUGUACGGGCUCGACUAAAUUCAACACAUACGUAACAUAUCCCCAUAUUGGGAUGUUUUUCGUGUGUUCGCUGGAAUUUUACAGCAAGCUCAUUCAUUACCAAAUCACAUACCUUCGGGAUUUAACCGGAUAUAGCUCCUCGUUCAAAUGCCUUCGGGACAUAGCCCGGUUUUAGUAACUCACACAAUGCCUUCGGGACUUAACCCGGAUUUAAUGACUCGCACGAAUGCCUUCGGGACUUAACCUGGAUUUAGUAUCUCGCACAAAAACCUUCGGGGCUUAACCCGGAACUUGUAUCUCGCACAAAUGCCUUCGGAUCUUAGUCCGGAUAUAUUCACUUAGCACAAAGCCUUCGGGACUUAGCCCGGACAGCAUUCAAUUAAUCAUGCACAUCAAACAAUAAUUCAUGGCACAUUCGUAUUUCUUUUUCAUUAGCAAAACUCAAACACAAGGCACAUACCAUCCUUGCACAUUCGGCUCAAUAGCCACACAUAGAGCAUGAUUUAAUCACAUCGUAAUUUAAGCUCUCUUACUCAAGAACUUACCUCGGGUGUUGUCGAACGAUUCCGCUAACUAUUCGACCACUUUUUCCUUCCCUUUAUCGGAUCUAUUUCCCCUUUGCUCUUGAGCUUAAUUAAACAAAUAAAUUGAUUUCAUCAUUUAGGCAUCAAACAGAUGAACACAAGGCACUUAGCCCAUAUUUAUACAUUAGACAUUAAAGUCUCGUACAUGCAAAAAUCAUGCAUCAACACAACAUAUUAGCUAAUUUCUUUCCCCUUGGCCGAAUAUGCAUAUCUAUUUUUGGGGUCGAUUUCAACACCUAAUACACACAUAUACACACUAGUAAGGCAUCCUCCCCCUUUUCAUCAAUUUAACACAUGCAUUGCUCAUUAACAUGCAAAGUUACAUUCGGCCUUAGCACACAUCUUGCUAGCCGAUUCUUCUCCAUUUAGCAAUCAAUGCACAUAUGUGCUCACACAAAAAUGCUAAAAAGGAGGUUCAAAAAUCAUCAAGCCAUCAUCACAUGCAUCAUUAACAAACUUCAUAUUUUGCAUGCAAUGGCAUUAACACGACCUCCACCUAGGCCGAAUCUUAACUCAUCCUCAUGCCUCAUCACUACAACAUCAAACAUCAACCAAGAAUGAUGCAUCCAUGGUCAAGUUCCAUUUCCAUCACAUAGCAAGAUUUAGACCAUGGGCUAGGUAGAAAUCAAGCUAACAACUAAAACAUGCAUGCAUCUCAUGAAACAUCAUCAAACAUACCUUAGCCUAGCUACAUGCAUGGCCGAAUCUCUUCACCUUUCUUCUUCUUUCCUCCUUAAAAUUUUUGGCCAAGGAUGAACCAAAGGAUGAGAAAAGGAUGAACAAAAAUUCUCUCCUUCCUUUUCUUUAGCUCACGGCAAUGGGGGGGGAAAAGAAUCAACUACACACUUUUUUUUUGUGUAUUCAUCAUGCUCCUUUUCAUUAUUUAAUUCCCAUGCCUAUUAUUUUAUUUUUUUCCACCCAUGAUGCACCAACAAAACAUGUCUAUGACAUGUCUUGGCCAUCAAACUUGGUCUACCAUACUUGUCAUGGCCGGCCACUACUAGUAGGGGGGGAAAUUUGACAUGCAAGUCCCCCCUUUGUCCACAUGCACUAAUAGGUCCUCACACAUUGACCUAUCACAUUUUAGAAUUUUUUUCACAUAAGUCCUAUUGACUAAAUUCUCAUGAAAUCAACCAAAUUGAAGCUUGAAAUUUUCACACCUUCAUAAUUACAUAUUCUAGACAAUAAGUAUCACAUUCAAACAUUUCGGUGACUCGGUUUAGCGGUCCCGAAACCACUUCCCGACUAGGGUCAACUUUGGGCUGUCACAGCACGAUUUCAAAAGAUGAUUUUAAUCAAGAUGACAUAAUUAUAUUAGAUUAAUUACAUUUCUUAACUUAAUAUUACUAAAACAAUGUUCAUGUUGUUACAAAAUAAUUCACGACAACUUGGUAAUUUGUUAGCUAUAGCACAUAUAGACCCACUAAAUUAACUAAUCUCUUGAACACAUCACUAUAUCAAUUCAAACAUUUAAUUAAUUUAGACAAGUAAAUAAAAGGUUACGUAAGGUAACAAUGUAUACCUACAUUGAAACAGUUUAAUCACAAUAAUCUUGUCAAUUAUGCAAGGCUAAUGUACCAUUUAAUACUGUCGCUAAUUCAACCCUCAGCUACCUUAGAUGAUUAAACAUGCACUGAUUAAGUAUUGUGUCUGUUAAUUAUUAUUUCAACAUGAUUUAAUAAUUAAUUCAUUAGUUACCUUACAAAGAUAAUGCAAGAAUAACUUAAUCAUGGUUUUACUUAAUCAAACAAUUUACUAAGACCUAUAACAACACAAACAUGAUUUUAAUAACUUAAGUGGACGAAAUGCAAUCAACCUAACAUGAAUUAAAUUUAAGACAUAUUAAUUAAAUUAAACAUAUCAACAUAACAAGUAUUCAUAGAUGUGUUCAUAACAACAACAAUAAAAAUUAAAGGAUAGGGAACUAGAAUCAAAUCUGGUGUUUCUCCAAAGCUUGACUAGUUUGCUCCGUUCCUCCGUCUCUGCUUGUUCUUGUUGAACUGAGGCUUCUACAAGCACUUGAAUAUUUCUACCGAUGGUGUUUGAGGUUCAGCAAGGGAAUGGAAGGGAAAAAUGGAGAACAAAUGAAGUGUUUUGAAGAGAGAAAGUGUGAGAGAAGUGUGAAGAAUGAAGGUGUAAGAGGUGUGUUUCAAAUAAGCAGCCAACGGGGGUAUUUAUAGGUUGGAUAAGAUGCUAAAAAUGGAAAAAAUCAGCAGCCAUUAACUCCCCCUAUGGCCGGCCGCACAUGUGGCAAGUUUGAAGCUUUCAAACUUGCUAAAUUUAGCUAGGGGCAAAUCUACAAAAGCUUGAUAAGUGGAGAGGUUUGAAUGCAAUUUCAAAGAAACUUCAAGGGUUAUUUUGAAAGAAAAAUAAUAAGCUAAAAAAUCUGAUUGGGUCAGCAUGUGGGACGGUUUUGGGUAGCCCAUUUGCUCGAUUGGAUCAAUCUCUCGGUGCUUAGCACAGUGGACCACUUUGUCCUUCAGGCUUUAUAUUAAUUUUUAACUCAAUUUCACUUGGGAAAAAAUUAAAUAUAAAGUAUAUAAAAUGAUCAUCAUUUGGAUUGACCUUGGCUGGAAAAAUAUUUAAUCUUGCCAUUCGUUCUCUUGACGCAAAAAUUCCCCAACGGUUUAAGCCUUUCAAGGUGUGUGCCGAGCCAAUUUUCACCUUUUGUGUGAACCUGUCAAAAAUAAAUCAUAAGUUAUUAUAAAAUUAACUAAAAUUAAAUAUGUUAAUAAUCUAAGUACAAUUUAAUUAUUUUAUAAUUAUAGUAUAUCUUUCGACAAGAAUUAUACCAAAACUGCAUGAAUUUGAGUUAAAAAGGGUAUGAAAAGGUAUAUUUUUUGUUUCCAUACCGCAUUGCCUUCCUCAUUGGGUUUAGGAACACGACUAACCUAGAUAUAGCCUCGAUUGGGAUCACUUGGAUGACUCACUCCCACACCUCUUCACAAGUUAGGCCACUAUAAUUUAUAAAAGAGAGGGUGAGCUUAUAAAAGCUCAGUGAGUGCUCAAACAUACUACAAAUAUACACAUCAGUUAGGUUAAAAGGUGACUUACUAUAGCGGUUCACAUAUUAUUACAGUCUACACGAAAUAGUAACUCACGUGACAUAACAAUUCUCAUAAAAUAAGCAGUGCACAUAUAAUAAAUAAUUCGCAUAAAAUGUGUAGAUCAUAUAAAUCAUCAAUUCGCAUAAAACAUCUAUUCAUAUGAAAUAACAGUACAUACCAUGUAAUAUCUCAUUUUUUAGUGGUGUCGGAAACAGUGGUUUCCAGACCACAAUUGCAAUACAUGAAGUCAUAUUUUAUUAUUUAAUUGAUGUUUAUUAAGUUACAUUAGGGUCUAUUAUAUUUUGGUAAGGAAAUUUUAAUGUUUAGUUAGUUAAUUGAAUAAAAGGACUAAAUUGUGGAAGACACAAAACUUAGUAAUUAUUUAAUUACAUUGACUUGAUAGUUUAAUUAUUUAAUGGAAGAGAGUUUAUGAAAUAAUUAAGCCAUUAGGAUAAUAGGUGGAUAGUUAUGGGCUUAUUAAUUGUUAAAAUUGUAAGUUUAGAACUAAGGAUAAAAUUAUAAUUAUAACAAACUAAAAGAAAUAAAAUACAAAUGAUGAAUCAUCAUCUUUCUCUAGUAGCACCCGAAAUUGGAAGGUUAAAACACCAUUGUUCCCAACCUUUAGCUUCGGCCAUAGCUAUUGGGUUGCAUGUAAGCUCAUUUUAAAUUUGUUUCUAGUAAUUUUAUGUUUUUGAAAUCAUUGCAACUAGGUCUAGCUAACCCAUAACUUCAUUUUUGAAACUGUCAAGAAUUUUGAAAUGUACCAUUAAAUAAUUCUUAUUGUUUAUGAUGUUAAAUAGAGGAUUUGAGUUCUUAGUUGUUAAUUAGAAGUAGUUUUUAAAUAAUCUUCUUAGUUUUUGAAUUAAGGAUUUAUUUGAUGAAAUGUUAAAAUUUACAUAAUAAUCUUGUGACUUUUGAAUGAUUAUGGACUAUACUAAUAUGGAAAUAAAUUUGGCUAGCUUGAGUAUCUGGAAAAUUUUGCUAAAUUUUGGAGAUUUUAAGUUAGGGACUAAAUUGUAAAAAAUGUAAAAGUUUAGGGAAAAUAUAUAAUUAAUGAAGAGUUAAGGGUCUUAUGCAUUAAAUUGAGUGUGAAAUGUAUGUGAAUUUAAUAUAAUGUAUUUAAUUACUAUAUAAAUCAAGACACAAGUCAUAAAGGCAAUAACUGAGGAAAGGGAAAAAUUACAGAGUAGUCCCUGCAUUUUAAUCAGGAGUGGAUUGUAGGUAAGAUUAUAAUGUUUUGUUUUAUAUUUUUAAUUUAUUUUUUUUUAGAUUACGGAAUUCUUGUUAAUUAUUUUAUAUAUGUGUGUGUGAAGUUAUUUUGAUUAUUUAUAUAACCAUGUGAAAUUCAAUUAUUUAUAUAUACACAUUGGUGCCCCUGUUUGCACUUCAGUGCCCCUGACUGCACAUCUAUGCCCUUGUUUGCAUCUAUGAUGCCCUUGAAAAUGGAGUAAUUACUGAGUAUGUGAAUCGAGUACUAGUGAUUUAGACUAAAUGUUAUAGAGUCCUACGGACUAGUUAUAUACGUGUAUGUAAGGUUUAUUUAUGGAUUGUUACAUGGAAUAGGUAUAAUCUUAUUACGAUAAAUUUCUAGAGAAGAUGUCCAUUUCGAUUUGGUUGGUUGUGAAAAUAAUCAUGCCAUGUAUUUAAAUAUUAGGAUGAGCAUGUUAUAAAUUUAAUUUGUUUAUUUUAAUUAAGUUAAGUAGAUCAUAUACUAUAAUCUUACUAAGCUAUUUAAGCUUAUUUGUUUUUCCCAUGUUAUUUUGUAGUUAUCAGUUGUGGACUGUUUGGAUGGAUCGAUCAGAAAGCUCACACUAUCCAGUCAUUUUUAGUAACUUUUGUAUCUCUUUUUGGGUUGUGGCAUGUGUAUAUAGGUUUUGUUUGUAAGUUGUUAAUGGUAAUGGUAAUGAAUGAUUAAGAAGAUUUGUUACCUUCUUUUGAGUAUGUUUUGCAAUCUUGGAAUAUGAAAUCUUAUGUAUAAAUGGAAAUCCUGAUGUUUAUUUGGUAAACUUGUAGCAUUUUCAAAAUGUAAUAAUAAUAAUAAUAUGGUUAGUUUUGGGAGCUUAAAUUGGAAAUUGAUAUUAGACAAAAUCUUGUUAGGUUCUAUGAAUGGUACAUUGGUUAAAAGCUUUAGGUUGAUUGUUUUGACAUGUUUAAGAGUGUUUUUAUCCUAGGAAUGUAUGUAUUAUUGGUGUAUCUUAUUGGGCAAGAUUUGGUAUUGAAUUAACUUGAAUUAGGGGAUAAGUGGUGAGUACACGACCUGGGACAUGGGUUGUCACACGAUCGUGUGUCUCAAGUUCGUGGGUUACACUGGCUAGCACACAGCCUGCGACAUGGCUAUGUGUGCCAAGUUAGUGAGUUACACGGUUAGAAACAUAGAUUGGGACACAAUCUUUUUUCCUUAUUUUGAAUACUCACACGAUCUGAGCUAUGUCACACAGCUGUGUGACCCUUGCUUUUCAAAUUUUCAAAUUUUUCUGAAAUUUUCUUUUUUGUUUUGAUUUGAUCCCGGAUUGUUCCUAAACUAUUUUUAGGGCAUCGUAAGCCUGAUUCAAGGCCCAUAAUUGUAUUCAUACCAUGACUAGAAAUUGUUUGUUAUAUGUUUAUAAAUUAAUUGUUUAAUCGUUCUAAAAUAAAGUGAAAUGUUCUAUUUCGAUCGGUAACACUCUAUAACCUUAAUCUGGCAACGGAGACGGGAUAGGGGUGUUACAUACCAAAUGACAGUUCAUUCUAAUUAGCAAUUCAUAACACAUAACAGUUCAUGCAAAAUAACAAUUCAUACUUUAUCAUAACUUAUAUAUUUCAAAUAAUGAUAAAUUGGCAUUUUUGUGAUUAUGAAACAUAUAGGGAACUCCACCACCACCUAUAAGUGGACUCUAUCACCACACAUUGGAUAAGCAUCUCCAAGCCACAAUGCCCAUCACAAUAAAAAGGGUAAGUACUCACAAUCCUAUGGCAUGCCAACUAUAUCCAAUGGUUCAAUAAGGUCACAAUGCCAAAAUAUAUGUUUAACACAUUCACAAUAUUUAGUAUAAUAUGGCUCGCAAUUAAGCAGAGCUCACACAUUAUAACAUAGUUCACAAUUCUCAAUUCGCAAUAGAGUUUAGUUCGCAAAUACUAUUACUUUCAUGCAACAUAUAUUGCACACAAGUAAACGAAAAAUAUGUAGGAUUUUUCCUAUAUAAUUCACCACCUUUUUACUUAAAAUUACUGUUAAAACCAAGUAAUUGUUUAAUAAAUUAAUGAAAUAUGUGAAAAUAUGAAAUUAGGACAUAGAAAUUUUUAAAAUGUGAUUUUAUGUUUUAUUAUAUAGUUUUCAUGCAUAAAAAGGCUUAUUUUAUACUAAUUUAAGCAUAUUAUAUUUUUAAGCUAUGAAGUGGGUCAUGCAUAAUUAAAUUAAAUAAUAAAAUAUAAUGUUAUAUUUUAAUAAUUCAUUUUAAAUAUUUCAUUAAUAAAAUUGGGUUUAAUUAAUUAAGUAAAUUGAUUAAUUAAAGUGGCUAAAUUAAUUCAUUUGGUCAUCUAAACUAUAUGCUAUUUUUGACAGGUCUGAGAGUUUUCUUCUAAUUGCAAAACCGUCCAAAGUGGGGACCAAGUCAACCCAAUUUUCGGCUGCACAUGGCUGAUUAUAAACCAAUUUUUGGUUUAAUUACAUAAGGCUCUUGAAGAGUUAAAGAAAUCUGAGAUUUACCUAAAGAUUUGCUGGAGACCGAGUCUUAGUCCUGAGUUGUUGUGGCAUUCAAACUAACCAAAAAUCAAGGAAAAAUCAGCCACAUUUCCUCAAUUCAUGGCCGGCCACUCUUGGAAGAGGUUUCAAAGGAUGGACACUCAUAAUUUUAGGAAACUAGCUCCCUUGCCUCACCUAUAAAUAAGAGCUCAUUUCUCACUUUUUCAAUCAUCCCUCAUCUCAUCAUCCCUCUCAUCUCUCAUCCUCUCUCUCAACUCUCUUAGCUCUCACGCCUAACAUCAUCCUUGCAUAAGGAUUUUAGCAAAUUAGCCUCUUAAAGAGCCCUUGGUUGGCCACCUUGGAGAGCCAUCAGCAAAGGAGCAACGCAAAGAAGUGAAGGAGCCUCGUUAGUUAGAGUCUUAGGUGACAGCCACUCUGAAUUGGGUUUAAUCUUUUUUUUCUUUAAAUUUCAUUUAAAGAUGUUUGCUAUGUGUUCUUUGUUCUUCUUUACAACAAUGAUAGCUUAAUUUUAUUUAAGCUAGGAUGAUUAUUCUAAUUAAAUAACAUUUAUUUGAUUCAUGCUUAUAAUGUUUGUGCCUCAAUCGAUCAUGUUUUCAAUAAAAAUCAAGUCUGUAUUUCAUUCAUACGUAAUUGAAAUGCACUUGAAUUAGCUGAGCGAUCCUAACCAGAUGACAACUAAUGGACGCAUAAUUGAAAUGUGCAUGCUCAAUUUAAAUCCUAAACCGAUUGAAUUGUAGGUUGCAUAACAACUCUAACCAGGCUCUGUUAUCUGCAUAGUUUUCAGAUUUGUGUGAUUAAAUUGUUUCAAACCAAACACGUCCCUGUUACCUCACACGAAUGCUAAGAAACCCUUAGUAAAUAAGGAUCAGUAAAAUGCGUAUUUAUUAAGUAAAGGAUUUCGGAAGGACCUAAUUUGGUUUCCAAAACUCAUGAAAGAUCGAGUUGCCAUGGAAUGUUUUUCUGAAUAUUAUUAAGCAUGAUGAUAAUAAAUUAAGUUUAAUUAAAGUAAUUGUCCUAGUUUAUUUAUGUUAUAAUUGUUGCAAAUUGUGUUUAAUUUUACUAAAAUUUAUUUCAUUCAUAUAGUUUGCAUACUUAGGAUAAUUUGCAUUAGGGAUCAUUGUAUUUAGUUUAAUAUAUUUUAAUCACCACUUCUCAAUUAUAUUGUGUUUUUUAUUUACCAAAUUGCUAAUAUAAUUUUACAAAUUAAGUGACUUAGCACAAAUACAAUCCCUGUGGAGACGAUAACUCGAUACUUACUUAUUACUUGAUAACGACUGUGUACAGUUGGACAAACCCCAGUGUUACAAGUUUUUGACGCCGUUGUGGGGGAUUGUCAACUAUUGCCGUACUCAUUUUUUUCGUGAAAUUGUUCAAUUUGAUUUAUUUCUAACAUUACUAACUUAUUCUAUUUAAUUUUUGUGAUUUUCUGUUCAUGUGUUUAUGAGCAUAGAUCAAAUUAUCUAUUUACUCCCUACAGACCCUAAAAUUGAGCGAACUUUUAGACAAAGAAGACAUGAACGAACAGCUCAAAGACAAGUCGGGAUGAACCUUGGAAAUCAGAAUCAAGACCAAGGUAAUGAAGCUGAUUAUGUACGAAAUCUCAUCCUCAUUGCCGAUGAUAGGGAUUGAUGCAUCAGACAAUAUGUUGUGCCACUUUUUAGUGAGUUAAACCUAGGAAUUAGAAGGCCAGAUAUUGAGGCAACCUAGUUUGAAUUGAAACCAGUGAUGUUUCAAAUGCUACAAACGGUGGGCCAAUUUAGUGGUUUGCCCACGGAAGAUCCACAUCUCCACCUUUGAUUGUUUAUGAAGGUGAGUGAUUCAUUCUAGAUAGCCGAUGUGACUGAAGAUGCACUGAGGUUGAAGUUGUUUCCGUACUCAUUAGGAGACCGAGCACGAGCAUGGCUAAAUUCAUUGCCACCAAGUUUCAUAUCUACAUGGCAAGAAUUAGUAGAGUGAUUUUUGGUUAAGUACUUCCCACCUAGAAAAAAUGCUAAGUUGAGGAACGAGAUCACAACUUUCCAACAAUUAGAUGACGAGUCUUUGUAUGAGGCUUGGGAGCGAUUCAAGAAGUUACUUCGUAAGUGUCCUUAUCAUGGGAUUCCUCAUUGUAUCUAGUUGGAGACAUUCUAUAAUGGUUUCAAUGCACAUACAAGAUUGAUGGUAGAUGCUUCCGCGAAUGGUGCAAUUUUUUCUAAGUCUUAUAAUGAGGCUUAUGAGAUCACCGAGAGCAUCGCGAGUAAUAACUAUCAAUGACCACCAAAUCGAACAGCUUCAGGAAGAUGUGUAGCCAAAGUUCAUGAAGUUGACUCCCUCACUUCAUUAUCAGCUCAUGUAUAAUCUAUUUCUUCUAUGAUAAAAUAGUUAACCACUUAUAGUACUAAUAAUUCUAUAGCUCAGCCACUAAGUCCGUUUAAAGUAGUUUACUGUGUGUACUGUGAGGAAGGUCAUUCUUUUGAGAAUUUUCCAUCAAAUCCUGAGUCAGUGUACUAUGUGGGGAACCAAUAUCAAAAUAGGAGUGGACAAGGACCCCAGUCCAACUUCUACAAUCCUUCAUGGCGUAAUCAUCUUAACUUUUCUUGGACCAACCAAGGAAAUGGACCGAACAACUACUUAUUGCAGCAAAGACCCAACCAAUCUCAAGGGUUUAAUCAGCAAGCUCCAAAACCACCUCAAGCUGAGGCAUCAAACAGUUUGGAGAACUUGUUGAAAGCAUACAUGGCAAAGAAUGACGCUUUGAUCCAAAACCAAGCAGCAACACUGAAAAAUUUGGAAAUCCAGAUGGAUCAGUUAGCUACGGAGUUACGUAAUAGACCACAAGGAACCUUGCCGAGCGAUACUGAGAAUCCAAUAAAUUUAGGUAAAAAACAUAUCAAGGCAGUGGCAUUGCGAAGUGGUAAAAUUCUAGAACCCUGAUUGAUUGAUGUCGAAGAUAAGCCCGUUGGAAAGAGUCAACCAGAUGUUGAAGUUCCUACACCAAAGGUGUAACACCCCGAACCCGAGACCAUCACCGGAGUCGAACACGAGGUGUUAACAGACUUUAAACACUUAUAAACAAAUUUCCCAGACACUGCCAAUCUGCGUACUAGUUUCUUUAAAAAUCAUAUCUUGAGUUCAGAAACUCGGAAUCUAGUUCCGUAAAUUUUCCCUGAAACUAGACUCAUAUUACCAUCUACAUAUUUUUUCUAGAAUUUUUGGUUGGGCCAAUUAGUACAUUUUAUUAGUCAAAGUCUUCCAUGUUAUAGGGAUCGACUACACUGACCUUUUCCCAUUACGACUUGGAUAUCUCCCUACACAGAGCUUCAAUACUGAUGCCGUUUGUUUCUAUAGAAACUAGACUAAGAGAGGAAUCUAUACAUAUAUGGCAUGACUCCUAAUUAUCUCUGGUUAAUUUAUAAUGAAUUUCCAAAGUUGGAACAGGAAAUCCAGAAACCGUUCUGGCCCUGUCUCACGAGAACCUGAAUAUCUCUUAACAUACUGUCCAUAUGACCGUUUCGUUACUUUCCUAUGAAAAUAGAUUCAUCAAGGUUCGUUUACAUAAUUUAUUCACUAUUUAAUUCCCUUCCUAAUAUUUUUAGUGAUUUUCCAAAUCUACAUCACUGCUGCUGUCAGCAUCAGCCUUUAAGGUAGACUUUACCUAUUUCAUAGUUUCCAUGAUUCAACUAGCCCUUUUAGCAUAAAUAGCACAAAUUAUGAUAGUGAUUAACCAUUCCCAUGGCCAAUCCUUGUUAAGCAUAUCCACACCUCUCAAUAACCAUGUCCAUACCAAAUGAUUAUAACAUUAUACUCAAACAUAUAUAAGCCAUUUUCGCAUGGCUAUCCAAAAUUAUACAAGUCCAAAGAGUCCAUGACCCCCAACAAAAAGGGUAGUCCUAUACAUGCCAUUUCGAAGUUCAACCAAAAUUGUACCAAAAAGGGGGGGGCUUUGAUAGUGUGGGUGACUUCGACUUCAAAAUCCCGAGUUCGAUAGCUGGAGAACCAAAAUCUAUAAAACAGAGAAUCAAGGAGACGGAGUAAGCAAUUUAUGCUUAGUAAGUUUUGAGCAAGGGAUUCCAGCACAACAAAAGUAUAACAUUCAUGUAGCUAAACGGAUAAUUUCAUAUGCACAAUUUUUCAAUAUCAUACUUACUUCACAUUACCAACCCUUUUAUUCAUACACAAAGAUCAACUUAGCCAAAGGCCGGUAGCUCAUUUAUCAACUGAGCGAAUACUUAUUUGUAAGGGCUCAACUAAUUCAAAGCACAUACGAAACAUACCUCAAUGUUGGGAUGUUUCAAGCGUAUUAAUUGAAAUUUUUACAGCAAGAUCAUUCAUUCCCAAAUCACGUACCUUCGGAAUUUAACCGGAUAUAGCUACUCGUUCAAAUGCCUUCGGGACAUAGCCCGGUUAUAGUAACUCGCACAAAUGCCUUCGGGACUUAACCCGGAUUUAGUAACUCGCACAAAUGCCUUCGGGACUUAACCCGGAUUUAGUAACUUGCACAAAUGCCUUUGGAUCUUAGUCCGGAUUUAGUAACUCGUACAAAUUCCUUCGGAUCUUAGUCCGGAUAUGGUCACUUAGCACAAAGCCUUCGGGACUUAGCCCGGACAUCAUUCAAAUAACCAUGCACAUUUAACAAUAAAUCAUGGCACGUUCGUAUUUCGUUUUCGUUAGCAAAACUCAAACACAAGACACUUAUCAUUCUUGCAAUUUCGGCUCAAUAGCCACACACAAAGAGCAUGAUUUUGAUUUGCUUAAAACAUGAUCUAAUCAAAUCAUAAUUUAAGCUCUUUUACUCAAGAACUUACCUCGGAUGUUGUCGAACGAUUCCGAUAGCUAUCCGACCACUUUUUCCUUCCCUUUAUCGGAUUUAGUUCCCCUUUGCUCUUGAGCUUAAUUAAACAAAUAAAUUGAUUUAAUCAUUUGAGCAUCGAAAAGAGGAACACAAGGCACUUAGCCCAUAUUUAUACAUUAGACAUUAAAGUCACAUAUGUACGAAAUCAUGAAUCAAGCUCAACAUUUUAGCUAAUUUUCCCCCUUGGCCGAAUUUUCUAAGCCAAGACAAAAGCAUCAAUAUGCUUGCCUCUAACCGAAUACAUGCAACACCAAUCUCCUUCCUAUGGCCGAAUAUGCAUGUCUAUGUUGGGGCCGAUUGCAACACUUAAUACAUUCUACAAGUAUGGUCACUUGUAUUGACUAAACACCAUUUUGUUUCAAGUUCAAAACUUGGCUAAUACACACAUAUAUACACUAGUAAAGCAUCCUCUCCCUUUCCAUCAAUUUAACACAUGCAUUACUCAUUAAUAUACAAACAUUAUAUUCGGCCUUAGCACGCAACUUGCUAGCCGAUUCUUCUCCAUCUAGCAACCAAUGCACAUAUGUGCUCACUCAAAAAUGCUAAAAAGAAGAUUCAAGAAUCAUCAAUCCACCAUCACAUGCAUCAUUAACAAGCUUCAUAUUUAGCAUGCAAUGGCAUUAACACAAAAUCCACCUAGGCCGAAUAUCAUCCCCAUGACAUAGCAAAGAUUUGAACCAUGGGCUAAUUAGAACUCAAGCUAGCAACUAAAAACAUGCAUGAAUCUCAUGGCACAGCCUCAAACAUACCUUGAUCUAGAUACAAGUAUGGCCAAACCUCCUCCUAGUCCUCUUCCAAACCAAACAUGAAGCAAGAACUCCUUCCUCCUUCCUUAGAAUUUUCGGCCAAAAGAAGAUGAAAAAGGAUGAACAAAAUUUUUCUUUUCUUUUCUUUUACUCACGGCAAUGGGGGGGGAAACAACCACACACUUUUUUUUUUGUUUUCAUCAUAUUCCCUUUCAUUAUUUUAUGCCCAUGCUCCUUAUUUUAUCAUACUUCCCAUGACACACUAACUCAACAUGUUUAUGACAUGUUCUUGCCCAUCACACUUGGUCUACCAUGCUUGUCAUGGCCGGCCACUACUAAUAGAGGGGGGAAAUUGACAUGCAAGUCCCCCCUUUUUCAACAUGCACUAAUAGGUCCUUAUGCUUUGACCUAUCACAUUUCAAAAUUUUCUCACAUAAGUCCUAUUUACUAAAACUCACAUGCAAUCGACUAAAUCGAAGCUUGAAAUUUUCACACAUUCAUAAUUACAUAUUCUAGACCAUAAAUAUCACAUUCGAACAUUUCGGUGACUCGGUUUAGCGGUCCCAAAACCACUUCCCGACUAGGGUCAAUUUUGGGCUGUCACAACUCUCCCCCACUUAAGAAAUUUUUGUCCCCGAAAAUCUUACCGGUAAAUAGGUUUGGGUAUCGUUCUUUCAUCGAGCUCUCGGUUUCCCAAGUAGCUUCCUCGAUCCCGUGUUUGAGCCAUAACACCUUAACUAACGGAACCCUUUUGUUUCACAACUCUUUCACUUCACGAGCUAGGAUACGAAUCGGUUCUUCUUCAUAACUCAAGUCAGAUUGAAUUUCAACUUCUGAGGGAUUAAUCACAUGUGACGGAUCGGAUCUAUAACGUCGAAGCAUCGAAACAUGAAAGACAUCGUGAAUCUUUUCAAGUUCAGGGGGCAAAAUCAAUCUAUACGCAACCGGACCAACUCGUUCGGAGAUUUCGUACGGCCCAAUGAAUCUCGGGCUCAACUUGCCCUUACGGCCAAAUCUGAGUACCUUUUUCCAAGGCGAAACUUUAAGAAACACUUUAUCUCCCACCUGAUAUUCAAUGUCUUUUCGUUUCAAAUCCGCAUACGAUUUUUGACGAUCUGUGGCUGCCUUUAGACUUUCCCCGGAUUACCUUUACUUUCUGUUCGGCAUCUUUAAUCAAAUCAACUCCGAAAAUUUUACUUUCACCGAGCUCAGUCCAAAACAAUGGUGUACGGCAUUUACGACCGUACAAAGCCUCGUAAGGUCCCAUCUUAAUACUUGAUUGAAAACUAUUGUUGUAAGCGAAUUCAAUCAAAGGUAAAUACCGUUCCCAUGAACUACUGAACUCGAGGAUGCAACAUCUCAACAUAUCCUCAAGUAUCUGAAUUAUCCGCUCGGAUUGACCAUCGGUUUGGGGGUGAAAAGCAGUGCUAAAAUGCAGCUUGGUACCCAAAGUUUCUUGCAAUUUCCUCCAAAAUCGUGAGGUGAAUCUCGGAUCUCUAUCCGACACGAUAGAAAUAGGUACCCCGUGUAAUCUCACAAUCUGAGAAACGUACAAUUCAGCUAGUUUAUCCAAUGAAAAAUUCGUAGGCACGGGGAUAAAGUGAGCCGACUUAGUCAGUCUAUCGACAACAACCCAAAUUGCAUCUUUCUUACUUGUUGACAAUGGCAGUCCGGACACAAAGUCCAUUGUGACUCGAUCCCAUUUCCACUCAGGUAUCAUGAUCGGCUGAAGUAAUCCUGAAGGCACUUGAUGUUCCGCUUUCACUUGUUGACAUAUUAAACAUUUCGAAACAAAGUCGGAGAUGUCUCGUUUCAUACCAUGCCACCAAAACCGACGUUUCAAAUCGUUGUACAUUUUCGUACUCCCCGGGUGAAUUGACAUUCGGCUACAAUGGGCUUCGUUCAGAAUCAUCGAAAUGAGUUCUGAAUUCCUUGGAACACACAAACGACUUCUGAACCUCAAACAAUCAUCAUCAUCAAUUUGAAACUCCGAUUCCGUGUUCGGAACACACUAAGCCCGUUUUGCAACCAAAUCAUCAUCAACUUUCUGGGCUUCACGAAUUUGAUGAAUCAAUAAUAGUUUGGCUUUUAAUUCAGCUACUAACACAUUGUCGGGUAGAACAGACAAGUGUACAUUCAUCGCUCAUAAAGCAAACAGUGAUUUUCGGCUUAAGGCGUCCGCAACCACAUUAGCCUUUCCCGGGUGGUAAUCAAUGACAAGCUCGUAAUCUUUCAACAACUCAAGCCAACGUCUUUGUCGCAGAUUUAAGUCUCUUUGAGUCAUCAAAUAUUUGAGACUUUUGUGAUCCGAAAAUACAUGGCAAUUUUCACCAAAUAAGUAAUGUCGCCAUAUUUUUAAAGCAAAUACGAUGGCAGCUAGUUCAAGAUCAUGGGUCGGAUAAUUUUUCUCAUGUGGCUUUAAUUGUCUCGACGCAUAGGCCACCACUCGACCUUCUUGCAUCAAUACGCAACCCAACCCAAGUAGGGAUGCGUCACUAUAAAUGACAAACUCUUUGCCUGAUUCAGGUUGCACUAAAAUUGGAGCUUCAGUCAAAUAAGUUUUCAGUUGAUCGAAACUUUUCUGACAUUUCUCCAUCCAUUCGAACUUAACAUCCUUUUGAAGUAGCUUCGUCAUUGGUGUGGCUAUCAUCGAGAAACCUUUGAAAAAUCGUCGGUAAUAACCGGCGAGUCCCAAAAAGCUCCGAACCUCAGUAAUAUUUCUCGGAGGUUUCCAGUUAAGUAUGGCUGAAAUUUUGUUCGGGUCAACUCGAAUACCCGAUGCGGAUACCACAUGACCCAAGAAGCUAACCUCUCUUAACCAGAACUCACACUUACUGAACUUAGCAUAUAAUUGCUUAUCCCGCAAAAUUUGCAACACUAGUCUCAGGUGCUCAGCAUGUUCGGUCUCAUCUCUUGAAUAGACCAAGAUGUCAUCAAUGAACACAACUACGAACCGAUCCAAAUAUGGUCUGAAGAUCCAAUUCAUCAAAUCCAUAAAUACCGCAGGGGCAUUAGUGAGCCCAAACGGCAUCACUAAGAAUUCGUAGUGACCAUAUCUCGUUCUGAAGGCAGUUUUGGGUAUGUCCGAAUCUCGAAUUCGCAACUGAUAAUAGCCCGAUCUCAAAUCUAUUUUUGAGAACACUAAGGCUCCCUUCAGUUGGUCGAACAAAUCAUCGAUACGCAGUAACGGAUAUUUGUUCUUUAUCGUCACUUUAUUCAGUUGAAGAUAGUCAAUGCACAACCUCAUGGUUCCGUCCUUCUUUUUCACGAACAAUACUGGUGCACCCCAAGGUGAGAAACUUGGUCGAGCGAAACCUCUAUCUGUCAAUUCUUGCAACUGAGCUUUCAACUCUUUUAACUCGGUUGGUGCCAUACGAUACGGAGCUAUCGAAAUCGGUGUAGUCCCAGGUACAAGCUCAAUACCAAACUCUAUCUCCCGAACAGGUGGUAAACCCGGUAAUUCUUCAGGAAAAACAUCCGGGUAUUCACAAACCACCGGCACAGAUUCGGGUUUCUUUUAUAAUUCUUUGUCAUCAAGUACAUACGCAAGGUAUGCUUCGCACCCUUUUCUUACAUAUUUCUGGGCCAACAUUGAGGAUAUUACAGCUGGCAACCCCUUUAAGUCCGUAAACUCAACUCGGAUUAUCUCGUUAUUUGCGCACCUCAAAUCAAUAGUCUUGCUUUUGCAGUUCACAACUGCAUCAUGCGCGGUCAGCCAAUCCAAACCAAGAAUAACAUCAAAUUCAUCAAAUGGCAAUAGCAUCAAGUCCGCCGGAAAACAGGAACCUCGAAUUACUAGGGGACAUUUCUUACACACUUUGUCGACAAGCACGUAACGACCCAAGGGAUUUGACACCCGAAUUACGAACUCAGUAGACUCAAUAGGUAAAGUCUUACUGGAUGCUAAGGUUUCACAUAUGUAAGAAUGAGUAGAACCGGGGUCAAUCAAAGCAAUUACAUUAGUAUCAAAGAGAGUAAAAGUACCGGUAAUAACAUCAAGCGAAGAAGCAUCCUCGCGGGCACGUAUAGCAUAAGCUCUAGCAGGCGCACGAGCCUCGGAUCUGGUCGUAGCAUCUCUAGAUCCUCUCUGACCACCACUAGCAUUGCCCGUAUUUCCAGAUGGUCUACCUCGAGCAGUGGUAGCACCCGGUUUCCCACUCUGAUUUACAUUCUGUUCAGACAACCUCGGGCAAUCUUUAAUGAAGUGGUCAACUGAUCCGCACUUGUAACAGGAGCGGUCAGGGAAUCUAAAACUCCCCGAAUGCAAUUUACCGCAAUAUCGAUAUUUCGUUCUGUCUCGACGUUCAUUCCCAACACUGGAAACCGAAGUGCCUCGUGUACCAACAGGGGGUCGAUCACGAUCUAGUCUAAAAAGGCCCGAAGUGCCUCUAGACCGGCCCACAUCAUCUCGAAAUUUCUUCGAUACCUGUUGAAGAGACUUUCCCGAGGAUCUUCUACGAAACUCUCCAGUUCCCACAUCAACUUUUUGUUUUUCUUUUCUAAGCUCUUCGGCUUUACAAGCUCGCUCGACAAGUACUACGAACUCUCGUAUUUCAAGAACGCCAACGAACAUUUUUAUAUCUUCAUUCAGCCCAUCCUCGAAGCGUUUACACAUGAUAGCCUCGGACGAAACACAUUCCCGAGUGUACCUACUAAGUCUAACAAAUUUUCGCUCGUAAUCAGUAACUGACAUAGAACCUUGCUUAAGCUCAAGAAAUUCCUUCCGUUUUUGAUCAACAAAUCUCUGACUGAUAUACUUUUUCCGAAACUCAGUUUGGAAAAACUCCCAAGUUACUUGCUCUCGGGGCACAACAGAAGUCAGAGUACUCCACCAAUAGUAGGCAGAAUCGCGUAGCAAGGAGAUAGUACACUUUAGGCAUUCAUCGGGUGUACAAGAUAGCUCAUCGAGUACCCGGAUAGUGUUGUCCAACCAAAAUUCAGCUUGCUCGGCAUCGUCGCUAUCCGUAGCUUUAAAUUCAGUAGCCCCAUGUUUUUGGAUUCUGUCAACUGGGGGCUUAUUUGACCUUAUUUGGUCAGUUUCCGGAGGUAUUGUAGGUGCGGGGGUGGUAUUUGUCGGGAAUGGAGGUUGUGGAACAGCCGUAUUAGUUCGAAUGUAUUGGUUGAACCAAUCAUUCAUCACGCUAUAGAAAGCUUUUCUAGCUUCGUCAUUCGGGUUACUAGCAUUAGGUUGAGAGUCCACCGGCGCUGUCCCUUGUGCGGGAGCAGGCGCUACACUCUCAAGAUCAUCAGCUACCGCUCGGUCGGGAUCGGGAUCCAUUACUAUAAAUAAACACAUUUACAAUUGUCAGAAAUCACCACACUAUCAAAUAAUCACAUAAAAUGGCAUGUAUAGCUAGACCCAACGCAUUAUGGUAGUCCUAGAAUCGACUAAACCGUAGCUCUGAUACCAAUCAAAUGUAACACCCCGAACCCGAGACCGUCACCGGAGUCGAACACGAGGUGUUAACAGACUUUAACCACUUAUAAACAAAUUUCCCAGACACUGCCAAUCUGCGUACUAGUCGCUUUAAAAAUCAUAUCUUGAGUUCAGAAACUCGGAAUCCAGUUCCGUCAAUUUUCCCUGAAACUAGACUCAUAUUCCCAUCUACAUAUUUUUUCUAGAAUUAUUGGUUGGGCCAAUUAGUACAGUUUAUUAGUCAAAGUCUCCCAUGUUACAGGGAUCGACUACACUGACCUUUUCGCAUUACGACUUGGAUAUCUCCCUACACAGAGCUUCAAUACUGAUGCCGUUUGUUUCUAUAGAAACUAGACUCAGAGAGGAAUCUAUAAAUAUAAGGCAUGACUCCUAAUUGUCUGUAGUUAAUUUAUAAUGAAUUUCCAAAGUCGGAAGAGGAAAUACAGAAAACGUUCUGGCCCUGUCUCACGAGAACCUGAAUAUCUCUUAACAUACUAUCCAUAUGACCGUUUCGUUACUUUCCUAUGAAAAUAUAUUCAUCAAGGUUCGUUUACAUAAUUUAUUCACUAUUUAAUUCCCUUCCUACUAUUUUUAGUGAUUUUCCAAAUCUACAUCACUGCUGCUGUCAGCAUCUGCCUUUAAGGUAGACUUUACCUAUUUCAUAGUUUCCAUUAUUCAACUAGCCCUUUUAGCAUAAAUAGCACAAAUUAUGAUAGUGAUUAACCAUUCCCAUGGCCAAUCCUUGUUAAGCAUAUCCACACCUCUCAAUAACCAUAUCCAUACCAAAUGAUUAUAACAUUAUACUCAAACAUAUAUAAGCCAUUUUCGCAUGGCUAUCCAAAAUUAUACAAGUCCAAAGAGUCCAUGACCCCCAACAAAAAGGGUAGUCCUAUACAUGCCAUUUCGAAGUUCAACAAAAAUUGUACCAAAAAGGGGGGGGGCUUUGAUAGUGUGGGCGACUUCGACUUCAAAAUCCCGAGUCCGAUAGCUGGAGAACCAAAAUCUAUAAAACAGAGAAUCAAGGAGACGGAGUAAGCAAUUUAUGCUUAGUAAGUUUUGAGCAAGGGAUUCCAGCACAACAAAAGUAUAACAUUCAUGUAGCUAAACGGAUAAUUUCAUAUGCACAAUUUUUCAAUAUCAUACUUACUUCACAUUACCAACCCUUUUAUUCAUACACAAAGAUCAACUUAGCCAAAGGCCGGUAGCUCAUUUAUCAACUGAGCGAAUACUUAUUUGUAAGGGCUCAACUAAUUCAAAGCACAUACGAAACAUACCUCAAUGUUGGGAUGUUUCAAGCGUAUUAACUGAAAUUUUUACAGCAAGAUCAUUCAUUCCCAAAUCACGUACCUUCAGAAUUUAACCGGAUAUAGCUACUCGUUCAAAUGCCUUCGGGACAUAGCCCGGUUAUAGUAACUCGCACAAAUGCCUUCGGGACUUAACCCGGAUUUAGUAACUCGCACAAAUGCCUUCGGGACUUAACCCGGAUUUAGUAACUCGCACAAAUGCCUUUGGAUCUUAGUCCGGAUUUAGUAACUCGUACAAAUGCCUUCGGAUCUUAGUCCGGAUAUGGUCACUUAGCACAAAGCCUUUGGGACUUAGCCCGGACAUCAUUCAAAUAACCAUGCACAUUUAACAAUAAAUCAUGGCACGUUCGUAUUUCAUUUUCGUUAGCAAAACUCAAACACAAGACACUUAUCAUUCUUGCAAUUUCGGCUCAAUAGCCACACACAAAGAGCAUGAUUUUGAUUUGCUUAAAACAUGAUCUAAUCAAAUCAUAAUUUAAGCUCUUUUACUUAAGAACUUACCUCAGAUGUUGUCGAACGAUUCCGAUAGCUAUUCGACCACUUUUUCCUUCCCUUUAUCGGAUUUAGUUCCCCUUUGCUCUUGAGCUUAAUUAAACAAAUAAAUUGAUUUAAUCAUUUGAGCAUCGAAAAGAGGAACACAAGGCACUUAGCCCAUAUUUAUACAUUAGACAUUAAAGUCACAUAUGUACGAAAUCAUGAAUCAAGCUCAACAUUUUAGCUAAUUUUCCCCCUUGGCCGAAUUUUCUAAGCCAAGACAAAAGCAUCAAUAUGCUUGCCUCUAACCGAAUACAUGCAACACCAAUCUCCUUCCUAUGGCCGAAUAUGCAUGUCUAUGUUGGGGCCGAUUGCAACACUUAAUACAUUCUACAAGUAUGGUCACUUGUAUUGACUAAACACCAUUUUGUUUCAAGUUCAAAACUUGGCUAAUACACACAUAUAUACACUAGUAAAGCAUCCUCUCCCUUUCCAUCAAUUUAACACAUGCAUUACUCAUUAAUAUACAAAAAUUAUAUUCAGCCUUAGCACGCAACUUGCUAGCCGAUUCUUCUCCAUCUAGCAACCAAUGCACAUAUGUGCUCACUCAAAAAUGCUAAAAAGAAGAUUCAAGAAUCAUCAAUCCACCAUCACAUGCAUCAUUAACAAGCUUCAUAUUUAGCAUGCAAUGGCAUUAACACAAAAUCCACCUAGGCCGAAUAUCAUCCCCAUGACAUAGCAAAGAUUUGAACCAUGGGCUAAUUAGAACUCAAGCUAGCAACUAAAAACAUGCAUGAAUCUCAUGGCACAGCCUCAAACAUACCUUGAUCUAGAUACAAGUAUGGCCAAACCUCCUCCUAAUCCUCUUCCAAACCAAACAUGAAGCAAGAACUCCUUCCUCCUUCCUUAGAAUUUUCGGCCAAAAGAAGAUGAAAAAGGAUGAACAAAAUUUUUCUUUUCUUUUCUUUUACUCACGGCAAUGGGGGGGGAAACAACCGCACACUUUUUUUUUGUUUUCAUCAUAUUCCCUUUCAUUAUUUUAUGCCCAUGCUCCUUAUUUUAUCAUACUUCCCAUGACACACUAACUCAACAUGUUUAUGACAUGUUCUUGCCCAUCACACUUGGUCUACCAUACUUGUCAUGGCCGGCCACUACUAAUAGAGGGGGGAAAUUGACAUGCAAGUCCCCCCUUUUUCAACAUGCACUAAUAGGUCCUUAUGCUUUGACCUAUCACAUUUCAAAAUUUUCUCACAUAAGUCCUAUUUACUAAAACUCACAUGCAAUCGACUAAAUCGAAGCUUGAAAUUUUCACACAUUCAUAAUUACAUAUUCUAGACCAUAAAUAUCACAUUCGAACAUUUCGGUGACUCGGUUUAGCGGUCCUAAAACCACUUCCCGACUAGGGUCAAUUUUGGGCUGUCACAAAAGGAAUCAAAAUCUACAAAGUCUAACAAGGUAAACCUUGACCUAGUUAAUUCAAAUGUUUUAACAUCUUCUUUGGAUGCAGAUUUACCUACUCAGAAAAGUUGUCCGGUUCAACCGAAAGUUCCAUCACCUCCAUAUCCGCAAAGAUUGCAGCAACACAAGUAGAAACAAGAGGUGUAAUUCAAGAAGUUUUUGGAUGAUCUGCAGCAGUUACACAUCAAUAUUCCAUUGGUGGAGGCUUUAGAACAAAUGUCAAAUUAUAUGAAGUUUAUGAAGGAUAUAUUAUCUAAGAAAAAAAUGAUUGAGUGAGUAUGAGACUAUUGUUUUGACAAAGGAGUGCAAUGCAUUCCUGCAGAACAAACUGCCACCAAAAUUGAAAGACCCAGGAAGCUUUACUAUACCCUGUAACAUUGGUGAAUCUUACUGUGGUACAGCUUUGUGUGACUUAGGAGCGAGUAUCAACUUAAUGCCUAAGUCUAUUUUCAAGAUGUUAGGAAUAGGUGAAGUAAGACCUACAACUUUGAUGCUUUAGUAGCGGAUCGAUCUUUAGCAUAUCCCAAAGGAAAGAUCGAGGAUGUUUUGGUAAGAGUCAAUAAAUUUAUUUUUCCUGCUGAUUUCAUUAUUUUAGAUUUUGAAGCAAAUAAGGAAGUACCAAUUAUCCUUGGGAGACUUUUCCUAGCCACGGGAAGAACAUUAAUUGAUGUGCAGAAAGGUGAACUCACCAUGCGAGUUCAAGACGAUCAGGUAACCUUUAACAUUCUUAAAGCAAUGAAAUUUCCCAAUCCAGAAGAGGAGUGUUCAGUUAUGGAAGAGAUAGAAACCUUGGUUUCUUUGGAAAGCAAUUUUGAAGAAGAUCCAUUAGAGAAAGCUUUAGAUCUUAACCCUUUGGAGGAUGAAGAAGGUAAAGAAAACAUGGCUUUGAUGAAAGCUAAUCUGAGAAAUUAUAUUCAAUCCACACGGUUUGAACCUUUGGAGUUGGAAGUUAGACAAUUUAUGCAACCCAAGUUGUCAAUCGAAGAACCACCUAAACUUGAACUAAAGUUAUUUCCUUUCCAUUUGAAAUACGUGUAUUUAGCUGAUUGUUCUACUUUACCUGUGAUUAUUUUAGCGGAGCUGACAAAAGAUCAAGAGGAGCGAUUAAUUGUUGUUCUAAAGAAAUUUAAGAAAGCAUUUGGUUGGAGCAUAACUGAUAUUCGAGGUAUAAGCCCCUCAUUUUGCAUGCAUAAAAUCAUUUUAGAAGAAGGUGAAAGAGCUUGAAUUGAUGGGAAAAGGAGGCUCAAUCCUAUUAUGAAAGAAGUUGUGAAAAAGGAAGUGAUUAAAUGGUUAGAUACAGGAAUCAUCUAUCCUAUUUCAAAUAGUUUGUGGGUAAGUCUGAUGCAGUGAGUGCCGAAGAAAGGUGGAAUCACAAUUGUUGAAAAUGAGCAUAACAAGUUAAUUCCAACGAGAACUAUUACCAGUUGGAGAAUCUAUAUUGAUUACAGAAAGCUGAACAAAGCCAUUCGAAAGGACCAUUUUCUGUUGCCUUUUAUGGAUCAGAUGUUAGGUUGACUGGCAGGUAAUGAAUUCUAUUGUUUUUUAGAUGGAUAUUCAAGAUAUAAUCAAAUAUUUGUAGCCCCGAAGGACCAACAUAAAACAAUCGUUACUUGUUCGUAUGGUACAUUUGCUUUUACGCGAAUACGUUUUGGUUUAUGCAAUGCACUUGCAACUUUUCAAUGAUACAAGAUGGCAAUAUUUAUUGAUAUGGUCAAAAAUUUCUUUGAGGUUUUCAUGGAUGAUUUUUCUAUUUUUGGUAACACUUAUGAUAUCUGUUUGAGUAAUUUGGCUAAGGUACUGAAGAGAUGCGAAGAGACGAAUCUUAUCCUUAAUUGGGAAAAAUGCCAUUUUAUGGUUAAUGAAGGAAUUUUCUUCAGUCACAAGAUCUCAAAGAAAGGAAUUGAAGUUGACAAAGCAAAGGUGGACAUAAUUGAAAGAUUACCGGCCCCAAUUAAUGUGAAAGGAGUUAGAAGUUUCUUAGGCCAUGUUGGUUUUUAUCGAAGGUUUAUCAAGGAUUUCUCAAAAAUUUCUAAGCCGUUGUGUUUAUUGUUAGAGAAAGACACAGUGUUCAAUUUCAACAAAGCAUGUCUGAAAGCUUUUAAAGAUCUAAAAAAUCGAUUAAUUACAGCCCCAAUAAUAGUUACACCUGAUUGGAACUCACCUUUUGAGUUGAUGUGCGAUGCAAGUGAUUGUGUUGUUGGAGCUGUGUGGGUCAAAGAAGAAAUAAAGUAUUCCACCCCAUUUAUUAUGCAAGUAGAACCUUGACAGGAGCUCAACUCAAUUAUACGGUAACUGAAAAGGAACUAUUUGCUAUAGUUUUUGCUUUUGACAAAUUUCGUCCAUACCUUAUAGUUACCAGAGUUACAGUAUUUACUGACCCUGCGGCCAUUAAAUACUUGCUCACGAAGAAAGAUGCAAAACCAAAGUUAAUUCGUUGGAUACUUUUACUCCAAGAAUUUGACCUUGAGAUCCAAGAUAGAAAGGUGUCAAAAAUCAAGUAGCUGAUCAUCUGUCGAGGUUGGAGCAAGAUAAGGUAACCCAGACUUGUAUGCCUAACAACGAGAAUUUCCCAGUUAAGCACUUAUUUUAGGUAAGUCGAAUUCAUGAAAUACCCUGGUUUGCUAAUUUUGUCAAUUAUCUUGCAUGUGGAAUAAUUCCUCGAGAAAUGACAUACCAACAAAGGAAGAAAUUCCUUCAGAUAGUCGAUAUUAUUUUUGGGAGGAUUCGUUUUUGUUUAAAUAGUGUGUAGAUAAUAAAAUCUGAAAGUGUGUAGCUGAAAGUGAGAUUGUUAAGAUCUUAUAUCAUUUGCCAGUCAUCUCCAAGUGGGGGCACUUUGGUGGUUCACGUACUGCAGUAAAGAUUUUGCAAGCAGGUUUCUUUUGGCCUACACUAUUUAAAGAUGCUUACACUUAUGUGAAGAACUGUGAUAAGUGCCAAAGAACCGGAAAUAUAUCAAUGAGGAAUGAGAUGCCCUUGACAAACAUUUUGGAGAUUGAAUUGUUCGACGUAUGGGGCAUUGAGUUCUUAGGCCCAUUUACUUCUUCAUAUGGGAACAAAUACAUCUUAGUUGCUGUGGACUAUGUAUCCAAGUGGGUUGAAGUUGACGCAUACCCUACAAAUGAUGCUAAGGUAGUCAUGUGAUUCCUACAUAAGCAUGUGUUUACACGAUUUGGGACACCAAGAGCUAUUAUUAGUGAUGAAGGUUCUCACUUUGUCAACAAAUGGCUUAAGUGGUUGCCUGAUAAAUAUGAUGUGAAGCACAAGAUUUCUACUGCCUAUCACCCCCAGUCUAAUGGACAAGUUGAAAGAGCGAACCGUGAAAUCAAAGGUAUCCUUAAAAAGGUAGUACACCCUAACAAAAAAGAUUGGUCUCGAAGGCUCGAUGAUGCAUUAUGGGCCUAUCAAACAACAUUCAAGACUCCGUUAGGAAUGAAUCCUUAUCAGUUAGUCUUUGGAAAUGCAUGUCAUUUUCCAUUAUAAUUGGAGAAUAAAGCUCACUAGGCUUUGAAAUAGGUAAAUUUUUAUCUUAAGCAAGCCGGUUAGAGAAGGAUGUUACAACUUGAUGCGUUGGAAGAGCUGAGGUUGUUUUCCUAUGAGAAUGCCAAAAUGUGUAAAGAAAUAUCAAAGAGAUGGCAUGAUAGUCAUAUAUAACCUCGCGAGUUUAAAGAAGGUCAAAAGGUGUUGUUGUUUAAUUCAAGGCUGAAUUUAUUUCCUGGGAAGCUGAAAUCCCAAUGGAAAAGACCUUAUACCAUCCACUGAUUUUAUCCUUAUGGAGCUAUUGAAUUGUACGACAAUUACGGAGAUACGUUUAAAGUUAAUGGUCAAUGUCUCAAACACUACUGGGAUGGUGAAGUUAAGCGAGUUGAAUCUUCAUUCAAAUUAACAGACGCUUGAUUUUGCAUAAACUCGUCUUGUAAAUAAAUAAAUAAUUAGAAUUUAUUUUCUUAAAUUAAGUACAUUUAAUUAAUUCUGUCUAAGGAGAUUGGAACUUAAGUGGGACCGCUGUGACCCCUCCAACCUUUCCUGGGAGUUAAUUUAAUAUAAUUUGUUAAGAAGAAACCUUCUAAUUAGGUUUUAAAAUGUUUUUUUCUAGUUUAAUUUUAAAUUUUAUUGUUAAUAAAGGGGGUCAAGUUUGACCCAAGUACUAAUUAGUUUUCUUUUAAGAUACAAUCUAAGUUUGAGGCCCAAGUCAGUGAAAAGGAGAGAAAAAUUUAACCCUUGCCAUCACACCCAUUCUUGCUGCCCAAGUAACUUUAAUUUAGCUAAAUUUUUGCAAUAUGUUGCCCUAAUUUUUCCCUAUAUAAACCCCUCUCCAUUCUACUAAUUUUUCAUAUCCCUCAAAGCAAUUUGCUUACACCCUAAAAUUCCUUAAAAUCUCUCUUUUUAUGCCGCUAGCCUCAAAUCCCGAAAGGAAUCUCUAGCCCUUUUCUUUUCUUUGGCCGAAACUACCUAGCGUAGCCACAAGAGAAUUUCCAAAGCAUCAACGUCUCUCCUCACGCAGCCGUUAUCGCCACCGCAUACCACUAUUGCUACCGCACAUCAUCGUCAUCACCGCAACUCCUUCGCCGUCGUAAGGUUUGCCGAAGCAAGAUCUACCCUCUUUUACCGAUUUCUCUUUUGCCUCUGCAAGUAGAAACUUUUUUGAAUUUUUUAGAAAAUACCAUGUCUCGCAAAAGAGCUAGAUCGUCAAAAACUACUUCUGAAAACCUAAUUUUGAUCAAUGAAGAAGUGAAAGAGAGAUUUGAUUCAAUUUUCAAGCAUCAAAGUAUGAUGCCGGAAAAGGGUUUUAACCUGAAGAGCAAUGAUGUGAUGGUUGUCCCUGUGCCGAUUAGAAAGAUAAUCAAUGCUCUCAAGUGGGAACGAUUCUAUGAUGCUCGUUCACUUCCCGAUGAUGAACUAGUUCAAGAAUUCUAUGCUAGUUUGACUACACAAGAUGCUACUGAAGUUAUCGUUCGAAAGAAAAAGGUAUCUCUUACUUCUAAGUCCAUCAAUGAUUUGUUUAAUUUACCUGAUGUUGAGGAAGAUGAGUACUACCCUAUGAUGAACAAUAUCAAUUAGGAUUUUCUUCAACAAGUGCUUAAUGUAGUGACAAAUCUGGGAUCCCAAUGGAUUAUAAGAAAGUAUGGAAGCCAUUCUUGUCGAAGAGAAUAUUUAAAACUAGUAGCAAAGGUAUGGCUUUAUUUUGUUCGCUACAGUUUUAUGCUUAUCUCACAUAGUUCCACCAUCUCAAUGGAACGAAUGCUCUUGCUAUAUGCAAUCUUGACAGAAAAUUCCAUUGAUGUUGGGAAAAUUAUCCUCAAGGAAAUUCACGAUUGUGCUAAAAAGAAGGCAGGAAGUGUUUAUUUCCCAUCAUUAAUCACUUCACUUUGCUUAAGGGCCCGUGUUAAAACACAAGCAAAUCUGAAGGGGUAGUAUGUCCAAGGGUGCAUCACAAGUCAUGAUCUUGAAAGGUUAGUAGAGAGAGUGCAUGAGCUGAACCAAGGCGAGCAAGAGGAACCAAUUGAGCCAGAACUGAAGAGUCAACAUAUAAAACUGAAACUAAAGUUGAUUCAGUUAUAGACACUGAAGAAGAAGAAUCUGGUAAGGAACCAAAUAGUCCUCAACCAGCUGAAGGAGCUGAAAACUCUGAACCAAGGGUUGAGCUAGAAGAAGAACCAGUCAAGCUAAGUGUUGAACUAGAAUUUAUGACUCCAAUGCCGACUCCUGCAAGUACUUCAAAGAAAUUGGAGCUGUCAAUUUUGAUGGAUAUGUGCAAGUUCAUGCACAAUCAACAACAAACUUACUGCAAAUAUGCAAAAAUUAAAGAUGAUUCAAUUCGAAAUACUUUUAACAAUAUCUCUAACACUUUUGUUCCUGAGUUCCCAAAUGCUAUCCUUGAGACAUGGACGGAAGAUACUGACGAUGAAAGCGGAGAUGGAACUAAAGAAGACAAGGGGAAUGAGUCAGAAAAAUAAAAGGGGGGAUUCUUGUCUUGUUAUUUAUUUAAUUAUUUUUUAGGUCUUUAGGAAUUUAUUUCUUUAGUAAUUAGGAUUUAAUCUUUGCAAAAUAAAACAUAGCAAGCAUGAAUAAAUACUUCUUUAGAAAGAAAAAGACUAAGUGAUGUGGCAAUGGGAAUGAACAUGUCUAGGAUUGGGUUAUUAGGAAAGACUUGGUAUUUAAGCAGUCUUAAUGACUCAUCUCUCUUUCUUUACAACCUUACCUGGUGUUCAGUUUUCAUUCAUUACUUUGUUCUUACAAUGAGGAAAUUGCUUCUUUUUAAAGGGGGUAAGCAAAUAAAUUGCUCAAAUUUUAAAAUUUUCAAGUAUGUUUCAAUCAUUUCUUUCAUAAGUAUGUUUUAAUAAAUGAAUGUUUAGAGAAAUUAUUUUUAAUAAGAUAGUUUGUAUGCAAGUAUGAAUGAUGAUUUUAUCUAAGUGAUUGUAUGUUAUCGUGAAGAAUGGAAUUCUUUUAUGAUCUUAGUCUUAGGUAAUGUUUGCCAUGAAAACUUAGUUUCUCUUGAGAUCAGACAUGCAUGAAGGUUUAUAUCUUUAGAAUUGACUUAGUAACUUUCUUGGGGUGAAAUCCUAGGGGACAUAAAAAUCUAAAAUGAUAUAGGCACCAUUUUUUUGGGACCGUUUGAGCCUUUUCAAGCCCACCUUAUGAUAUUAGACCCUUGAAACUGCAAUUUUGAGCUUUAGGGCCUGUUUUUGAAAUGAACGUACAUUAUACGCCGAUUACCAUAUUUUUAAAAUUAUCCUAAUUAUGUGCACCUAUCUUAACUUAAGUGUCUUGAGAAUCAACAUUUGAGGAAAUUUUCAUAAAGAUGUAUGUGCUCAUGUUAAAAAAAAUCACAAAGACAAAGAAAGAGCAAAGAAAAGUUCGCCUAGUCAUCAAAAAGGAAAAACGUAACACCCCAUACCCGAGAUCGUUGCCGGAGUUGAGCACGAGGAAUUACUUAUCUUAUCUUACUAACUCGAAGCAUAAAAACUUGUUUUCAAAAUUAAUUUCACUAUUUACAGCAAUUUGUCUAAUAGUGUAGCAGUUACUAAAUUAAUUAUAACUCGAGCUACGGAACUCGAAAUUUAACUCCGUAAAUUUUCCAUGAAACUAGACUCAUAUAUCUUCCUACCAUAAAUUUUUACGAUUUUUUGUUUAGCAAAUUAUUACAUUUUAUUAGUUAAAUUCUCCCCUAUUUCACCAAUCGACUGCCCUGACCACUUAUCACUAAAAAUAAAAUUUCUCAUUGUAGGAGCUACCGCUUGCUUCUACAGAAAAUAAACUCAAUAAGGAAUCUAUACAUAUAAACUAAAACUCAUAACUAUUUUUGAACAAUUUUUAAUGAUUUUAUAAACUUAAAACAGAGUCACCAAAAACUGUUCUGACCCUGUCUCACCAAAAUUCAUAUAUCUUAAAAUAUAAAAUUCCUUUUGCUACACCGUUAUUUUUAUGUGAAAAUAGACUCAACAAGAUUUAAAUCCAUAUAUAAUUCACUCUUUAAUUCAUUUUAUACUAUCCCAGGUAAUUUUUCAAAGCCACGUCACUGUUGCUGCCUGAAUUCUGUUUCUUUGCAAAAUUGUACCCUUUUAUGAUUUCCAUGCAUAGUUUAUCACUUAGACUCUUAUAACAACAAACACUUCCAUACUUAACCAUUUUAGCAACCAUUCAUCAUCAAAUACUUACACAUCAUUCUUUAGCAAGAUCAUAAAUACAAACAUUUAAAAUAACUAAAUCCCUAUACAUGCCAUACUCAACAUGGUUCAACAUAAAAAUACCGAGUUGUUGUGGUUGAUAGUGUGGACGAUUUCCGACUUCUUUAGGAGAAAGAGAAAUAAAAGAUGUAAGCAUAAAGCUUAGUAAUUUUACUAGCAAAUAAAUAACAAUAUUUAACUCAGAUAAUUGAACUCAAGUGUCUAUAUCUCUAGUUUACUCUUUAGUUAAUCUCAUUCUAGUUCUCUUGCUUGUUUACUUAGUAUACUUGUGUGCAUAACUUACUUCUCUCUUGUUGUAUCGUUGAAUAUCAAUUGAUAAUAUAAUAAGUUCUUAACUCUUAUAACUUACCUGAACUUGCCAUUUAUGUUUUUAACUGAACUUUCCUGAACAUGAUUCGUUAUUUAGCCCGUUGAGCUACAUUGGAACAAUAAGGAUACUCGGGUCUCUUCUGAUAAUGACAUGCCAAAGCCAUGUCCCAGCCAUGGUCUUACAUGGGAUGUACUCAUGUCGGUGCCCAUGCCAUGUCCCAGACAUGGUCUUACGGGGGACCUCUCAUCUACGUGCCAAUGCCAUGUCCCAGACAUGGUCUUACAUGGGACCUCUCAUCUCGGUGCCAACGCCAUGUCCCAAACAUGGUCUUACAUGGGACCUCUCAUCUUGGUGCCAAUGCCAUGUCCCAGACAUGGUCUUACAUGGGACCUCUUUACCCAAAUGUCAUGACAUUCGUAUCCAGUACCAUCCUUAUGUAUCAACGGGACUUUUUAAUUUUAAUUCUCUAUCAUUUCAUGCUUGGAUCAACAUUAAAUAAAUUCAUAAAAUAAAUGCAUAAUUUCUGGAAAAUAACAAUAUUAAUAAUAAUUAUUGAAAUAUUGUAUUUAUUUACCGUAAACUUACCUCGGUACCGAAUAUAACCCAAUUCACCAACUUAGUCUUCAACUUUAUUCUUUCCUUUGUCUAACCUCGAGUUUCAUUCUUCUUGAUCUAAAAUAGAAAAUUUAACUUAUUUAAUACUCACAUUCAUCAAAACAGCCCUCGACUCUAACUUUUCAAAAUUACGAUUUUGCCCCUAAACUUUUGCAUAAUUACAUUUUUGCCCCAAGGCUCGAAAAUUAAACUUCAUCUCAUAUUCUUAUGUUUUAUGACAUGAUGAACAUUUUUCUCUUCUAUGACAACAUCAAAUUCUCACUCUAACACUUACUUAUGUACAUUAGAGAUUUUUACCAAUUAUGUCAACCUACUCAUUUUUGCUUAAAAUCGGCUAACAAAAGUUGUUUAACAUAGUUUCUAGCUUCAUAUUAUAUCAUAAAACAUCAAAAUAAACAAUUUUAACCUAUGGGUAUUUUUCCAAAUAUAAACCCUAGGUUAAAUUAUUGCUAGAAUAAGCUAAAUUAAGCUACCGGGACUCCAAAAACGUAAAGAACAUUAAAAACGGGGCUUGGGAUCACUUACUAUGGAGAUUGGAAGCUUGAAAACUCUAAAUAUGGCUUACCCCCUUGCUGAUUUCAUCCAAAUGAAGAAGAUAAGCAUAAUUUGUCAUCUUUUUCCCUUUUAAUUCAUUUUAAUUACUAGAUUACCAAAUUGCCCCUAACUUAAAAAUUUCCUAUUUCACUUAUCUCAUGUUCAUUUUUGUCUAAAAACUUAACCAAUGGUCUAGUUACCAUAUAAAGACCUCAAAUUUAAAGCUUCAUAACAAUUGGACACCUCUAACGUGUAGAACUUAACUUUUGCACUUUUUACAAUUUAGUCCUUUUGACUAAAUUGAGUGCUCAAACGUCAAAAUUUUCAAACAAAAUUUUCAUGAAAUCAUUUUUUAGAAUCAUAGACCAUAAAAAUAUGAGAAAAAUAAAAUUUUCCUCAUCGGACUUGUGGUCCCGAAACCACUGUUCCGAUAAUCUUAAAUUUUGGUCAUUACAAAAAAUAUAUGAGCUUGAGUUCAAAAUAAGUUUGGGGGUGUUCCAAAGGUUCACUUGAUGAAAAAGGUUGAAUUUUGAGAAAUCCAGGACAAGUUAAAGCUUAAGAUUUUUGAAACUGAAAUGUCCCAUCUCUUAAAAUCCCUACCUUUAAACCAAGCCCCAUUACAACCUUAUAAAAGACCUAUUGAUUUGAUGAUUAUGUUAUCUACAUUAGUGGAGAGGAAGUAUUAAGUUCAACAUAUGAAUAUCAUAAAUAAGCCUUAUGAUUGUUUGCUUGAUUGAUGAGAAAUUGUGUUGAAUGAAGAAUCAUAUCUAUGGCUGUGACAUGCAUGCAAACUAUGAUUCAUGUUGGCAUAUCUUGAAACUUAGAAUAAAAUUUUCAAAAUGUUUGUAUAUGAGUUACUUGUUAAUAAAGAAGAUCUAUGAGCAUGAAUUUGUUGAUGCAUGAUUACAAGACGAAGGUUGAUGCUACUUACACUCUUAGCAAAAUUUGCCUUAGCAAGACCUUGUGUUGUGCAUGAACAUUACUCGGGACGAGCAAUGAUUUAAGUUUGGGGGUGUGUAAACGGAAAAAUAUAUAGGAUUUUUCCUAUAUAAUUCAUCACCUUUUUACUUAAAAUUGUUGUUAAAACCAAGUUAUUGUUUAAUAAAUUAAUGAAAUAUGUGAAAAUAUGAAAUUAGGUCAUAGAAAUUAUUAAAAUGUAAUUUUAUGUUUUAUUAUAUAGUUUUCAUGCAUAAAAUGGCUUAUUUUAUAUUAAUUUAAGCAUAUUAUAUUUUAAGCUAUGAAGUGGGCCAUGCAUGAUUAAAUUAAAUAAUAAAAUAUAAUGUUAUUGUAAUAGGCCAUUUUAGCCCGGGCCCAAAUACAUAAACCUUAAAAUAAAAAUGCAAUAAAUUACAGACCUAGUUUUAAUACCCAAUUGUUGCCCGGUGCCCAAAUUAACUAAUCAAACCCAAUAAAACUUGGGCAAGUCCUAACCCAAUUACAUUUGGCCCAGUAAGGCCCAAGUGUACAAACCCUAGCCUACAACAGGUAUUCAGCAACAAUGGAGACAGAAACCACAGAUCGCGCCGCAGCAACCGUUCUUCCUCCAGCGGUUAUCGUCUCCGUCACAACACGUUCCCCUCGCACAACCCACGUUCUCCAACGCCCACACCUGCAACAAAUCAUGACCACGAACAAAGAUAACAACAGAAAAUACAAGGGAAAAGGGGAAAAAAGAGAGAAAGUAGUUUUUGGGAGUUUUUGAUUCCCUUAUUUCGGCUAUUAAAUCCAAAUGGAUUGUUUGUACAGGGGUUAACAAAAUUUUUGUAUGGAUAAAUUAAAAAGAAAAUAGAAGAGAGAACAAAGCAUAUUUUUUAAAAGGUGACAGAUUGUGUUUUUUUUUCCUGCUUGUUUUUUUACUGUUUCUAUUUCUUUUUUGUUUUUCUCUUUUAUUGCUUAAAACAAGAAACGAAGAGAGGGAGUAGAAGGGGACUUACCGUCACGAGCGGCGUCGGAGAACCUCUUCGUUCCGUCGUCGGAAUGAAAGGGAUGCGGAGAGGCAGUGAGGGAGGAGAGCUGCGGCGCAUUUGUGGGGUGGCUGAAGAAGUGAUUUUUAGGGUUUUAAAAUUUAUUUUUAUAGGGUAUUCUUGAAAAUGGGGCAUUUUUGCAAUUGGUCCCCCUGAUUUUGCAGUGUUUUUAAAUUGUUUUUUUUAUUUCUUUAAAAUUGUGCAAAAUAUUUUAUUACUGUUUCAAUUGGGUCCAUGUUGCCGCACAGUGUUUGGGCAAUUUGGAUAAAUUACCCUUUCAAUCCUCCUCCUGUUGUGUGCAUUUUAAUUCAGUCCCUUUUUGUGUUUUCCAUUUUUAAAUUUGGCUUUAAACUUUCGUUUGUUUCCAAUUUAAUCAUUAAUUUGUUGUUUUAGUUUUUUUCUUUAUAUUAUUAAUUUUAUUAUAUUAGUUAUUAUUAUAUUAUAUUCAUUAUACUUACAUUAUAUGCGUGUAUGUAUGAUAAUACUUAUAUAUUUAUAUUUUAAACAUUUUUAAAAUUCAUAUAAAUUUUAUAUAUACUUUAUUAUUAUUUUAUAUAUAUAAAUAUAUAUAUACAUAUAUGCGUAUAUACAAUUUUAUAAUAUCUAUAUGCUUUCCAUAUUUUAUAAUCUAUAUAGGUUAAUACAUGUUUUUUUAUAAUAUAUUCAUAUAUUAUUUAAAACUUUUAUAAAUAUUUUUUAUAUAUUUUUAUAUAUACAUACGUACCCAUAUUUUUCAUAAUUAUUAAUAUAUUAUGCUUACAUUUUUAUUGAUGUAAACUUUAAAUAUUUUAUGAUUAUGUUCUUUUUAUAUAUAUAUAUUUUGUAUAUAUAUAUGCGUUAACACUGUGCAAUACAUAUGUAUGUAUAAUUUAGGUUAAGGUAAUAAUUUCAUAUUAUGCACGAGCAUUUUAUCAUACUUUUAAAGAAAAUAUAUUUUGGUUUCGUUAGCAUUAAAAUUUUUUUUUUCUUAAAAAAUUAAAUAUUUGGCAAUCAUGAUUCUCGAGAAAGAUCAUGUCCUAACUUACUAGAUCGUGAUCAUUUUUUUCGAUGAAUUUAGCAAGCUAAGUAUUUAUUUCACAAUAAAUUUGCAAUUUUCAAAUAAAAGCUUAUUCUCGGGAAUUUAAAAUGCCGGGUCCUAACUUACUGGUCGUGACAUUUCGUCAUCUCGAAAUAAGAUUUUCUAAAACAAAAAGCAAUAUUCGGUAUUUUGAAGAUUUAAAAUAUUGUGCCCUAACUUACUGGGUGUUGUGUUUUAUUUCUUUGAAAUGAGAAUGUUUUAUCAUUUUAAUACAUUCACGGGUUAAAUUUUUUUUACUCUUUUCAAAUUUUCGACAUCAAAGACAUAAAAUAAUCAAAUUUCGUACCAAUUUUUGGGCGUUACGAGGGUGCUAACCCUUCCUCGUGCGUAACUGACUCCCGAACCUGUUUUCUCAAAUUUCGCAGACCAAAAUCAUUUUUAAGGUGAGCCGAUCACACCUCAAUCAAGGAUCGGUGGCGACUCCAAUUUUUGUUUUUAAAGUCGACAACUAAUUUUUGUUUUUCAAAAAAAUGGUUUCGACAGCUUGGCGACUCCACUGGGGAAGUUAGAGAGUCGAGCCAUAAAUUGAUUAGUUCUUGUCUUUUUGUCGGAAAGGUUUUAAAUUUGUUUUAAAUCACGAUUUCCUCCUCUGCAUUCAUUGGUUUUUAUCAUGAUAUGUUUGUUUAAUUGGUCUAGGUUUGUUAGGGUGUUUGCAUUUUACAUUGCAUGGAUGAUUUUACCCCUUUAAGUGGGAGUGAGAAACUAGUCCUUCGUGAGGUUUUCACCUCCGUGCAGGAUAGUGGAUCGCUUUCAGAAUACAUCUGUACCUAUGUCUUCGUGAGAUUUUCAUCUCCGUGCAGCCAUAGGGAAAUGUAUUCCCCUGAACCGAACUUGGUCCAUAUGAGCCUAUAAUGGGUGAGGAUCGAGGAAUCUGCUGGUUCGGGUACCCUUGCUCUAGAAGCCAAAACCUCAUAUAGUGAUCCUUAGGAAUCCACCCUAGGUAGAAUUACUUUGAACCUUAGUAGAUACCUAAAUUAGGAGUUUUUACUAUUUCUUGGUUGUAUUGUAUUUAAUUGUUACUGACUUUUUGUGUUUUACUCUAAUUGCAUAGCAUUACAAUUACAUGGCAUUCUAUUAUAAAGAGGCGUUGGUUCAUAUUCGGUUGCUAGACAGAAAGCUUAUCAUGGGAAAUGUGUUUCUUGAUAAAGUGGAAGAUAAUACGGCUGCCUGAAUAUAUUCCGAGAAAUGCAAGAAAGGUGAUGGAGGAAUACAUGACUUUACUUCGUGCCUCAAGGUCAAGUUGAUUAUUCAAGAGUUUCUGACAUUCCAACUCCCUUAAAGAUGUUGAGGAGUAUUACGGGGAUGGGCAGACGUUGGAUCAUAACCAGGAUCAAGCAAAAAAGAGGUAGAAGAGAUACCCCUUUUGAAGAAUUUACAAGAUUUAUCUGAGCACCGAGAUGAAGAAGGAGAAGAUGUCUUCGCCUGGAGUAUGAGGGCAAAGUCGUAUAUGUAUAUCCGCUUUAUGUAAAGAAAUUUGUCUUCUAGUAAAGUUUUCUAAAUAGAAUUGAAUUAGAAUCAACGUCUCUUUUUGCAUUCAUCUCAUGCAUUUGCAUUACAUUGCAUCAUAUACACUAAAAUCCACCAAAAAAGCCUAAUUGAGUAAAAUUAUUUUAGUUAAUUUGGAAAACCAACAUCCUCACGGCAUCCAAGCAAAGACUAGAGAAAUGGACCAAAGUUUGGAGAAAUUAGAGCAAAUGCAAGCGCAGAUACAGGAGCAAUUGACCAAAUUUCAGCAAGAUAUGAGAGAUCAGUUGUUAGAAUUCCAAAGAAAUAUAAUGUGCCAGUUAACCCAGUUAUUGGCUAAAGGGUUAGAAAGAGGAAAGACCCCAGUGGCCCACUUUGGGGAUAGUAAUGAGGACUCUACAUAUCCUUCAGGCUUCACCCCAACAAAUACCCAAGCACAACCAAAUGCAUAUCCACAAAGGGUAAUUGUUAACAUCCGACCCCAAUAUCAGACCAGCAACUCGACACCUGUGAAUUUCCAGAUUGGCUCAGGUUCCAACUCGAUAGGCGAUUCAACUAAUCCUAUUGUCAUUGAUGAUCAAGCAGAAGUAGAACAGACGAGGGUGGAGUUCCUAAAGCAUUUCGAAGAUAGUUACAAACGGAAGGGGCGAGAGUGGAACUCUCAAAUCAAUACUUUAGAGGCCCCAAGGAAUAAGGGGGAUAAUGUAGGCAGAUAUAAAAAAGUCACUCAAAACCUGUCACUGUGGGCUGGCCAAAGACAGAAAUCACCAGCUGUCAGAGCCCUUUAAAGCAAGAAUCUUACAUGAAAUCAAAUGCAGAAGGGCCUCAGUUUACACCUAUACCGAUGUCAUAUAGCGAGCUAUAUUAAAACCUAUUUAAUGCACAUGUCGUGUCCCCCUUCUAUUUGAAACCAAUGUUGCCCCCAUUUCCUAAAUGGUAUAAUACAAAUGCUCAGUGUGAAUACCAUGCAGGAAUUACGGGGCAUUCGAUAGAAAAUUGCACCGCUUUCAAGAAAUUGGUUUAAAGGCUCAUCAACAUAGGCGUUGUUAAAUUUGAUGAUUCAUCCAGUGCAGAAAAUCCGCUACCCAAUCAUGACUGAUAAUGGGGUGAAUGUGAUGUAUGAGGAAGUGUUGUGAGGUGUUCACAUCAAUGCCAUAUAUAAAGACACAAUUGAAAAGGGUUCUUUUUAGAUAUCUAUCCUUAUGAACUUAGGAGUGUCCUAAAUAAUCGGAUUGUAGAAGAAAUCUCUAUAGUAUUUAGAGCUUGCUUAGAGUAAUGUUCAAUACACACUUGUUGCUUUUAGCCUAGAGGCACUAAGAAUUCCUUUGUGAAGUAGGCUCAUGUCUAAAUGUCAUUAUUUUAAUGAAAUGCAUCCUUGCGAUCAUUUUUGAACCAGUAUUCUUUCAGUCUGUCUGAAUAGUUAUUCUUUCAUUCUUUUGGAUUUUCUUCCACAUCAUUCAUUCAUUCAGAAUCAUAUUGUAUAGAUAAAUUUAUACAUUCUUUUGUAUAUUCUUUGGUAUUUAUUAUGGGCCCCCAGAUAUCAAUGACUUGAAUAACACUGCCACAGAUUUAGAAUCUCUUUUUGAGCAAGACAUGUGUUUAGAAGGAUCUCAUGACUUUGAAGAUGACAUAGAUCGUAGUCUACCUCCAGACUUGUUGAGGAUGGUAGAGUAAGAAGUGAACAAAUUUACCUCAUGAGGAUACAAUGGAUGAUGCGAGCUUACAACAAAAACAAAGUAAGACAUGGUAUUGAAAAAGAUCCUUCCUAUACAAAAGGAUUUUAGAGAAAAAUGAGUGCCAAAGUGGGAAUGUCCUUAUAUUGUAAAGAAGACCUUUUCUGGAGGAGCACUGAUCUUGAGUGAGAUGGAUAGUAAAAACUUGUCUAAUCCUAUAAACUCAGAAUCAGUCAAGAAAUACUUCACUUAAAGAAGGAGAGGACCAAGGUAAAAACCUACAAAUGGCACUUUGAGUCACAAAAAAAAGAACAAGAAAAAAAGAUAAUGUGAAAAAGAUGUGAAAAAAUGAAAAAAUGAAAAAUAAAAAAUGGAAAAAGUAAAAAUGGAGAGGCUAAGGUGAAAACUCGCAAAGGGCGCCUUAGACCAAAGGAGAUUUGAGUUGAAAACCCGAAAAGGGUGGCUCAAAUAUUGAUUAAAAAGGGGCAUGAGGUAAUAAGAGUAGCUCAAAUUCUGAUCAGAUUGGGGCAUGUGGCGAUCUUGCUAUGCCUGAAUUAGCAGGAAAGGGUACGCGACAUUUUAGAGCAUCGACAGAGUAUUGUAGAUCUCCUAAGCACAUUUCAAACUCAGAAUAGUCUUCAGGAAAUUUGUACAGAGAAGUUCAAGUUGCGUUAUCUAGGGCAUCUAGUUUUCAUACUAUUUUUAUCGAAUUGUUUGUUCUUGGAAUACUUCAUUCUUUUUCAAGAUACGUGUUCCCAAUCCAUUCUUCUUUUAUUUUAUUAUUAUCCUUGAUAUUUUAUUCAUUUCGAGCUAUGCUCUUAAAUCAAUUCUAUUUUAUUUAUCAUUUUGUUCUUUUUGCAAGUAUGUUGCAUUAGAAUAAUGAUUAAUCGACCAAUAAAACUUUCACAAUGGAAGUUUUGCAUAUUACUCUAGAAAUAACCUGAAACAGGACUAUUGUUUAGAACGCACCAAGUUUAAAGGUUGAAAUAUCUGGGAAGGAAAGGUCUAAAUUGAGACUAUCCCUUCAGAUUUUGUUGUCAUAACAUUGAUUGAACAAAAUGACAAGAUGUCGUGUCGGUGAUAAGGCUUCAAUGAAUAAGCAAACAAUGAUCACCAAGCAAUAGGAAGAGGUUCCUCGGAGAAGAAAGCAUUCAUUUGUGCAUGAGCAUUUGGUACGACACCUUGGAAAUGGUGUAAUGAACCAAAGAGUUUCACAUUCUAUAUCCUUGAAUUGCGAUAGGAGAGGAUUGAGAAAGGACCAGAUUUUUCUACCAUUGGGUUACAGCGGGAGAAAGAUGGUACCAAUGUUGCAUCCCAGUAGAUUGAACUUUGAAGUUUACAGUAGGGGCAGGUUGAUUAAGUGUUUCUUCGGAGAUGCUAGCUGAGCAAGAGGACGUUUUAGUGCGUCAGUAAUACAGUUUCAAUAAACUUUGAGUAAUGACAACCUAAGCUUUAAAGAGGGAUCAUUCUCGAAAAAUGACAUUCGGCACUCAUUCAAAUGUCAUUCAUACACGUCUAGUUAGGAGCAUUUGAUUCAUUUUGAUCAUGACAUCCUAAUCACUAGGCAUAAUUAGGUUCAUAACUUGAAUUUUACAGGUCAUGUUCCCAAGAGAAAAAACUGAUAAAACUUCAGCCUUAUCUCCUUGAGCAGCAGUGGAGUAGGUUGAAAAUAGUAGAUUUUUAUUUCCUUAGUGUUGUAGUGGAGAAGAUUGAAGUCACAACGGCGGAUCUGGUUUCUCCAAUAGAGAAAAUUAAAAAGAUUGAAGCCACAACGGCAGAUCUUACUUCCCUGGUGAUGCAGUGGAGCAAAUUGAAGUCACAACGGCGGAUCUGGUUUCCCCGAUAGCGCAAUUAAAAAGAUUGAAGCCACAACGGUAGAUCUUACGUCCCUGGCGGUGCAGUGGAGCAGAUUGAAGUCACAACAGUAGAUCUGGUUUCCCUGACAGCGCAAUUAAAAAGAUUGAAGCCACAACGGUGGAUCUUACUUCCCUGGCGAUGCAGUGGAGCAGAUUGAAGUCACAACGGCAGAUCUGGUUUCCCCGACAGCGCAAUUAAAAGAUUAAAGCCACAACGGCGGAUCUUACUUCCCUGGCGAUGCAGUGGAGCAGAUUGAAGUCACAACAGCGGAUCUGGUUUCCCCGACAGCACAAUUAAAAAGAUUGAAGCCACAACGGCGGAUCUUACUUCCCUGGCGGUGCAGUGGAGCAGAUUGAAGUCACAACGGCGGAUCUGAUUUCCCCGACAGCUCAAUUAAAAAGAUUGAAGCCACAACGGUAGAUCUUACGUCCCUGGCGGUGCAGUGGAGCAGAUUGAAGUCACAGCAGUAGAUCUGGUUUCCCCGACAGCGCAAUUAAAAAUAUUGAAGCCACAACGGCGGAUCUUACCUCCUUAGCAGUGCAGUUGAACAGAUUGAAGCUACGACGGCGGAUCUUGUUUCCUCGACAUUGUAAUUGGAUAAAUUGAAUAAGAAUCCUAUCCCCCUGAAGAUGCAGUAGAGCGGAUUAACACCACGGAUCUUACCUUUUUGAAAUUGCAGUAAAGCAGAUAGUAUCAGACUCAUCUUUGAAGUUGCAGCAGAAUAAGUUAACGUUACGAGUCUUAUCUCCCUGAAGUUACGGUGGAGCAGACUAGAGAUUGCAAGUUUUGUUCUUUUGAGAAGCCACAAGGUACAAGUCCUAUCUCUUUGAUGUUGCAGUUGAGUGGAUUGAAGCACCGAUUCCUAUACCUCUGCAGACGCAGUAGAUUGGAAUGAGGCUACUUGAAGAGCCCUAAGAUCCAGUAUGCCCGGGCAAAAUUGGCCAUCUUAAAGUCUUUGCUCUGUUCCCGUUACAUGACAACGAGCAAAGAAGGGCAGCUGUAAUAGGCCAUUUUAGCCCGGGCCCAAAUACAUAAACCUUAAAAUAAAAAUGCAAUAAAUUACAGACCUAGUUUUAAUACCUAAUUGUUGGCCGGUGCCCAAAUUAACUAAUCAAACCCAAUAAAACUAGGGCCAGUCCUAACCCAAUUACAUUUGGCCCAGUAAGGCCCAAGUGUGCAAACCCUAGCCUAUAACAGGUCUUCAGCAACAAUGGAGGCAGAAAUCGCAGAUCGCGCCGCAGCAACCGUUCUUCCUCUAGCGGUUAUGGUCUCCGUCACAACACGUUCCCCUCGCACAACCCACGUUCUCCAACGCCCACACCUGCAACAAAUCAUGACCACGAACAAAGAUAACAGUAGAAAAUACAAGGGAAAAGGGGAAAAAAAGAGAAAGUAGUUUUUGGGAGUUUUUGAUUCCCUUAUUUCGGCUAUUAAAGCCAAAUGGAUUGUUUGUACAGGGGUUAGCAAAAUUUUUGUAUGGAUAAAUUAAAAAGAAAAUAGAAGAGAGAACAAAGCAUUUUUUUUAAAAGGUGACAGAUUGUGUUUUUUUUCCUGCUUGUUUUUUUACUGUUUCUAUUUCUUUUUUGUUUUUCUCUUUUAUUGCUUAAAACAAGAAACGAAGAGAGGGAGUGGAAGGGGACUUACCGUCGCGAGCGGCGUCGGAGAACCUCUUCGUUCUGUCGUCGAAAUGAAAGGGAUGCGGAGAGGCAGUGAGGGAGGAGAGCUGCGGCGCAUUUG
rnacentral:lncRNA from 1 species